rnacentral:lncRNA from 1 species
CCUACAAUUACAAAAGGUCAUUAUACUUUUGAGAUCUCAAGGAGGAUAUGAAUCAACGGUCUGAAAAAGCAUAUACAAAUCUAUCAAAUUGUUUACCAUAGACGAUGCUGUUCUACAGCUUUUUGGAUCUUUUAGCAAGCUUAGCCUUCGAAUUUUAAGAGUUAAAUGUACUUCAAGGUGAGUCAAAUUACAUCAUGUCUCUUAAUAUAUCUAGCAAAGCCGAUCACAAGAUAAACUUGAGCUUCUCUAGAACCAUCUACUUUGCAACAAAGAAGAAAAAUAAAUGGAUAGAACUAUAGCAAUGGAGGACCAAGACUGGAAAGUGUUACUUAACCAAACAGGACCUAGACACUGACCAAUGAAAUAUCUAGUUAAGUCAGCUAGAAGCAAGGAUUCGUGCCCAUAGCUGAAGGGAUUCCAAGAUGAGACAUAGUUUUCUAGCUGUGAUCAGAUCAUUUCAAUGACUACCGAGAUCAACAUGAGUUGCACUCUCACAGAAAACAAACUGCAGUUGACGUUACUUGGGCAAUGUAAUCCCCUCACAGCAGAGAUCUGGUCAGAAAAGCGCACCUGCUUCAAUGCAACAGCCAAACCAGUUAUAGUGUGGUUGUGUGGUCCUCCUUGAAGACCAGGAAAGACAGCCUGAUUGAUUUUGUCUUCAAAGUCAUACAACACCUGCCCAUAAAUCAAGAUUUAGUACACUGCUUUACAUGAGAAGAGUCUCAUCUGUCUUCACCUUUGUGGCAAAGGGGAGAGCAAAAGUAGGAUUUGAAAGGUAGAAAAAAUGGCUGAGGAAAACGAAUAGUCUGAAGGGUCUACAAACCUCUUUCCCUUGCUUGUUGAUCUCUUUUACACCCUUCCUGAAGAAGAUCAUGGCUCCACGUGGACCACGAAGUGACUUGUGAGUUGUGGUCGUAACAACAUCAGCAUAUUCAAAGGGUGAUGGAACCACACCAGCAGCAACUAAGCCACUGAUAUGUGCCAUAUCUGCUAACAGGAUAGCCUUUUGCUUGUCACAUACCUGUUGCAUACAUCAGGAACCUUACAUUGGAUUUCCAGAUUACAAGGUAAGGUUCAUUUCCGACCUUGAACAGUAACUGAACUUAAUUGCUAAAAGAAAAAGCCUUUUGAGGUUACCUUACGAAUACGAGCAUAAUCAUAGAGACGUGCAUAAGCACUGGCACCAGCCACAAUUAGUUUUGGCCUGAAGAGUGUGGCACUUUUUUCCAUCUGCAAUGUUGAAGUGAGAAACAAAGUGAAACCAUCAAGAGAUUACAGAGCAUUGACGAUUCAUACUACAAUAUACUUUAAGUCACUCUGGAUAUUCCUAAAUAACAUUCUGGCUACAGGUAAGAAUAUUAAAUUUCAGCUAGAAUUAGUUCCAAAGAAUCACAGUUUUAAACACCCAUUGUAAACACAACCCGCUACAUUCUUCCCUUUCAUAUUACACUGAAGACUAUAGAUGUUUCUGCCAUGUUAAUUGCAUAAAGUGAUGAUUUUCCACGAUGGAUUACGAUCUCUCCUCCUCAUGACUAGAAUCCUAGAGAGUUUCAACAAGACCUACCUGAUCGUAAUCAAUGUAGCCCGUGCUCUCAUUCAAUCUAUAUGGCAUAGUCUCGAAAAAUAUGGACACUGCAGAUAUUUUUUUAGUAUCAGUCUGCAAAAGAACAGAAAAAGGUAUUAGAAUCUCCAUAUCAAGAUCAACAACUUCCAUCAAUUAAGAAUGUAAGGUGCCUUGUCAUAAGUUGUAUGUUGAUUUCCCAGGGUAUGUGAUAGUAUAAUAGCCCAGAUUAAACUAGAUACUGCAUUUAUCAGCUGGAUAUGCCUCUCUCAUCUUCUUCUGUACAGAAUUAAAGCAUUUGACAUUGAGAUUGUUAACUAAUUUUUUAAUAUCUACUAAUUUAUCCAAAAACAUGGAGAACAUGAAUGAACAAGCUUCAAGAACACGGACAAAAUGAUCAAUGGAUGUUUCCCUAAAUUAAAUGAGAAAUCAAAAGAAUUUCUGAAAUGGUCAGAAAAUAUCCCAUUACAAGAUCGCCAAAGCAGACAGAUCAUCAAAUGCUUCAUGAAUAGAAGAAUCGAGUGUUCACAUCAGCAGAGAAAAAUAGAUAACCAAAGGAAUUGCUUAUUUUUUAUAGCCUCUUACCAAAGAUGAUUUGAUCACCUCUCCCUAACAAAUAUGAAGGACUGUGCAAUUACAGUAAUUCUCUGCUAAAAAAUUCCGACUCUCUCAUUCCAAUUCAGUUGAAUUUUGAGCUAAGCAAUGAAACCUCUUCUAUGAAAAGAAUAGGCACCAAUACUUGCCCCUGUGAUUGAUGCUGCACAAUUUACUACUUGGAUUGACCAAGAGGCAGAGAUCCUUUAAAGCAAGAAAAUCUGACCACUGAAACAGCCUGAAAUAAGACUCUCUGAUGCACAAUAGUUGGACACAACUGCAUUAUAUCAGUAAUUGCUGUGGAUACGAUUCCACUCAAUUUCUUCACCUCGCUACAGGAGGAGUUUCUAGUAGAGAAUUAUGAUGUACGCCAUCUCUAGUGAAGAAGAAGCAACUUUUAUGGAUAAAGUAAAAAGCUCUUCUGACAAACAGAUUCACAAAAAAGUAAAAAGCUCUUGAUUGCAACAUGAAGCACCUGAUAGCCAUGAGAAAGAUGUCCGCCAUGAGGAAGAUCGAGUGCCAUAAUCCUGUCGUGAGGUUUUAGAAGUGCAGUAUAUACUUGGAAAUUGGCAGGAGACCCAGAUAGAGACUGCACAUUGACUGCAAUACAAAAGGAUACUUAGAAAUCUGCUGGUAAUAUGCAGAUUCUGGCAAGCAAAUCAAAUAAUUUUGCAAAUUGGUGAAUGGAAAUUAGUUCCUAACUGAACCAUUAACUAAACUGAUUUCCCUUUGCUUGUCAUAUUUGAGUGGAGAAUUAAAUACAAGGUUCUGAACAAAAUGUGUUCGACAACAUUAUCAUAUCAAUUAUAUGUACCAUAAUAUUGUGUACUGAGUGGUAACUGGCCCCAACUACCAAGACAUGAAUAUGAUUAGAAAUUCAAAGGUGAAAAAGGUUGAGUCUGACAUAUAAACAUUGAACUUCCAGAUGUAAGGAAACAAAUGAGAAUGAGAACGGCAGAAGAACAAGCAAAGAGAACGCAGAAGUUACUGCAGAAGCAGUGAAAGUAUCAUAUAAGCUACCUCCCCACUUGGCGGGAUCCAACCGGAAUGCUUCCAAAGCACGCUUCUGGCAUAAGGAUUCGGCCAUAUCAAUAUACCUGAACAAACAGACUGCCAGUUUCACCACCAAUCAAAUUUUACCAGGUUAAGAAUAAAUACCAGGACGAUGGAAUCGAGUGAGCAGAAACCACAGCGGCAAAUAAGUACAAAGUUCUUUUACAAGAUAUGCAUAUUGUGAAAGUGCUCAAACAUACUCAUUUCCUCCGUAAUAUCUCGCACCGGGAUAUCCUUCACUAUAUUUGUUUGUCAUUACCGAUCCAACAGCUUGCAUCACCGAGACAGAAGUGAAAUUCUCUGAUGGAAUUAGCUCCAGCCCCUUGGUAAGCACAAAAACCCCGACAUAACCAUUAGUAAGCGAUCAUUGGAAAUCAGAUAUGAUUGAUGACAGAGAAAGAUUUAAUCUUCAUGACAAAAUGGAGCUAUAUCCACAAUCAUUUUCAUUCUCCAUUACGCAUAGAAUGAGAAACUCAAGAAUCGUUCCUCCUCCAGUAAAAGAAAAAGGGUAGUUGGACCCUGCAAUUUGUUGCAUGAUUUUGCUUGCACCAGUCAAAUAACGAGCAAAGCAGCUGCUAUUAACACAGAACUCUUGAAAAUGCUAUUGGCCUAACAGUGAAACUAAUUGGAAAUAAAGUUCACUCGCCAAUGAACGGAUGAGUACCAACACAGCAAUAUGAGAAGCUUUGUGAGGACAAAAAACAGAGAGCCGGGUGAUACCUUCCAUUGCCUGGCUUUCUCAAGCUCAAUGAUGUCAGCAACCUCAGGAUCAACGGCCUCGAGCGGAGCGUUAAGCUGCUUCGGCCACUGCAAACACAUACCGUGCAUGAGGGACAUACAUGAUUCAAAGGAACAAAAGUAGAAUCAUUUCAAAGCCAAACAAGCGACGACUUAUACGGCGACCGCUGCGAACAGCUCACACCCAUAUCGUCAAAACAUAAGCAAGUUGGAUGGAGGACUCUAUGAACGUGAGGACGCUUACAGUGACGCCAUUUUUCUCCUUCUCGUAGACGGCUUCAUUCGGCAAAGACGCCUGCAAGAACCGAGCGGGAGAACAAGAAUCAGAACCGGUCGAUGCUUACUUAAGCCGAAGGAGAAGAAGAAGAAGGAGAAGAGAAGGAAGGGAGGGAGGAGAAGGGAAGGGAAUGGGGGACCAUGUAGCAGACGGAGCCACCGCCAUUGAUGAGAGGACGGAGGGGCUUCUCGAUGGAGGAGGAGAGGCGUCGGAGCGCCAUUGCCAUGGCCAUCCUUGCUCUUCUUGGUGUGGUUGACGAGAGAAGUGCGUGAGUUUCCUGUUUAUGGUUAUGGCUGACUUAGAGUGAGCAAAUUGGUGGUUGAAGGGAGCCGUUUGAAAGGAAAAAAAAAAUGCAGAAAAAAAAAAUGAGUAAAAAAUGAAAAGAAAUGAGAGGGAGGAUUUUAGUUUUGGGGUGAUUUGUUGGCGUAUGCGUGUCUUUUGGGUUGGCUGGUGUGUGAUCUCUUUCAGGCCACACAUAAGAUAAGAGUAGCUUUAAGUGAUGGAUUUGUGGACCCCAGCAGCUAUUUUUGUAAAUUUUAUCUUCUUAACUAGUCCACCUCUACUAUUAACUAAAAUUGGAUUGGAACACCAAUCAAAAGAUAACACGAAAUGAAAAAGAAGAAGAAGAAGAAGAUUAAUGCGGUGAAAAACCUCAAAUUGAUAUUGUGUGAAAUAUUUAUCCUGAAUUACUUUUUUUCCUAAAAAAAUGUCCAAACUGAUAUCAUUAUUUACACAAAAAAAAAAAUCAUUUCACAAAAAAUCCUAAUGUUGUAAUUCUUCAUAAAAAUGCUUAUGUAUAAACACAUGUAGAUUUUCCACGUUGAAACUGUCAUUUUCCACGUCAAAUUCAUCUUGCCCUUGUCUAUCACAUGUACUAAUACGUAUACAUAAAGGGAUAUGGGACGGGAUGCUAAUGGAAUGUAGAUUUGGGUUAAGGGUACCACUUUUAAGAUUUUUUGUGAGAUCAAAGUUAGUUUGGAGAAUGUAUCAUGAGGUAACUAUUUGAGAUUUUUAAUUAUAAUGACCUUAAAAUUAUUACUCUAGAGAUCCCAGUUUUACAUUCAGAAUCCAUUAAACCUUUCAAUAGGUUCCGUUAAAUAUUAAUUUAUAUUCAAAAAGUACAUUCAAGAUAUUACGGUGAGUAGUACAAUUAUUGCCAACUAAGUGGCAAUCUUCACUGGGAUGGAUUGCAUCAAUGAAAAGCUUUUGAAUUUGAUUAAAUUUUGUCUAUAAGAUUUAGGCUUGUUUCAAGAAUAAUGAAUAAUUUGAAAAAUAUUAUUUUAAAAAUGAUUAAUUUAUAUCAAUAACAAUUUAUAUCUAAAUAUUUUCUUUAAAUGUGAAAAUAUUUUUGUUAAUUUAUUUUUUGUAAUUGAUACAAGCAGUCAUUUUUAGAAAAAUAUUUUUCAAAUCAUUUAUUUUAUAUAAAUCAAACAAAGCCCGGAGCUCUUCAAGAGCGAAUUUUCCGGAAAUUAAAGAAUUCCCUAAAAAAUUAAAGUCAGUUUUUGUUUGCUCAAGAAAUUUCGUUCAGGAAUUUUAGAUGAAGGGUACUAUGGUUGGUAACUAGACAUAUAUAGUUAUUCUAAGUAUCAUUUUUAGUGCCCCUGUUAUGUUAUAUGUUAUCUAUUUCCUCCUCUUUAUCUUCUAAACAUGUGACCUAUAUUCUAUGCCCAAUAAAAAGGUGCCACAUCAUUUUGUAAAUAUUUUUUCCAAUUUUUAUAGAUCAUUCUUUACAGCUUAACUGGCAAUAUUCACUCUCUAAUCUCUCUCAAUUAUCAACAAUGACACUUCAAAGGGUGCAAUUGUUGAUUAAAAUUGGUCCGACAUGUUUGUAUGUAUUUUUUUUUUCUUUUGUUAAUCUAAAUUUCGUGAUGUGACGGAUAUUUUUUUUCCCUUGAUCCAAAACAUCUAAAAAUUUCACAAGAUAUAAAUGCCAACAUAUAAGUACACAUAUAAUUUUGUACAUUUUUUUUCAUUUAAAAUUUUGUCGAGGAAGCAAAAGGUUGCAACCAGAGAUCACAACCAAACAGGCCUGCUUCCCAAACAUGGGCAAUUUCCCAUGUUCUUUUAAUAAGCUUGUCUUCGGAAAUUAGUUUUUUGUUUUACUAGGAGCUACAAAUAGAGAAAACCGAAAUAGUGUGGAGAAAAUAACAUGAUCUAUUUUUCUUUUAUCUGUUCAAAAUUUCUUCAUCCUUAAUUAAUAUUGGGGAAAAAAAGAAAAAAGAAAAUAUGGGCAAACAAGCAAAUCGGACCAUACAAGCUCUAUCUAAAACUGCCUCGAUUCUACACCACAAAAGGAGGGGUGGAAAGGAUAUGUCUUGAUAGGAGUGCCGUGCUUUGUGAGACGAAUUUGGCCACCUAAGCCUUGGGACAAUUUGUGUCGAUUGGGACUCGGUCACUUUCUCAGAUGUCGCUCCCGUUUUGCUAUGUUCAUCCUGAAGUCUUUAAUUUUUUGAUCUGGCAAAGAUGAAUCCGAAUCCGAUGACUCGCCAAAAGCUACCCUGAAAACGUAGGGUAUGUUGAAUGGACCUUUUUUCGACUUGUAAAAAGACGAGAUCAACCUGAUCCAAACUCGAAAAUUUUCUUGUUGGGUCAGGUCAAUUUGAUUUGAGCUCUGAGAAGUAAGUGAUGUUUUUUCCUUUUGUUAAUGCUUGAAUCAUUGAUGAAAUAUUACAAUAACCAGAAUUACACAGUAGUUAGUCUUGCUGACAAAAAUAUCUGUAACAUCCUAGAGGAAUAUAUAACUUGCUCUUUAUUGCAGGGAUAAUCAAAAUAAUUUGAAUGAUAUUCAUACUUGCUAAGUGAUGUCAAUUUUUGUCAGGUACAAUGGACAUUCUAGCUAAUUUGACAUCAUUUAGUAAAUUGAAUUAUUAGAUGAAUCUUUGUAUCUUCAGCCUUCUUUUUACACACUCCAAGUACAUAUAGUAUUGCAUAAGUAGCAUAACAUUUACGUAUAGCGAGUCAAGUGAAUAAUCUUCAUGUGUUGGCAUAAGAAACGGUCGAUCUCUAAUUAUAAAUUAGUCAAUAUUUAUUUAUUUAUUUAUUUAUUAUAAUUUUAGAGUAUCUCAAUCUGUACGAGAACUUCCAGCAUCGGAGUUUGUUGCCAUGCUUACUUACUGCUAGACAUAUUUCAAUAGAUAUUUAUUGGAUUUUUCAAAAUCGAAUCGUUGAAAUUUAAUUGAAGGACACAAUCAUGAAAUAAGACUUAAUGAAUCCUAAUAUAGGAAAACACGUUUUACUUGUGUUUGUUGUAUAUAUCUAUUUGUAAAGUUAUAUGUUGCAACAGAGUUGACUCAGUGGUCAAGAACCGAACCGGGUGUGAGUUAUGUGCACAAUGCAAGUUUGAUUAGACUCACCAGCACAUUCAAACGGUUGUGGUUUGGGUUAUUUCAGCCAAUAUUGGCUCAAAUCCUGCCUGAUUAAUGAUGAGUGGUCAGUCAUUUCAUUCAUAGACUUCUUGCAUUCUCAUACAACGGUCAAUAUUAAAAGUACAAAUUAUGAUCAGUAGACAUAGAUUAUGAGCUAUUUCUGUUAAUGAUAGAAAUUAUUAAUUUGAAGAUACCAAAAGAAGAAAGCGGUUCUAAAAUCUCAUCAGGAAUCAUCACUGCUUGGGCCUGAAUUGGGAUUGCUGGUUCAGCCCAAGUCGUUUGAGCUUGGGUUUUCUUACUUGGGAUUGAAUUGGACUCAACAAAUACUUUACCUUUACUAAAGCAAGAAUUAGACUUAAUAUAGGAUGAAACUUGAUCGAGUCGAUUCAGCUAUAUCAGCCAGAUCACGAUGGACUAUGGAAUUCAUCAAUUAGGAAUGAGAAUUCUACCAUGAAGAAAUCGAAGUACCUCACAUUCUGUGGGAGAUUCUGCAUGAGAUCCUAGUACGACUGCCUGUUGAUUCUCUUGUCCGAUUCAAGUCCGUGUGCAAGCGGUGGAUGUCCUUGAUACGGAGGCCUGAGUUCACAAAAUCAAACUACGACCGCGCGAAAUCCGGUGGAUCGGGUGGCAGUGACGAGCAUAAUUGGAGGCAUGUAGAGGUCAGAUUGCACUGGGAUCCUCUUCCCCGUUGCGCAUCUCUCUGCUCUUUUGGACCACAAUUUUGCUAACCCUGAAGAGCCAAAGCUUGGUUACACUAAUGAUGCGGAAAUACGGUGUUGGACCCCUUGGCUCUACGGCUUGUGUAAUGGUUUGCUGCUCACAGGGGUAUCUCGGGCCGUACUUUGGAACGCAUCUAUUCAGAAGUUCAAGAAGAUUCAUGGGUUUGGGACAAACUUGGGUCACGACAGAUACAUCUUAUCGGAGAUCGGUUUUGAUUUGAGGUCAAAUGCCUACAAAGCCAUGAAGGUCAUGACCCUCCCCUAAAACUCCAGAGGAAUGGCGACCCUCACCCUGGAAUUAGGCGAGGGUGUGCAGGCGCUCAUUUGUGGUCUACUAGGGUGGCCGGUCACUGGCUGGGGCCCAGCGGCUCCACUGUCAUCAGCCCUUUCUAGUGAUGGUGGGGUGGCAGUGACGAGGGCCAUGGAGGGGUCGUAGACUCGACAUGUACCCGUAAUCAUAGUUAAGGUCAUACAAAAAUGUAUUAAAAUCAUUAAAACCAUAAUCAUGCAAUAAUCUCAAGAAUUUUAUGAUGAUAUGCAGUAGUGUUUGAUUACACGUAGCCGUAAUCCUAGUUAGGGGUCAUACGAAGAUGUAUUCAAAAUAUCAAAACCAUAAUCAUGCAAUGAUCUCAAGAAUUUUCUGAUGAUAUGUAGGUAGUGUUUGAUUAUAUGAGGUAAACAUCCAAAAGUACAUUUUAAUAGUACUUCCAAACAAAGGGAAAAAUAUGAAAAAGGGAAUUGGUUGAUGUUUACUAAAGUAAAGUUAAAUACAUAAUUAAUUAAUAGAAACAUUAAUAGUCCUGUCACAUGACAACGAAAAGCAUAACUUCAUUAUUAUUGUAUUAUGAAUUCCAAAGUAGGAUCUCUCUCACCUUUUUUUGGGGUCAUAGAAUCCCCCUCCCUUUAACCACCAAUUUUACGGGGAAACAUUAAAUGUUAUUUCAAUCUUAGGAUAACUUUCUUGUCUAGCAAAACUACUUAAGAAACAUAUUUCAUUACCGAUAAAACUUUUUCAUGCACCUAAGACCAUUGGACCAGAUUCAUCAUAACUGUUGAUCAUGUAGACCGCACAAGUGAGUCCCGCAUGAUCAAUUGUUGCAAUUGCAUUGGUCGAUGGACCAGUCAAGAGAUUAUUUAUGUACUGCAACGUUUUAAUUAGAAAAUUGCCUCUAUUUAAAGGUUACGAGGCAUGGACCUAGGAGUUGUUCUUUUGUAUGUAAUAUUUCAGUGUUAGGUGAUUAAUAAAAUUAGGAUUGCCUCUAAGAUGGAAUGCUCUCCCUUUUCCUAGAAUUUUCUUUUCAAUAUCAUGAAUCUGUCGCUUUAUUAAUAUGAUGUAACAAGUCAAUCCCAAUGUCCAAGUGCUACUUUGCAGUAGUAAUCAAGAAAAAACCAAAAAGAGUCGGAUCCAUUGAUUUUUGUUUCCAUCGUUUACCGGCCAUCCGUGAUUCCAACCAAAUAACAUUAGAAAAAUCAAAGUAGAAUUUCUAUAACAAUUGACAAAAGCAGCACUGGAUUCCAAAUUGUAGGCCUACGAAAUCCAUUAUCCCCUCUCUUUACUGAGGAUUUGACAAGACCGUCCGUGCAAGCUUGACGUUGACCUUCACCUGGAAGCAAAGCAACGACUUACAUGGCAAACUCAUGUCUCCAUGAUUCGAGCAUCAAUAAUUGUUCAAUCCAAAUGUGGAGGUUCGCUUUCAUUAGAAGCCUGAUUCAAGUUGUCAUGUUGCCAUCGGUUGGAGGAAUUUCCAAAGUGAGUUUAAAAUGAUUAAAAUCGGGAAUAGAGACCUUUUCUUUUCAAUCCUCCACCCAUGAAAUAAAUUGAUCUCAAUAAAUUAACCAUAUAUACAAACUGGACAUCGUAUAAGAUCUUUGUGUACAAACUAUUUAUUUUGAUUUGUGGUAGAUAGAAUUAAAAGACAAAGAUAGAUCAAUUGGUAAAUAUUAAUGAUUCAAUUUGCUUGGUGUUAACGCACUAAUCCUAACGCCAAUAACUAUACCCCACAAAUGUUGCGGAGAUCUAAAGUAGCAAUUAUAUGGGCAAGUGACUUUAUACAAGCCAUUUCUACAUCUAUUAAAUAUCAACCAGUUUUGUCUAAGUUCCCUGUUAUGGUAUGCCUCUCGAAGGCGGACAAUAUAGCAUGUCUGUUUACAGCAGCUUUUCUGAAAAUUGCACCAACGUGUCGAUUGAGGUAAGAACACAAAAUUUUCAUGAUGGACCUAUGUAUUUUUGAAUUAUUCCAUGAUCUUAAUUUGUAAUUCAAGCUUUCUAUUCAAUGCGAUCUCUCACAAACUUAUGUUAUUUUCAAGUUAUGAGUCAUGUGGGCUAUGAAAUUCUAAACAAAUACAAGAAAUUAAUUCAUAUGAGGCGUUUGUAUUCUUAAGAUCUAAUACUUCUUGCAUUGACAAUUUUUGUUUAAUGAAUGCUCAAAAUUAUGCUUCCCAUGCUUUUGAUGAGUAAAAUAAAUUAUCUGUUUUGAUGUUAUAAUUUUUUUCACGCUUAAAGCCGAUCAGUUCAAGAUCUCUAAAGGUGGUUUAAUUCACUAUUUCCACCAAAGAAUUGUCCAGUAGACCAAUUUGAUGGAUGAUGUGGAAUUACUCGAGAAUGCUAAAUGAUAUGUAUCAGGAUGUUGAAAGGCAAACCAUAUCUUAUGCACAGUUCUCCAUUUAUACAUACGGGAUGAGUAGAAAAAUUCAUUUCCUCCCUAUGAAGAGUUUUCUUGUGAAAGGUACACAAGCCAAAAUAAUGAGAGGCAUUUCAUUUCUUUAUUCUAAACAGUGCCGGUAGACCAUUAUUUAACCCUCUUUGAGCUUGAAUAUUAGAAGAAUUUCUCGUAAAUUAACCUUAUUAAGAAUCACCUCAGACAACAUCAGAACGGAGGUAAAAGUGAUAUGAUAAGGUGCAAACUGAUGUGUACUACGGGAUGACAAGGCAACGUCUCUUUGCUUCAUUGUCAUACCCAGUUCUCAAGCAAAAGUAUAUCUGUUGAAACAAGACGUGUAAAAUAAGUCAGCUACAGGCAUAGGAUUCCGUGCUUAUAAAGCAACUGCAAUCAGCAAUAUCCCCAAGAAAAUAGGACAGCCCAAAAACACCCUCAAAAAAAAAAAAAAAAAACAAAACAAAAUACUUCUUAUCUUAAAUAUUUUUCUUCCUUUAAUAAUUCAUAUACCGAAAGACAGGAUCGCUGAAACACAAGUCACCGUCAGCUCAACCAAAAGUGUUGAUGUAUCAAGACUGCACGUUCUGUUUUUUUCUUAUUUGUUUUGUUUAGUCAGUUUGUUAGUGUCCUGUUUUUUAGGAGUUGGUUAAUUGUUGUUUUACUUGGUCAAUCUUAUCUUGUAGGAGCAAUUAGCUGCACGUAUUUUAGCUAUUCUGGUUUGUUGCUGGUUUUGUGGCCCUUAGUGGGCAACGUGGGUUUAUGGUUACGUUCUAGUAUGUAUUUUGAACAUUUUUUUCCAGUUUUUAUGAAUACGACGCAUAGCUUUUGCUGUCAAUUCCUCCUCUAUUUUUUUUUUUUCAAAAAACAACACUGGUAUCAGAGCCUCUUGAUCUUAAGGGGCUGUGAGUGACUUGUGAGAUUUGUUGGAGAAAUCCUCGUGAAGAGUUUUGAAGUUGACAAAAUGUUUCCGUCAGUCUAGUCUGAAGGUCAGCAGACUCUGUUGGUUAAAGUCUGAAGACUUCCGGACAGCCAGACUCAAGACUCAAAGUCUAUCCUCAUUGACAGUCACUGAUCCGUUGAAGAAAGGUUAUUCCGAACUAGAUGUUUUGUUCAGGAUUUAACCUUGUCAUCUGGAGAAGAUCUUGUAGCUGGAGAAGACGUAUCAGAAUCCUUUGAUUAAUCAAGAUUGAUUCAAUGACUGAAGAUUCGAUGAUUGUCUAAANNNNNNNNNNNNNNNNNNNNNNNNNNNNNNNNNNNNNNNNNNNNNNNNNNNNNNNNNNNNNNNNNNNNNNNNNNNNNNNNNNNNNNNNNNNNNNNNNNNNAUCCUGAUUGUAUGGGCGAACAGGAUUGAUGGGCUAUCAACACGCUCCUUUAAUAAGCUCGAACGAUCUCCUAAUUGAUUCCGUCCAACGGGUAGAUUGGAGGAAUUCCUUUGGAAAGUGCCAACGGGUAUGAUGGCAUAAAGGAGUAUAUAAGGAAGACGUUCUUAGUUGUUUAAGAAAAAGUGCGCGAUAGAAGAAUUCCAAAGUCUGAAGCUCCUAUUUGUUUAGAUAAAUCUCUUGAGCGAAUACUUGUAUACAAAAGAGAGUCUAUAUUUGUGAGAGACCUUGAGAAGGUGUGAUAGAACAUCUACACUGUGGAAUCAAGGCAAAGCUGUGCUGUAACUUCUCUUUUGAUCAUAGUAAAAUCCAGCCGGUAGGCUGUCAGUGUGGAAGAGUGGACGUAGGCUUGGAAUAAGCCGAACCACUAUAAAUCCUGUGUUUGAUUUUCUCUUCCUUACUCUCUCUACAUCGAUCGUAUUUCAAUCUGUUGCUUCCGUAUAUCGAAAAAGUGUUUGUGCGCCUAUUCACCCCCCCUCUAGGUGUUUAUACUAGCAAUAUCAAUUGGUAUCAGAGCCUGUGUACUUACUUUAUUUGAAGUGUAUUACUUCAUAGUAAAAGAUCCAUGGCUAGUAUGCUAGCACCAGGGCUGAUGGAAGGGCAAAGCAAUACCAGACCACCUUACUUUGAUGGAAAGGAUUACAACAUCUGGAAGAACAAGAUGAAAGCUUUCCUACGAUCAAAGGAUCCUCUGGAAUGGGACGUUGUAGAAAAAGGAAUUACUCCUACCACUGCAUCGGUCUCUGAAAGAGGAAAAGAAACUGAAGAAUCCAGCGGAAUGUCUCAGGAAGAAAUAACCAAGAGACAGACACUCGAUGCAAAAGCAAUUUAUUCCUUAUAUUGUGCUUUAUCACCAACUGAAUAUAAUAGAAUAUCUUCUUGUGGUACAACAAAAGAAGUUUGGGACAGAUUGCAUAUCACCUAUGAAGGAACAGAUCGAGUGAAGGAAACAAGAAUCAACAUUCUUCUCGGUCAAUAUGAAGCCUUCAGAAUGAAGCCAGGAGAAUCAAUAUCUGACAUGUUUAGUCGUUUUACAGAUAUUGUAAAUGGUCUUGAAAAUCAAGGUCAACCAACUUCUGAUCCCAUGAAGGUAAACAAGCUACUGCGUGGACUCUCCAAGGAUUGGAAUCACAUAAAGACUUCGAUAAGAGAGACGCAGAGAAUUAUGCCACUAUCUGUCGAUGAGCUGAUUGGAACUAUUCAGUCAUAUGAAAUGGAAAGGAUCAAUGAAGAUGAAGAUCCAAAAGGUAAGAAAUCCAUUGUGUUAAAAUCAAAUGAUGAUUCUGAUGAUAUGGACGAUGAGGAGUUUGCUCUCAUGAUAAGAAAAUUCAGAAAACUGAAUAGAAAAGGAAGAAGGUUCAACUCAAAGAAACAAAGCUUUCAAAGACAGCAGACCAAGUCUGUUGAUGAUGAGGAACCAAACAAAGACAUAGUCUGCUUUGAAUGUAAGAAAAAGGGACACAUCAGACCCAACUGUCCUCUUCUGAAGAAGAAGAGAGGAAAAGCUGAAAAUUUUCGAAAAGCUCUCAAAGCCGAAACCUGGAGUGACACAGAGUGUGAAGAAAGUGAUAAUGAAUAUGCCAAUCUAUGUCUGAUGGCACAAUCAGACUCGGAUUCUGAAUCAGACUCAGACAGUGAAUUUGAGGCAAGUAAUUUUAAAAUUCCUGUCAAAGUUUCUAAAUAUAUUGAUGAAAUAUGUUUUAGUCUUAAGACUUCUCUCAAAAGAAUUUCCGAAUUGAAAAAGGAAAACUCAGCUCUAAAACAAAAGGAAAAUGUUUUAGCAGAAAGAGUUAAAAGUCUUGACUUGUCUGUUUCCAAUCUUAAUGAAAAUGAAGACAAUCUUUUAAAAGAAAAUGAUUUUUUAAAAACAGACUUAUCAAAUAUAUCAAAGAAAUUUUCAAUAGGGUCUGAAAAACUUGAGAAAAUUCUUUCAGCACAAAGACCUUACUUCAAUAAGUCCGGUCUAGGUAUGACAGAAGAAACAAUUCCCUUGAUUGAUUUUCCUAAAGUGAAAGAAAGAAUUAAGAAAAGACUCUCGAGUGAGGUUUACAAAAAUCACUUCAAAAAGGUUUUUGUAAAAUCUGUAGGUAGAAAUGCUCUAAAAUGUUCAAAAUGCAACAGUCCGGAUCACUUUGAAAAAGAGUGUCCUAUGGUUUGGAAACCUGUUAAGAAAAUAUGGGCUAAUACUGCUUAUGCUACUAACACCAAAAGACCCAAGAGAGUUUGGGUACCAAAGAAAGCUUGAGACUCUUUUUUAAAUGUAGGUCACCGUUAAGAAAAAGGUAAAGUGGUAUCUUGACAGUGGAUGCUCAAGACACAUGACAGGAGACUCAAAAUGCUUCAUAAAGCUUGCUCAAGUAAAUGGUGGAAAAGUUUCAUUUGGAGGAAACAACAAAGGAAGUAUUGUGGGAUUUGGAACUGUGAAAAUUGGAAAUCUCACAAUAAGUAAUGUUUCCUUAGUGGAAGGACUCAAUUACAAUCUUCUCAGCAUUAGUCAACUGUGUGAUACUGGCUUCAAGAUCUUCUUUCAAGAAGGAAUAUGCUCUGGAAUCAGUAAAGACUCUACUCAGUCUUUCAUGGGUCGUAGACAUGGAAACAUCUAUCUUCUGGAUGUGAAACCAAAUGAAUCGCAAUGUUUUAUCUCAAUUCAAGACGAAGCAAGCUUAUGGCACAUAAAGCUUGGUCAUGUCAACAUGAAGCAAUUAGCCAAAAUCUCAUCAAAACAGCUUGUUCGAGGACUGCCCAGAUUACCUUAUCAAAAGACUGAUUCAUGUACUCCAUGUAUUCUGGGAAAACAGGUAAGAAAUUCAUUUAAGCCAAUAAAUCAUGUCUCUACUAAUCAUGUACUACAGUUGCUGCAUAUGGAUCUCUUCGGAUCAACCAGAACACAAAGUAUUGGAGGUAAGAAAUAUUGCCUAGUAAUUGUGGAUGAUUACUCCCGUUUUACUUGGGUAUAUUUCCUUGCAAGUAAGUCUGAAACCUUCUCGUAUUUUGAAAAGUUUGCUAAAAAGGUUCAAAAUGAAAAAGGAUGUGUUAUCUCUUGUAUAAGAACAGAUCAUGGAGGUGAAUUUGAAAAUCAAGAUUUUACAAAAUUUUGUGAUGAAUCUGGCUUUAAUCAUGUUUUCUCCUCUCCAUAUACUCCUCAGCAAAAUGGAGUUGUGGAAAGAAAGAACGGAUCUCUUCAGGAAAUGGCUAGAACUCUUUUAAUAGAAAGCAAGAUUUCUUCACAAUUUUGGGCUGAAGCUGUUUCAACAGCUUGUUAUAUCAUCAAUAGAGUCUUCUUAAGACCUAUUCUAGAGAAAACCCCUUAUGAAUUGUUCAAAUAUAAGAAGCCUAUUGUUUCAUACUUUCAUGUAUUUGGUUGCAAAUGUUUUAUAUUGAAAAAUGCAAAAGAUAGAGUUGGUAAGUUUAAAGAAAGAUCAGAUGAAGGUAUCUUCCUUGGAUAUUCUACAUCAAGCAAAGCCUUCAGAGUCUAUAACAAGAAGAGCCAGUCUGUGGAGGAGUCAAUGAAUGUCAAAUUUCAAGACUCAACACAAGAUGAAUCAAGUUAGACUCAUCAAGAAGAGUCUGAACCUGCUCCAGACCUUCCAAAGCUUACAACUCAAGAAGCAUCUCAGACUCUGGAAAACCAGCAUCAGGAUGUUCGUGAAGAUCCAAACAAAGAGAGAGAUCAUCAACCAGAAAAAUCAACAAGUAACUGGAAGCAUAAGUCCAGUCAUCCUAAAGAUCUUAUAAUCGGUGAAAUUAAUGAAGGAAUUCGCACCAGAUCCAAAAGACGAGAAGAGUCUAGUGCUGUAGCACUUGUUUCUGAAAUUGAACCAAAAAGCAUAGGAGAAGCUUUGACUGAUGAAAGCUGGAUUGAAGCUAUGCAAGAAGAGCUCAGACAGUUCAGCAUUAAUGAUGUCUAGGAAUUGACAUCCAAACCAAAAGGUAAAACUGCUAUUGGAGCUAAAUGGGUGUUCAGAAACAAGAUGCAUGAGAAAGGAAAAGUCGUACGAAACAAAGCAAGACUCGUGGCCAAGGGAUACACGCAAGAAGAAGGAAUAGACUAUAAUGAGACUUACGCUCCAGUAGCAAGGUUAGAAGCUAUUCGACUAUUACUUGCGUUUGCUUGUUAUAAGAAUUUCAGGUUAUUCCAAAUGGACGUCAAAAGCGCCUUCCUAAAUGGAUUUAUCCAUGAGGAAGUUUAUGUGGAACAACCACCAGGGUUUGAAGACCCAAAGAAGCCAGACUCAGUCUUUAGACUGAAAAAGGCUUUGUAUGGUUUAAAGCAAGCACCUCGAGCUUGGUACGACAGAUUAAGUAAGUUCUUAAUACAAAAUGGUUUUGUCAAAGGUAAAGUAGAUACGACUUUAUUUAUCAAAAAGGAGAUCAAAAGUUUCUUACUUGUUCAAAUAUAUGUGGAUGACAUUAUUUUCGGAUCUUCUAAUGAAAAUUUGUGUAGGAAAUUUUCUAAGUCUAUGCAAGAUGAAUUUGAAAUGAGUAUGAUGGGAGAAUUAACAUUCUUUCUUGGUCUUCAAGUAAAACAAUUGAAGGAAGGAACUUUUAUUUAUCAAGAAAAAUAUGUUAAUGAUCUUGUCAAAAGAUUUGGACUGGAGAAGUGCAAAAAGACCGACAUACCGAUGUCAAGUUCUUUGAAGAUAGACAAAGAUGAAGAAGGGAAGAAAGUUGAUCAAAAGCUGUACAUGAGCAUCAUUGGUUCACUUCUUUAUCUUACCGCUUCUAGACCUGACAUCUUGUUAAGUGUUUGCAUCUGUGCAAGGUUUCAAUCAGAUCCUAGAGAAUCCCAUCUCAGUGCUGCGAAACGCAUCAUUAAAUACGUGACUUCAUCAUCAAGCAUCGGUCUUUGGUAUCCUAAGAAGGGAGACUUUAAUCUUCUAGGAUAUUCAGACGCAGAUCUGGCCGGUUGCAGAGUUGAUAGAAAAAGCACUUCGGGAACCUGCCAGUUGCUUGGAGCAGGAUAGUAUCUUGGUUUUCAAGGAAACAAAGCACUGUGUCCCUUUCAACAACAGAAGCAGAGUAUGUAGCCCUGGGAAGCUGCUGUUCGCAAAUUCUAUGGAUAAAACAACAGCUAAGAGACUUUGAAAUUGAAGACUCAUGCACGGAGAUUAAUUGCGACAACACCAGCGCUAUCAACCUCACUAAAAAUCCAAUUCUCCACUCAAGAGCAAAGCAUAUAGAGAUUCGACAUCACUUUAUUAGAGAUCAUGUUCAAAAUGGAGAUGUUUCAAUUCAAUUUGUUGACUCAAAGAAUCAACUGGCGGAUAUAUUCAUAAAGCCUUUGGAGAAAAAUCAAUUUGAGUCUAUUCGUUCCAGACUCAACAUUUUGAGGUAUGAGGAUAUCAAAGUCUAAAGACUUUCAAACUCAGACUUACAAGACUUUAUCUGAAAGACAGUCUUGGUAUGUCCGUCAGACUGUAAGUCUUUCUCCCUUGAAUCUCAUCUUGAAAAUGUACGAUCAUCAGACUGUGUUUAAAUUGUUGCUAUAUUUAAUUGAUGUAAAUAUUGCAUCGCUUCAUUUUCAAAAGGGAAGUUAUUUUUGAAAUAGCUAUUUUUGCGGAAAAAGACGGUUAUUUUGAAAAGGCAUAUUUUUAUUUCCUUUGUGACGGUUCGUUUACCCUUCUUUUUAACCGAUCGUGCACUGUCGAUUCCUCUUCACUUUUCUCUCAAAAACCCUAGAAAGCAUCGAUCCUCCAUUCCCGUUUGUCUUCUUCGUUCAAUCCUCAAAAAGUUGUCAUAUUUCCUGGGAAAGUCAAGCAAGGAAUCUUCCAAAAACUAAGAAAGAUGUCAUCUUCAAGAAAGUCCUCAGAUCGCAGCAGGGGACCACGGCGGAUGAGUGAGGGCUACGCACUUCGAUCUUNNNNNNNNNNNNNNNNNNNNNNNNNNNNNNNNNNNNNNNNNNNNNNNNNNNNNNNNNNNNNNNNNNNNNNNNNNNNNNNNNNNNNNNNNNNNNNNNNNNNNNNNNNNNNNNNNNNNNNNNNNNNNNNNNNNNNNNNNNNNNNNNNNNNNNNNNNNNNNNNNNNNNNNNNNNNNNNNNNNNNNNNNNNNNNNNNNNNNNNNNNNNNNNNNNNNNNNNNNNNNNNNNNNNNNNNNNNNNNNNNNNNNNNNNNNNNNNNNNNNNNNNNNNNNNNNNNNNNNNNNNNNNNNNNNNNNNNNNNNNNNNNNNNNNNNNNNNNNNNNNNNNNNNNNNNNNNNNNNNNNNNNNNNNNNNNNNNNNNNNNNNNNNNNNNNNNNNNNNNNNNNNNNNNNNNNNNNNNNNNNNNNNNNNNNNNNNNNNNNNNNAGGAAAAAUGGAAGAUUUGUUCAGAUCAAAGGAGCAAAAGGAUCUGUACUCGAAAUUGCUUAAGCGUGGGGUAAUAAACCCUAGGAGUGUGGAUUUUGAUUUUCUGGAUGCAGUGAAUGUGAACUUAAGGGAAAAGUUCAGUUAUCUUCAACUUGAAAAGUUCUGCUCUGACUCUACAGAGGCAUAUGCUGAAUUAACUGCAUAUUUCUAUUCAAAUCUAAGCUUUUUAGAUGCGAAUAGAUUCUCUUUCAGCGUUAAAGACCAAGACUAUGUUGUGGAUAUGAAUAUGCUGGCAGAUGUGUUAGAAGUCGAAAGAGGAAGAUAUCAAACAAUCAAAGUUUCCAUUGCUCGGGCCACACUUGAACUAGUGAAGGACAGGAGAACAGAUGAAAAGAUCACCUACUUAAGGAUGGGUGCAUUCAACAUCUUGCUUCACAAGAUCGUGAUUAAUUGCCUCCAACCGAAAUCAACUUCCAAGACAGAUGUUUCAAGUUCAGAGGCUAAACUGAUGUAUGCCAUUCUUUUUGGAAAAAGGUUUUCUCUCCCUCACACUGUGAUGUUUCACAUGUAUAGAGCAAUGAUGAAGGACAGAGGUCAACUCCCUUAUCCAAGCCUUGUUACGAAGUUAUUCAGACAUCUGAAUAUUCAGCCUCCACAAAUCUUUUGUGUUCGACCAUGCGAUCAUAUGGUGGUAGGUCUGAAAAUGGUUACCAAAAUGCGUCUGAAGGAACUGAGCAAGGAAUUGGAGAAAUUCAAGGAGAAGACUCCUGCAAAAUCUCAUCAAAUCCCUUCUGCAGCUAAAAGAAAAGGGAAGGAGCCCAUGGUUGCUCCAUCCAAGAGAAGAAGAGCUCUCCUCGUUGAGGAUGAAGAUGAUGAGGAAGAAAUCACCAUCUCUGCAUUGGCUUUGAAGAAUUUAAGUCGUCCUGUUCAACAGCAAGAUUCGGAACAAAUGACAAAAGAAGCAGAGGAGAAGGAAGCAGAAGAAUUAGAAGCUGAAAAAGAAACAAAGGAGGAAAGACCAGAAGAAGAAAGAAGAGAAAAAGGAGAACAUGAAGAACACUCUUCUCCACCUGUAGGCAUGGAAACAGGGGGAGAUCAGGAGAAAGGAGUGAAGUCUUCAUGUCCCUGAUGCAAGUGAAGGAGUCAGUCGCUCACCAGCAGACCCAGAGGAUGUUUAUGCAUCCCAGUUUCCAAAAGAAGGUCAUGAAGUGUCAUCGCCAAACCUGCAAGAUUAUGCUGAUCUACCAUCGUCUGCAUUUACUCCAUCAGAUCGAGCCGAAGCAAGUACUCAGACUGAUAAUGGAGCCGAUUUUCGCAGAAUCAUGGAUAUUCUCUUAGAGAUGCGAGGUCAGAUUUAUGCCUUAGGAUGCGAAGUUCAAAGCUUGAAGAAUGAAGGUCAAGCUUCUUCCUGUUCAUUGAAUGAUAAAAUGCAAGCCCUCUCUAUUCAGAAUCAGGCCAAUGCCAAGAGUGAGGAGAUUGCACAACUAAAGGAAGACUUUAAGAGGCUGGAAGGCAUCGUUCAGUCUAUGGAAGAUUUCCAGCUUGUCCGCGUUCCCAAGCAAUCUUAACUUCAUCUCAUCCUUUUUAAUGAUGACAAAAAGGGGGAGAGAUGCAAGAUUUGAUCAAAAACUUUUUAUUCAUUAAAAUUUUUGUUUGUUGGAUUAUUUUGUGGUUUGUGGUUUGAACUUGUUUGACUUUGUUUUGUGUCUGGAUGAGAACUGAACUAGACUUGGACUUGACUGCUUCUAUUAACCAAUAUUGAUAUCUUAUGAAUGGCUUCAUCAUAUACUGGACUAACCUAUUUUCUGUGGUUGCAGAUUCUAGUGUUAUUCUGUUAGCCAUUUAUCUCUAUAAGAUAUGCAUAUGUGUUUGAGGAAUGUUUUGCAGGUCAAAAAUAUCCAAAUCUGCAGGAAAGUUUUGUCACCAUCAAAAAGGGGGAGAUUGUUGGAGAAAUCUUCUUGAAGUGUUUUGAAGUUGACAAAACAUUUCUAUCAGUCUAGUCUGAAGGUUUGCAGACUCUGCUAUUUAAAGUCUGAAGACCUCCGAAUAGCCAGACUCAAGACUCAAAGUCUAUCCUCAUUGACAGUCUCUAAUCCAUUGAAGAAAGGUUAUCCAGAACUAUAUGUUUCGUUAAGGAUUUGACCUUAUCAACUGGAGAAGAUCUCGUGGCUAGAGAAGACAUAACGGAGUCCUUUGAUUGAUCGAAAAUUGACUCGAUAAAUGAAGAUCCGGUGAUUGCCUAAGUAUUAUUGGAAGGUUCUGCUUAUGGAAACCGAGAUCCUGAUUGUAUGGGCGAACAGGAUUGAUGGGCUAUCAACACGUUCCUUUAAUAGCUUGAACAAUCUUCCUAAUUGAUUCUGUCCAACGGGUAGAUUGGAGGAAUUCCUUUGGUAAGUGCCAACGGGUAUGAUGGCAUAAAGGAGUAUAUAAGGAAGACUGUCUUAGUUGUUCAAGGUGUGCUCGAUAGAAGAAUUCCAAAGUCUGAAGCUCCUAUUUGUUUAGAUAAAUCCUUUGAGCGAAUACUUGUAUACAAAAGAGAGUCUAUAUUGGUGAGAGACCUUGAGGAGGUGUGGUAGAACAUCUACACUGUGGAAUCAAGGAAAAACUGUGCUGUAACUUCUCUUGUGAUCAUAGUGAAAUCCAGCCGGUGGGCUGUCAGUGUGGAAGAGUGGACGUAGGCUUGGAAUAAGCCGAACCACUAUAAACCCUGUGUUCAAUUCUCUCUUCCUCACUCUCUCUACAUUGAUCGUAUUUCAUUUUGUUAAUUAAGAGAGAAUUUCCUUUCUAUCAUAUGCUAAGAAUCGCUUCCGUAUUUCGAUAAAUUGUUUAUGCACCUAUUCACCCCCCUCUAGGUACUCAUACUAGCAAUAUCACGGAUAAUCUACAAUAUCCAAACAUGAUCAUAAACUUAAAACACCAAAUAAGAGUUAGCACUAAUCGAUUUGGAUUAGGUCAAUUGGACAUCUAAAUAGACAUGAAAAGGAAGUUGGUGUAUGAAAAUCUAUAAAUAUUAAGUCGGGGAGUUGAUGAUGCAUCAGAUGGGGUAGCAUCGCGCUACAAUCUUUUGAUUCGGUUUAAAAUAUAUAAGGACCUAAAAAAGGUAAAAUGACGAUUUUGAUUUUCUGUGAAAAAAGAAAUAGAGGGACUAUUGCUUUAUUGUCCUAACUAACAAGAUUGUGAACAUGACAUGGCCUUAUAUUUGCCCCGAGAAACAGACUUCCGCAUUGAGAGAGAUGAUUGAACUUUUUGUCGAUGAAUGUGCUCGUUUUCACCACAACAAUAGGCUAAUCAGUCACGUUAAGCUUUAUUUAAUUCCAUUAUUGUCACCAUAAUGGCAACUUUGAAUAAUACAUGAUUUCUGUAGACAGAUCACCAAUCUGUUCUAAACAUUCGUGAUGACAUGAUCCGCUUGCCUUGAUGAGGAUGAGGAAUCAAGCUAGAUCUGUAUAAGACCGUCUUGAAUUAACUGUUGGAGAUUCCACCCAUCAUACUGGCACUUAUAAGACCAAUACGACCACCCGAAAGUGGCCCGCCCAUACACAUCUUGCUGAGCCUUUGCAAAGCUCCCCGAAUCCUCCAUUGUUGCCCCUUUGAAGUCCAAAACCGAGGUCCAUUCUCCUGCGAAACCCAAUUUAGAUCAUGAAGGUCAUGACAUGAAUCUGCUCACCUGUGCGCGUGGUGUGUACUUGUGUAUUCUGCACAAGCAUGUUAAUGUCGCUUUCCGACCACAUGUUAGAACUCACCAACAAAGCUCAAGGGGCCGUUUGCCGGGGUUACUUUGCUUAGAUCGGAAGCUCUAUUGUUAUAGAUGUAGUCAAUGUUCUGCUGCAGAUUCCACUGUUGAAACAUCGGAUUAUAGAGGUUGUAGUAAUGCACGUCGAUGACGACUCGGCUCAAGCCUUCCGCAAGCUGAAGGAGCGGUCCCAACCGGUUGGACAUGAUGACAUAAGCAUUCAGAGUGUGACUUCUCACGGCAUCAUAACCUAACCGGUAGUAUUUAGUAAGAUCCUCCAACUUGACACCCGGAGCUAGAGGCUCGUUCAUCAGCUCGAUCGCAACCAAUGCCGGGUGGUUGCCAUAUCUACUUGACAAUCAUAAGGGAGAAUGCUAUGAAAAAUCUGAUUAUAAGAUCUAGCGUACUAAAUAUCAUUACCAAUGGUUGCGAUUCAUCAGCAAUACUAAAGAGAUAAUUGUCAUGAGGGAUUUGUUUAAAUCGAGAACUCAUAUGCCAGACCUUGCUGCUAGGAAGUCUAUAACUUUCACAGUGUCCUCAAUGUAAGAGUCACCCCAUUCCAGAUAUCCAUCUCUCGAUGCGCUAUGAGAUUCGCCAUUUUGAGAUCCUGGAGCAGCAUGAAGAUUAACUAUUACCUUCAAACCAUGCUUCCUGAAAAAAGAAAAAUUCAAUUAUUCAAGUUUAGACUUACAGGAUUCUUGUAACUUCGAUCAUGACUGAUUAAAAUUUCUAUUGGAAUUAUUCGACUAAGAUGUAAAAGAUCGAAAGUUGCUUACGCUGCCCAUGUAAAUGCGUUAUCCAGUGCAUUUAGGGAGCCUCCCACAAAAGGCAUCGGCGGCACUGGAUCAUACGCAGUCCACCAUCCUACCGGAAUCCUCACGGCAGUUAGACCAUAGGCCGCCAUAAAUUCAAAGUCCUGCUCGGUAAUGUAACUGUUCCAAUGAUCCUGCAGAGCACGUUUGUUCAUAUUUUUCUGAUCUAAUUAGUCACUGUAUCACUAUUUCGUGCUUCCUUUGCCACUAAUUAAUUAAGGAUUACCUGUAGGAGUUUUGAGGCAGCACUAGGGCCAUACCCAUUUGUUAUUUGGUAUUCUCCUUGUAAAACGCCAACGAUAUUCAUUUCAAAGACCGACGGGUCAUUAUCAUCCCAACUCGAGCCUCCAGUAUAAUCUGCCGUCACUUCCGUCAACGACGUUACCUGCUUAUCCAUAUUGUAUUAGAGAAUCACAUCAAUCAAUGUGACUGUGUCCAAUUAAUAAUCGAGGAAUAUGGGGACCCUUUCAAUUAUCUUUGGUCGGGGAUUUCGGAAGAUGGAAUGGAAAUGCUUUCGUAAUCCACGAUUAAGGAAUAAAUAUAUUGUUUCGUAAUCAAUAUGACUGUAUCCGAUUAAUAAGCGGGGAAUUUGACUGUUUCCUUCAUUUUACGAGGCCUCGUCAUUGCAAAAAUUGUGUAUAUUGUUUGUAAAGGACGUAAGUACACUCGUCGUAUUGCGUGGAGUGUCGCUGUUGCUUUUCAAGCAAACUAGGGUUGCUCAUCACGUCCUCUUGGCGUCAAGAAAGUACAGUGGCUUCGCGUAAUUUCUACUGUGCAACUUGUAAUGUAAACAAGGACUUUCUUUGGUGCUGCGCUAUCCUGCACAACAAUCUGCACAACAAAGUCACUGGCUCAGUGAGGCGGCCCCCCUCACGGGCAGCGUUAGGUAAACGCCCCUUAGGUGAGGAUACGUGUGAGAAUUAGGGUUAGAUGAGAGGACUUGAGCACUAUUUAUAGAGUUUCCAGCCAGUCCCUCUCAUUACGGGUCAGGCUCAACUCGGCCCACACUAGCCAACCCAUAUUAGACUAAUUAAGAAACCUUCUAUCUCACCUUAGACCAACCCUAUUUUACGGUAGCCGUAAAAACAGUAAAUUACAAUAUCAAUUAAUUUAGUCCACAUUAGAAAAAACUCUUACAUUCUCCCACUUGAACUAUAUUAAUUGAAAUUGUACUGUAUGUGUGCACAUUUGGUUCAGAGAUAAUUCUUAAUACAAUCCUAUCCCAUAAAGUCUUAAACACCAAAUCAUGGUGAUAACUGCAUGUAUACACACAGAGCCUUCCAUGGUCACGAAUGUUCUCAACUUUAUUGAUAUGGAUUCAAUAUGGUAGUGUGGCAAAUGGAUAACAUCUCUCAUAGAGAGAUCCCAUUUGUCAGUCACCAUUCUCUUAACUUUAGACGUCACAAAAACUUGUGCCACUAGAGAAUGCUUUAUGGUUCCAAUGAACCCACAUAUGUCUUGUCCUUAUGGUUAACCUUUAUUUAUGUAUCACAAGACAUAUGCACAAGGCUAAUAACCGGAUGCCCGGAUGCCCCUAGCCUUCACUCAAGGUUUAUACAAUCCCUUGAGACUUUAUCAAUAUGUAUUCAACAUAAUAAUAACACAUUCAAAAAUAUUUUAUUGAAUGCAAAAGUUGAUACAUAUCAAACCGUUACAAAAUGUAACGAAUACAGAUGAAACCCUUAUCAGAGUAAAGCCAAAAUAGCUCCCACUAAACAACAGCAUCUCAUGAUGCUCCUAGGCCUAUGCUAACAAUAUGUCACUCAAAUACACACGAGCGUAGGCCUUUAGUUAGUGGAUCUGCAAUCACAUCAUCUGUGAAAUAUAUACUAUAUUAAAACAUCACCUUUCUGUACUGUUUGCUUUUGGUAAAACAUUUUGACCACCAUAUAUUUAGAUCCCUUGAGACCUUUGUAAUAAAUAAAUAAUACUACAAAUUUGUUAUCUCAAUACAACCGUACGGAUCUAUUCAUAAAGUUAAAACGAUCAACUCCUUUAAUGAGGUUCUGGAGCUUAAAAGCCCAAGUAACAGCCUAAAAGAAUGUUACUAACACUGCUUACAUAGUAGAAGAUGACAUAGAACUUUAUUUAUUGCACUUACUGCUAACAUAAAUAUGUAUUUUGUUAUUGAUUGCAUAUCAUCAUAACAGCCAGCAAAGUUUAUAUCUAAAUACCCUACUAACUGCAAGAAUUGAACAUGUCUAUAAAUUAGCAUAUAAUCUCUUGUUUUCUUUAAGUACCUUUAAAAUCUUCUUGGCAACAACCCAGUGAUCACAUCAUGGAUUUGACUGAUAUCUUCCUAGAAGUCCCGUCACAAAGACGAUAUUUAGUCUAAUGCAAAUUUGAGUAUACAUUAUACUUUUAAGUGCACUGACACAAGGUACACAAUUUAAUUAGAUUUUCUCAAUAUCUAUAUAAGGACAAUGUGAUAGAUUUAGUCCAUCACCCUUAACAACAUGAGCAAUUCCUAGCUUGCAAUGAUGUAUAUUGAAUAUUUCCAAUAUACAAUAAGCAAAUGUCAUUCGAGAAAAUCUAAUAUAAUAUGGCAAAAACAAUCCUUACAGACCUCAGUACAAAGGAUAUAAGAUGUCUCAAGGUCACAACUUAAAUUUCCUCUCACUGACCUUGCAGUAUAUUGAAUUACUUUGUUCCCAAUUGAACAAAAUAACAACACUAUAAAACUUUAAGAAUAUUGUCUGGAAACUUGCUUAAGACCAUGAAUUAGAACUUUUCAGUCUACAUACAAGUUUACUUGAAUCUGUUGCAAAAUCAUCCAGUUGCACUAUAUAGUUUACUUGAAUCUGCUGCAAAAUCAUCCAGUUGCACUAUAUAAAUUUUGAAUCUGUUUAACGUAACUCCAAAUAAAAAAGAGUUAUUAAUGCCACGUUCACUCUGAAAGAAUAUUUAAAUAAAUAAUUAUUUCUUCACUAUAAACUAUCCACCCCUCUUUCAGAGUGAAAACUUUAGUUACCAAUUUAGCUUUAGAUUCCACAAUCUUUCUUUGAAAUUCUUUUAAUUUUGAAUGCCAAUUUGCAACUAAUGAACUUGUAAUCUUUAGGCAAGUAAGUUUCCAAACACUAUGAUGUUUCAUAGAUUGUAUAUCGCCUUUUGUGGCAUCUAAUUACAUACUUGAUUGAGAAUAAGAAACGACAUUUAUAAAUAUGUCAUUACAUCAACCAUAUAGUGGAUAUUGUAAUCAUGCUCUUACAAAUAGACUAUAUAGUCUGAUGGUAUAACUGAUAAUCUUUCCUUAACAAAUCUCCUUAAUAAAGCUGCAACCACUUCAUUAUGCACUUGAGAGGUUUAAGAAAUUUCAUUAUAAACUAUAUCAAGAAUAGUACCUUAAACCUCAACAAGUUUAGUCUAUGGUACAUGAGAUUUCACAAUUGGCUGUACCACAAUUGUUAUAUAGGCAAAGACAAAGACACGGUAAUUUUCCAUUGUACUUUUAUCCUUAAUAGUCUGAGAGCAGCUAUCCUCGUCAAACUGUAGAAACUUUACAGUAAGUGAUACCAUAAUUCUUGUAUCUUCUUUAGGGUCUUAAAAUUAAUAUCCUUUUGAACAAUCUAGGUAAGAAACAAAAUAAUUCCGAGUGAAUCUAAAUUCCAACGCCUCUAAUAUUGGAUUAGAUAAUCUCACUUCUGCAUAACAUCUCUAAAUUUAAUAUGAUUCAAAUAAUUUAUGUCCAGUGUAUAACUCAAAAGAAGUUUAUGAAACAACUUUGAUAAGAGACACAUUUUGUAUGUGAAAAAGUUGCUUUCAUAAUAUCAGCCCACAGAAAACCAAAUAAAUUGGUCUUACUAAUCAUACUCAUCACCAUGUUCAUUAUGGUGUAUUUAUGCCUUUUGGCCAAAUCUUUUUAUCAGAAUUUUCAGGUAUAGUAAUUAAAUUACCACCACAGAAUCUACCAAGUAUUUGACAAAUAACCCUUUAAGCUAUUUCGCAUUGUCAUACUUGUCAAAAUAAUCACGGCCAUUAUUAAGCCUAACAUCCUUCAAAACUAAUUUUUAAUCAAUUUAUUCUUUAUCAUGGCCAUUUUCCUUAAAUAGAAAACUUUUGGAAACAACAUUUUAAUCAUAUGCGAGAUGUAUAUGUCAUUAGGACUUAAACACAAUCUUUGCAGAUAUGUCCUAAUUUCAAUAUCAGACAAGACAAAAUUUCAAGCAACUAAGGCUUCCAUCAUCUUAUAGCAGUGCAGUCCACAGGCAAAUCUCUUUUCAAGUGUUCUAGAAUGGAACGCUUCAUGGACAGUAAGCAAAUUCAAUUGCUUAUUUCUCAAACAACAAAUCAUAUGUCCAUAACUUAAAAUUUGAAGCAGUAAAAACAUCAAUAAUAGUGGAGUUAUUAAUCACAGAAAAGGUGACUGAAAACCAAGCAAUAUAUAUAAUUAGCAUGCUGUGUAACUUGAUGUACAAGUACACAUCCAGAGAGUUACAUGCAUAAUCAUAUAAUCACCUUUGGGCAGAAUACAUGACAUGCAGUUGUAUACUCCCCACAUGAUAAGGGUUAUGAGAAUAUAUUUCAAUCUUCGUGAAUUCAUCACCUUUGGGCAUAUGAACCAUUAGGAUCGGUCACUCCUCCACCACACUAUCAUGUAUCCCUCCAUGAACCAAUACACAAUCACCUUCUUUGGGAGUAUGACCACGCAUUAGAUCAGGAGACAUCCUAAUCAUCAUAUGAGACCGAAAUUUCUCAAACCCAAUCAAGCGUGCCACUUUGGCGGUCACUACUCAAUUGAAUAAUUGAAAUUCUCUCAUACCAGGGAUAUAAACUUUACUCCUCACAUACACCAUAUACAUGUGAUUUUAACUUUAGUGAUAGGGGCAGCAUAUCACCAAAAUCACAUAUCAUGCUAAUUACACUGCUUUAUUCAUUAAUAAAAAUUAAUCAUAUAUAUAUAUAUAUAUAGCGAACCUGUUUUGACAGAUUCUAAUGAGAUCAUUGAUUACAGUAACACAAGAAACUUUUCAUAACAGAGAAUAAAACAUCUCUUAUGCAUCCUGAUUACAUAUUACCAGAACAACAUAAAAAGAAUGCUGAUCUAAAAUAUCUCUCACAAAUUAACAUCAAUAGGAAUACAGGGUACACCAAAUCAACAAGCACUAUUGCUCAUGAGUUUCAUACGGCAAAACAUGACUCAAAGGCCAACAUCUGAUUUAUUUUUUUUUUUUUUGGUGCUGGAGGAACAGCUAUUGGGCCGAUAGCCGUUCCCGUAAACCCCCAGGCGACGCUUGCAGGGAAACCACCACCCCGACGUCACGCUUAAGUCACCAUAUAGUAGCUAGACUGCCUCCCUGCUUCGCAGGGGAUUCGAACCUUGGCCUCCACCGGGGAGGUCCAAGGCCCUGCCAUCUAUGCCACCUUGGUCGGUGGUGCCAACAUCUGAUUUAUUAGCCAAUUUUAAGCAACAAAUUAUCAUUGUAAUCAACCAGUGACCUAUUCAUUGAGUCAAACCAGAGAAUCAAAUAUCUAAAAUUUAACAGUAGAUACUAUUGCUUUGCAUAAAUAUUGCCAUACUCCUUUACCAUAAAAAUAUUCAAGUUGAUAGACAUUAACAAGUGACCAGAUGUGUUCAUGUACAAUAUGAAGUAAUAUAAUUGACAUGCAUUACCCACAUACAACAAAUAUGUUAAUCAGUACAAUCAAUUUGGUCACGAGUUCUUAAGACGUCUAUCAUUCAAAGAUUACCAGCGUGUAAAAGAGUAUGCAUGAGCAAUAAAAAUUUCAUGACUUUUACUGUUUCUCAUUAUCUCAAGAUAUAUUCAAUUACUGUCUCAUAAUAAUUGAAUCUCAUUAAGCCAGCUUCAGUUCACAAUCAAGUUUGAUUUUUAUUGAUGAAUCACACCUUUAUAAUGAUUAUGUGAUAAUAUACCUAUAACCCAACACUUAUAUUUUCAAAAUCACAGAAAAUAUAAGAAAAAUACGCAAAAAUACACGUAUUUAGGGUUUCGUAUAUAUUUUCACAUCCAUAAAAUCAUCAAACAUAUAAAAUAAAUAUACCAUGAGAUAGGAAAUCACCGUACGAGUCCAACGCUGCCAGACACGCGCCGAACAGAGCCUUCACGCGCCCGCACGCGCCUCCUGAGUGCGCGGCGCGUGUUCGACGCGCAGGAGGCGCGUGGCCGCGCGUGGGGGCGCGUGCGACCUCCUCCGGCGACGCGUCGCCCAUGGUUUUCUUCGUCUCGUCGAGCCCAGUCCGAAUAUAUAAUUUAAUUUAAUUUUUAUUGAACUAAAAGUCUCGAAAAUCGCAAAUUAUGGCAAGAUCCUCACUAAUUAGGGCUAAUUCGUACAAAUUAGGGCAAAAUCAAUUGCGUUCAAAUUCUAAGGUUAUGGAGGCUCUGAUACCACAUGUUGGACGCAAAUUGCGCAAUCCCAAGAUCUCCAUAACCAGAACAAGAUCGUAAUUGAGUAGAAAGAUUAACGCACAUGUUUUGGGAUCCAUCGAACAUAAAGCGGAAGCAGGAAAAAUGAUUACCCACAUAUAUCAAGGGGAUCCGCGCAUCAAGUCCUUCUCCUCUAUUGCCCUCCGUAUCACUGGCUCAAUGAGGCGGCCCCCCUCACGUGCAGCGUUAGGUAAAUGCCCCUUAUGUGAGGAUACAUGUGAGAAUUAGGGUUAUAGGAGAGACUUGAGCACUAUUUAUAGAGUUUCCAGCCAGUCCCUCUCAUUACGGGUUAGGCUCAACUCGGCCCACACUAGCCAACCCAUAUUAGACUAAUUAAGAAACUUUCUAUCUCACCUUAGACCAACCCUGUUUUACGAUAACCGUAAAAACAGUAAAUUACAAUAUCAAUUAAUUUAGUCCACAUUAAGAAAAACUCUUACAGUAAGUACACUCGUCGUAUUGCGUGGAGUGUCGCUGUUGCUUUUCAAGCAAACUAGGGUUGCUCAUCACGUCCUCUUGGCGUCAAGAAAGUACAGUGGCUUCGCGUAAUUUCUAUUGUGCAACUUGUAAUGUAAACAAGGAGUUUCUAUGGUGCUGCGCUAUCCUGCACAACAAUCUGCACAACAACGUGAGUCCUUAAUUCCGACCCUCAGGUUGAAGAGAUUAUUGUCAACAAUUGGCUGACAAAUCACCAUCGACUGUCAACUCGAAUACGACUCACUGUCUACCAUUGUAUGGGUUAUGACCAAAUGGCUGUGAAACCAUCUACGACACCAAAGAAUCGGCCAUAUACACCAUAAUACCAUAGGAACUACUGAAGUCAUAUAGAAACUGGAACGGGGGAGUUACCUGGAGAAACAUCCCAUUAGAUGCUUGGAGUCGAACUCGAUUGGGAUUGUUUGGAUUCCUUACGAUGUCAAAAGUCUCUGAGAUACUCGGAGUACUGGAAACUGCUACAACCGUUGUUCCUUGGCCUUGCAAUCCAACAAAUUGCUUGUUGAAAACUCUGAGGUUGAAUUUUGUGUCAGAAAUCCUCCACAGCUGCACUAUAGAAAGAGAGCACAAGUCAUGCGGACGACGUGUGAAUCUUUUGAGCCUGUCUACAAGUCAAUAGUGAAUUUUGUAAGACAGAGAGCCAUACCCUGAAAGUUUCCCAGCCAGAGGCCUGGUCACGAUUGGCGACGAUGGUGGCUCUGCCGCUAUGAUCAGCAGAAAGGAAUUUCCUCAGCUUCGUUGACUGGAACUGCACUUGAGUCCCAUCCUACCAUGAAAACAAACGCCAAAAGUGGGAUUUGGUUCAUCUCAUUGAAACAGCGAAGUGAUAUUUGAAUAGCCAAAUAAAUAACAGUGUAUAUGCACAUACUGAGUGUGGGUAAUAGAGUUCACAUAUACAGAUCAAACCAACACCUAGUUCAUAUUUGUAUGUCAGAAAUCUGGCUAUAUGAUGGAAAGAAAUGUUUGAUUAUAAACAAGUUCUGUGACAUUCAGCAUCUUAAUUUGAGUAAACUGACCUAAUGUCAUGUUAAAUCAUGCACUAGUACAUAUAGACAUGUGCCAAACUUCCUCGUUUUGUCACUGUAUCAUUCUCAAAUAUCCUAGACAUUAAGCUAUAUCUAGUGCAGGCAUAUGUCAUAUUGGACCGAGAAGAAACUUUGUGAUCGCCCAGCAGUCAAGGGAAAGUGAAAUAACAAUCUAUUGAGCAUCACCUAAUAUGCUCUUUUUAUCUUUAAGAACUUACCAAGAGCUGUCCAUUAAGUCCAUCAAACAGAGAAGGCAUCAUCCACCCCUCAGUCACGAGCCAGUUUCCAAGGUUCACAGCCUUGAGGGGCAACUCGAACUCGGCUGCCUGGGCAAGGAUCAAGGGAAGAAACAUGCAGAGAGAACAGAGCGUCACGAAUGGGUGGCAAUAACAGUGCGCCAUUUCUAGCUCGCUCCUUUACUGUGACAUUAAACGAGAGGGAGAACCGACGCCUUUAUAGACUUCUACCUAAAAGUCUUAAAGAGUAAGAAGACUGGUUUUAUGUUGACAUGACUCAUUUGAGAGGAAUCCUGUGAUUGAUGACUAUUAUGCGAGAACUCACUCUACACGUUAAGGCUCCGUUCAUUUCGCAAAAAAUAAGGUGUUUUUAAAAAUAUAUUUUCUAGGAAGUCAGUUUUCAAGAAAAUAUAAUUAUUUUCCGGUGUUCGGAACCUAAAAAUGAAAUAGAAAAUAGUUUUCGCUAUUUAGUAAGGAAAAUAUUUUUUCUUCAUAUGCUCUUUUUCAUUUAUUUUUUUUUAAAAUGGAUUUUUCAUAUUUUAAAAUUUUGAUUUUUAAUGAUUUUUAAUUUUAAAAAUCUAUUAUUAAUUUUUUUUCUUUUUUCUUUUCUUUUUUCUUUGUUUUCCAUCUCCUUUCUUGGCCGGUCACCAGCCACGGCGAUGGCCUGUGACCGGCCACCGGCGAGCCUCAAGCUCGCCGACGAGCACGAGGCUCACUGCUCCCCAGAUUGGCGAGCGCGAGCGUCGAGCUUGAGGCUCGCCAGAUCGACAAGCGCGAGCUUGAGAUCGAUGAGCUCGAGAUUGGCCUAGCGACUAGCCAAGAAAGAAGAAGAUGAGAAACAAAGAAAAGAAAAAGAAAAAAAAUGAAAAUGAAAAUGAACAAAAUAAAAGAAAAUGAAAAGAAAUAGAAAAGAAAAAGGAAAUUAAAAAUAAUUCGAAUUAAAAUAGAAAAAUAAAAAUAAAGAAUAACUCAAAUAAAAAAAGAAAAGAAGAAUAAUAAAUGGGAGAAGGAAGUGAGGAUUUGUAGAAGUGUGAGAUAAGAGAGAUUAAGUGAGGAAAAUGUUUUCCACUUUUCAAAAGUGGAAAAUAUUUUUCCCUAAUUUAGAAAACUUUUUUCCUUUCAUGAAAAAAAUUUUCCUCAAGAAAUUCAUUUUCUGUGAAACGAACGCUGGAAAAUCCGGAAAACGUUUUCUUGAAAAUUAUUUUCCGCAAAACGAACGAAGCCUAAGAUAAAGAAUAUUACAUUUGGUCUUAAAAGUAUGGAGAUUAAACAGUCCGCUGUCCUUUUAAUAUUGCAGCAGGACGCAUGAUAUGGUUAAAGACAGAAUAUGCGUAUUACGAUCAAAGAAUAUUGCAUUUGGUCUUCUUUGCUGUGACAUUAAACGGUCCACUGUCCUUUUAAUAUCGGAUCAGGAUGCAUCAUAUGUUUAAGACAGAAUGUGCACUGUAGCCCUUUCCUCUCGUAAGGAACCAACGAAACUUGUUAAAACCGCUAAUGCUCCGAGGCCGGCUGAAUGGAUCCAUGGUAUUCGACCAUGUCCCUUGAUCAAAGGCAUCAUUACGUGCGAUGCGGGAUAUACGGUCGAUGCAUGAGUGUUGAUGCAUGAAGCCAACCACCUUCCGUUUUGUUAUUGUCUUUGCUUGGAGGAUCGUUUCGCGGUUAAUGAUUUCUUAAAAGAGAACAGAAAAUCUGGGAAGAAUUGCUUUUCCAAAGUCAAAAGUAGCGUGAGGACAAAAGGAACAGGCACCUACCCCAAGCGACGAGAUUCCAAGGGUUUUGGGAAAUAGGCGAGGAUUUGACAGAGCACUUGGAAGGGGAGAAAAGGAACCGGUACUCCCUACUCGUUGGUGACGUGUGCCCAUACGGGAUACCAGGUCCCAUACCAAUCAGGACCCACGAUUCAUGUUUUUACGCUGCGCUCGCAUCGAUUACAAUGUCAUUACAAGAAUAUAUUGGCACAACCGCAAGAUGUUAUUUUGGCGAACGUAUCAAUUCGUUUUAGUUUCAAAUUAGGUCUACCUUAUCAAGUUUUAAUUUUACUCUAUAAAUUUAUGCCAUGUUCAUAUUGUGUUCUUGCGUCGCAUCGAGGAUUACCGCCUUGGUUGCACGUCGGAUUUUUUUCUUUUUUCUUUUUUUUUCUUUUUUUCUUGCACGUCAGAUUUUAACACAUUAAAUUUUGUUGCGGAAUAAUGCACCGAAAAUCCUAAAUCCAAAUCAUUCUAAUUUAGGUCUAAUAUCACAAAAAAUCUCAAAGUGACUUUAUUAUAAACUAAUUUUUUAACUAAUUAAUACACCUGCAAUAAAUUUACUCAAAACUAAUUUUUUGAACAUAAAAAAUCCUAAAUUAGUAAAUUUGUAAUAAGUUUAGCCUCCAUUUAUUUUAUUUUAAAUUAGAGUAAUUCACAAUUAUGAUAAAUGGAGAAUAAAACCCAAAAUUGAUAUAUUUGUGAAAUGCCACGUGCCAUUCAACUCGACAUGUGACAAUAAAAUUUAAUAAAAACUAACAAAUGGUAAAUUUGUCACGAAUGUAUAAGUUUAGGAUUUAUUGUAAUAAAAAUAAUUAAUUUAGGUUUAAUUUAUCAUAGUUGUACAAAUUUUGGUUAGUCAUAACCCUUUAAUUUAUUCAAUUUUAUCUUGGACCCUUUUUUUCCCAAAAAAAAAAAAAAAUACGAUAAAAACCUUUCGAUGAAUUUUCAUAUGAAACUGCCAAUGUGUCACUAAGAAAUAACAGGAUAAGUAUGUUGGAAGUUUUAAAAAUGGAAGUACAAUUGAGUUAUAAAACUUUCAAAAAGUGCAAUUAAGUCCUAAAACUUAUUACGGAAAUGCAGUUGAGCCCUAAAAUUUUUAAAAAGUGCAAUCAAGUCCUAAAAUUUGUUAGAUUAGUCAAAUCUAAGUUAUUCCAUUGAUUGUACUUUUUGAAAGUUUUUAGGCUUGAUUGCAUUUUCAAAAUAAGUUUUAGGACUUGAUUACACUUUUUGAAAGUAUUAGAAUUCAAUUGCACUUUUGUGACAAAUUUUAGGACUUCUAAUACACUUAUAAAAAAAAAUCUACAUAGGAUCCUUAAUUUGCACUUUUCAACGUAAGUUUUAAAACAUAAUUUCAUUUUUAAUUGAACCAAAUGAAUAUUUUAGGACUCAAAUAAACUUUUUAUCAAAUGAUAAGGACUUGAUUGAACUAACUAAAAAAUUUGAGACUUGAUUGGAAUCCGUACAUAAGAUUUAGGACUUGUUGACAAUUGUAUCGUUACGAUCCUACCAUUCAACUAUGUUCUUAUUUUUGUAAGCCAUAUCAUAUUUUGCAUAUAUGAUCAAUUUGAUAGACCUACUCGAUCUUACAGGGAAUCUUCUACGGUUGCACACUCAAGUUAUUACUUUUUGAUCUCGUGUUGUUGUUGUUCAUGAAUAACUUAAUUAUUUUGAUACACAGAUAGAAAUAUCACUCAUAAGGAACUCAUUUGAAAAACUACUACAUGAGAUAUUUAAAUAGUUAGUGAACAUGUCAUAUCAUGGAGUCAUCGUAGGUAGCUUGAAUGUUACUAAUUUUUAUAUUAUUAAAAAAAAUCGUAGAAUAUCGGUAUAAUAACUUGAUAUUUAAUAUAGGACAAAUAGAGAUUCAAUCAAAAUGCGUCAUGAAUUGUCUUCAAUCAUAAUAGACUUUUUAUUAAAUGAUAAGGACUUGAUUGAACUAACUUAAAAAACUGAGACUUGAUUGUAAUUUGUACAUAAGAUUUGGGACUUGUUGACUAUUGUAUUGUUAUGAUCUUACCAUUCAACUAUGUUCCUAUUUGUGUAAGUCAUAUCAUAUUUUGCAUAUAUGAUCAAUUUGAUAUUACUACUAGAUCUUAGAGGGAAUCUUCUAUAGUUUCAUACCCAAAUAUUAUUAUUUUUAUCUCAUAUAGUCGUUACUCAUAAGAAACCCAUUUGAAAAACUAUUAUGUACAAUAUUUAAAUAGUUAGUGAACAUGUUGUCGCGACCUAAUUUUUCGGUGCAUCACCUAAAACUAGGUUAAUGGACUACUAAGUCUUUAACUUAGCUCGGGCUCUCCCAAGCCCAUACCAAUUCACGACUUAAGGUUCAAUUUUUUUUUUUUUAACAUGCAAGAGGUUAUUAACUAGGAGUUGCCACUAAUCGGUUUAUGGUAGGUCGAUUAGACACCUAAGUAAAAUAAAUGGAGAUUUAUUUUACUUCUACGAACCAGAGACUAAGGGUACGGGGACUUGGUUACACUAGAAUUUUCUAAUGCCAUUUCGGUACCAUUUCUUUUAAUUUUCAAAAUAUUUUUGCAGGCAGCUUGGAUUUAUUUUAACCAAAAUCACUAUUAUGCAAAAAUGUGAUCACACAGAUGCUCAAGCAUUCAAUAAAUAAAUUGCAUCACACAAAGCAAACAAUUUUUUUUUUUUUGGGUUUUCUUGAAAAUUAGAAUUCUUUUAUAAAAAUGCAUUUUUUUUAACUAAAUGAACAAAUUCUGAUUAAAUGAUUCUAUUAUGCAAACUAGUUAUUAUGCACCUCAUGACCUAACUUCACUAAUGAACAAAUUCUGAUUAAAUGAUUCUAUUAUGCAAACUAGUUAACAUGCACCUAGUAUUUUUGCAUUUUUUUAUUGAAAUUUAAAAUUUACGAAAACCCUAAUUAAUCUAUCUAAAAAGGGAUAAUUUUCUAAGUUAUUCUAGGGAUUAAUUUGACUUAAACCCUAUCCUAUCUUAGAAAACUAUUUUUUGAAAAAUGAGAUAAUUAUAAUGUGCGAACAUUAUCUAAAAAAUUAAGUUAGGUCCAACCCUAACUUAUUCUAAAAAUGCAACCCUAAAAAUGUAAUCCUAAGAAAAUUCUAAUUUACUAAACCUACAUGUCUAAGUUACUCAUGUAGAAUUUUGAUUUUUUGAUUUGUUGAUUUUUUUUUAGUUUUUUUAAAAGAUAAGUAAUUAUUAAAUAAAUAUUAAAUCUAAGCUAUCAACAAAAUAAAGGAUUAAAAUAAUCGAAAAAAUAACCUGUCGUUUUACAGGUCAAAUUAACGAUUAUCUUAACCCUAAUUAUCACGACAAAGAGAUCAAAAUAAUUAAAAAUCCGAUCUGAAAUCUUACGAAUCAAAUUAAUAAUUAUAAUGAUUUAACAAUUAAAAUUCUACCAAAUAUGCCAAAAAAAUUAAUGUAAUUAAAAAAAUGAUCCGACGUCCUACGGAUCAAAUUAAUACUCACAAUAAUUUGGACAAAAUCCCUAAAGAUAAUGAAAAUCACAUUCCUGUAAAAUAAUAUUGAAAAUAAAAAAUAAACUAAAAUAGCAUGAAAUAAAUAAAUAAAAAAUACAAAUAACAAAAGCCACCAAAAGGGGGACUUGGAAAGUGGGAGCAACGACGCCGAUCAGUGAGGGGUGGAACACGGCGGAGGGCAGGCGGGACGCGGCGGCGUCGGGCUCGGGCGGCGGGGAAGCGGACGAGUGGAGGUGGUGCAGUGGCGCGGCAUCGGCGAGAAUCUUGAGAGGCGAGCGGGUCGCGAGCUGUGGCAGCGGUGCGGCAGAGAAUGAGAGCGUUGGGGCAUCGCGGACUACUGGGCAGCGACAGCGUGGGGGCGCUCGAGCAGUGAGGUCGAGCGGUGAGGGCCUCAGGCGUUGGGUCGCAGGCUACUGAGCGACAAUGGCAUCGGGCGGAGAUGAGCAGCAGUCGCCGGUGACGCGGUCGUCGAGCGAGAUCGUCGCAGCGAGCUUCGCGAUUUGCUGCAGGGGGGCUGUUGCAGGGGCUGAUUUGCUGGUGUCGUUGCGUGUGGAUUUCGGUUGGCGAGGGCUGAGGUGUGGUCGGAGUGGCGUCUUCACGGCGCUGGUGCAGAGGCGGCAGCGAUGGAGUGUCGAGCGGCAGGCGGGUCGCGGGCCUGUGGUGGCUGGCGGAUGCGCGGUGGAAGGAGGCCGGCAAGGACUUGGCGAGGAAGAAGAACAGUGGCUCUGUUCUUCUUUUUUUUUUUUUUUUUUUUAAUUCACCUCCCCUUUCCCCUCAUGACCUUCUCUCUCUGCUGUCCCUUUGCAUUUCUGGCUUUUGUGCUAACCUUUUUUCAGAAGGUGAAAAGAAGUCUCCAUAUAGAAAGGAAAUUCUCUCUCUCUUUCCGAAUUCGUUCCUUCUUGCACGAAUUUUUUUUUCACGAAUUCUUUCUCUCCAUUUUUUUUUAAUUCGCCGCCCCUCAAGAACAAACGGAAAAGCCCCCUUUUAUACUGAUUUGAAAACCCCAAUUCAUGGUAAUUUUCAAGCUUCCUUUCUUUGUUGCCUUAAUCAUAGUCUGCAAAUUGGAGCAAAAUCUUGCAAUCGGUUUGAUUUUUCCUCGAAUGUUUUGAUUCCUUCCAUUUUAUCAAACUCCUUGCUUUUUUUAUUCACCUGACUUCUCUGAUCGAGCAUUUGCUUCCACAUUUACUACGAUUUGAAUAUUCGCCGGAGCAAAGAUGGCUAAUCAGAAUUUCCAUAUUUCAUUCAUAAUCAAAUCAGACUAAUCCUCCCCUUAUUUUCCUUUUAUUCAUUUUAUUUGUUCUGAUGCAUUUUUUUUUAGGGGUUAAAAUUAAUCUCUAAUUUUUAUGCAAAAAAUCAAUGACUGGGUCACCAAAAUUUAGGUGUCAACAGCUGCCUCUCUUUGAAGGUGAGCUCGUAGAGGUUGCCUUCAAAGACAAAUUGAAACCUAAAUUUUGAUCAUGCACAUGCACUGAAUGACUUUUUUUUUUUUUUUUAGGAUAAUGAAUCAUAUUUUGAAAUGAAAUUUAUAUGAUGCAUAGAAAUGCUAAUGCAAAUACUAAAGGAACUUACCUGGAAUUACUUACCUUCAAGGAUGGUAGAGUAACUCAAGAUAGAUUGGCGUUACAUGUCUAGGACCUGUACCAUUCUACGGUCACCCAGAAUAGUAAUAUGGCUUCACAAAGAGACUGCUUUCCUAGGACCCGUAUCAUUCUACGGUCGCCUAGUAUGGCAUUGUUUUGGUUGUGUCUAGGACCUGUACCAUUCUACGAUCGCCUAAACGGGGAGUUAUUUUCCAAGACCCGUACCAUUCUACGGUCGCCUUAACUUAAAAAAAGAUUUUCCAUGACCCGUACCAUUCUACGGUCACCUGAAUGUUGUCUAGGACCCGUACCAUUCUACAGUCGCCUUGACAAAAAAAAUGAUUUUCUAAGACAUGUACCAUUCUACGGUCACUUGAAUGCUGUCUAGGACCCAUACCAUUCUAUGGUCGCCUUGACGAAAAAAAUGAUUUUCCAAAACCCGUACCAUUCUAUGGUCGCCUGAACUGAGGUUGUCUAGGACCCGUACCAUUCUACGGUCGCCUCAACGGGGAUCUGUUUUCUAGGACCCGUACCAUUCUACGAUAGCCUGAACUGAGGUUGUCUAGGACCCGUAUCAUUCUACGGUCACCUAAACGGGGAUUUAUUUUCUAGGACCCGUACCAUUCUACGGUCGCCUAAACUGAGGUUCUCUAGGACUCGUACCGUUCUACAGUUGCCUAAACGGGGAUUUAUUUUCUAGGACCCGUACCAUUCUACGGUCGCUUGAAUUGAGGUUGUCUAGAACCCGUACCAUUCUACGGUCGCCUAAACGGGGAUUUUGCUUGGCUAGGACCCGAACCAUUCUUCGGUCGCCUAGCGUUGCAACACAAAUCAUUUGACCAGGACCCGAACCGUUCUUCGGUCGCCUUAAUCAGACUAAAUCUGGGAAAAAUCUUUGGGGAGCAACUCCAUCGAGUGCUAGUGCUUGAAAAGGAAUACAUGUACAAUGUAUGGAUUGAGAUAUACUUACCUGGUGGCAUCUCUAAUCCUUAGAGAUAUGUCUCACAAAUUAAUGAGGUGACUCUGGGUUACGAAAGCACACCAUGUCGAUGAAGAGGAACAUCUGGCUAUGGAAGCACACCGAUUUAAUAGGGGGACUCUAGGCUACAGAAGCACGCCGGGUCAUAUCAAAGGAUAUCGGGCUACGAAAGCACACCGGGUCGAUAAAAGGGACUCUGGGCUACGAAAGCAUGCCAGGUCAAUAGAAAGGUCACCGGGCUACAAAGGCACGCCGGGUCGAUGAAAGGGACUCUAGGCUACGAAAGUACGCCAGGUCUAUAUAAAGGACACCGGGCUACGAAAGCACGCCGGGUCGAUGAAAGGGACUUUGGACUACGAAAGCACGCCGGGUCAAUAUAAAUGACACCAGGCUACGAAAGCACGCCGGGUUGAUGAAAGGGACUCUGGGCUACAAAAGCACGCCAGGUCAAUAUAGCUUGACCAAGUCAAGAUAAUGCACUUGGGAGAGAAUACUUGCACAAUGACAAGUAUUUAGAGUAUGGGUAGAGAUAUACUUACCUGGUAAUAUCUCUAAUUCUUGGGGAUAUGUCUUCUGGAAUUUAGAUAUCCUGUGGAGGUCUCUCACCUCCUGGUAGAAAUUUGGAAUAUCAAGGAUGGACCUUGAAUAUUUGUGAUAGUUCUUCACCUCCUAAUAUCAUGAGGCAUUCUAAAAGGAACUUGAAUGUCAAGAGCUUUUGGGUCUUUGAGAAAACAUUACUUGUUAGACAUGAUUAGAGAAAAAGUGCAUUCACCAAAGAAAUAAGCAAUUAAUGCUAUUAUGGAACGCACACUUCAAAAUCCAUUGAAGUUUUUAUCAAUUCAAUUGGGGUUCAUGCAUAAUGACCUUUGCAUCACCCAAAUUUCCACUAGAGAGAAUUAUCGUUCAAGACAAUUUUCACUCAUGACAUGGAUUUAUUAAGAAUACUAAAUGAGGGACUUUCGGUUAGAAAGGACUUUCACUCACUCUCAUUUAGAAGAGAAUCACUCCAUCUCACCAUAUUGAUAGGGGUCCGAGUAUUCUCGCAAGCGGUAUGACCUUACCAAUCUGAGAGGUCUUUAACAUGGACCAUAUUGUGGGCUUGGUCAAUGGCUUAACAAAUGGACUCUUUGAGUCAAGGCUAUUGAAAGAACAGCUUCGCAAUUAUCUCCGGGUUUACAAGUCAAGAAACCUGCAAAAUGAAAAAGAAAUAAUCUUGCUCACACUUCUUCGAGUGAUGCUUAUAAACAUAUGAACCCCUAUGUUAAUUCAAGUGCCAUAAUCUGAAGAGACUUUGUAAGGGACAUAACAUAGGUUGGGUUCAUAGGUUGAGAAAUGAAAUGAUCAUUAGGUUUAAAAUAUGUGUGAAUGGUUAAAGCUAAUGAUCAUCUAGGCAUUGUCGCUGGUCUUUUCUUUCGCUAGGGAUGCGCCAUUGAUCUUGACUCUUUGAGUACUGCUCUUUUGCAACUGAUAGUCGCCUAUCAUGACUCUUUCUUUUUCUUUUUUAUUGGCAUUGCUUCUACUAGGAACAUCACUUUUUUCAUGCCCCUAGUUUUCAUGCAUUUUUUUCAUUUCUUUUUCAUGGGCAUUAGCCUUGCUUUUAUCAGGCACACUGCUUUUUUACGCCCCUUUAGUUCUAUUUUGAUUUGAAUUCUUGCGCACGGUGCAUGCGUCAAGAAAUUACACUCUGAAUGACACUUGAACUUUCAAAGGUCUUCAUCUGUCUUUUGCCUUGCCCCAGUGUGGGGAUGAUCACCAACUGGGUUUAAAGAAAUGAAAUUGCAGGCUCAAGUGGGCUAUACAAAGGGUAUAAGUAUGUAGGAUAGAGAAAGAAAUGCUUUUCGUCAUCCUAAGGCACUUAAAUUAACAAAUGAAUUCAAUGUAAUAGCACGACUUGAAGAUUGAUGCAAGUAAGAGCAAGAAAAUUUCAAUUCAUUUUCCUCACCUCAUGAUGCCAUUCUAUCUCCCAUUUGCCCCAAUGUGGGGUGAUUCUUGACAGGGGUAAUUUGAAAAGAAUAUCUAUUAGUGUAUGGGCUCAAAAUGGUUAAGCAAUGGAUCACUUGUAGCGUUUGGGAUAAAGAAAUGAAUUGCCUCUCAUCAUUUCAGUUGCCAUACCUUUUGCGAGAGAACUCUUUACCUUGUGUAUAUGAACCCUCCUACACUCAUCUCACAAGUAUAUGAGUAAGGGACUGUGUGUAGGAUAAGGUUUGACUUUCAUCAUCCUGACUCGUCUCAUUUGGUAUGCUCAAUUAAUUCCACAUCAUUCAUUACAUUAGUCCAUCUUGAUGUUUUUAGUGGAAUUGGUGAAUAAAACAUGUAAAAGUCAUCAUGCAAAAUCCUUUUUUAGGCAUGAAAAAUUGUCAACUUCAAAACAAACAGUUUUUCCACACUACAAUUUUAAGCAUUCAUUCAAGGAUUCCUCUACAAUAGGAUUGCUUUAGCGGCUGAUGUCUUUGGAUUGUCCCUCUCAUUCAAGACUGAAAAUCCACUUUGCCCCAAAAUCUGUCAUGCCCCCAAUCUGUCACAUUAAUUCCUUAGAAAUGUGUCAUUGAUAGUUGGGCCAAUUGCAACUUGGUGUGGCUUUUUCAGAUGCAUUCUCAUCAGGCCAAAAAAGUAAUGCUCUGAAACAUGAAGUAAAUGAGUCAGAAAAUUAAACAGGGCUAAUCUAAUGCAUGCUUUUGGAAAUGAUUUCAAAAUUGAUUUUUUUUCCCUUUUUUUUUUUGGGAUUUUUUGGAUGAGAAAGCAUGAAGAAGCCUAGUCCUCAAAAUUCUUUUUGGAUGAUAUUUUCUUUUCAUUGUUGGAUAUCGUCAUUGGACUGGUUUGGUGUACCCCAUAAUGUCCUCAAAACAAAACUUGUAAUUUUAUUGAAAUUCAUCAAUCAAUUACAUUUAUGGAAAAAUGCAACACUCAAUCACCAAAAAAAGAAACUGAAAACAUCUUUUAGAAAGCAAUAAAAAUUCCCACGCAAGGGAAUGUGCAAAUGAACAUGCCCCUAAUUAAAUAAGGGAAGCAAACUACUUAGGACCAUGAAUCAUGUGUGCUUGAGUUCUUCAUCCUCCUUGAUCUUGUGAUGCAAAUUCUCCAGGUCAUAGAUUAUUCCUUUUAGAUAUGUCACUAGUCUCUUCAUAGUGGCAUCAAAUUCAGCUACUUCAGGAAAAUAGGACAGUUCGAAAGUCUUCUUGGCUCUCUUCUUUGAGUCAUAGUUUCUCACUGAAGAUAGAGUACCUAUGUCAUCACGGCCCUUUUGCUUGACGAGACGAGCCACAGUAGCAGACAAUCCAUUGACUUGACUUUGGAGGUACGCAAUUCGUUUGUUUAUAUUGACAAUGAUACGGUCCAGCACCUCAUUUUGAUCCGCCAUUUUAGCUCUCGGCCGUGUACAGAUGGGUGAGCGAGAUCGUUCCAUAAUCACCUAAAGGAAAUAAACGGGAACAUGUAAGCAUGAGGUGUAAAUGGAGAGUCAAUCCAUGACAAUGAUCUGAUCGAUUUUUUUUUUUUUUCAUUUUAUUUAUUUAUUCAUGAAAAGUCUAUGCAAGAAGGGAAUUUCCUAAAAAAUGGAUAUUCUAGUAAAACCAAAUUUUCUAGACAUGACGUAAAAACAAAUUCUCCAAAGUUUUUUUUUUUUUUUUCAAAUGCAUCAUUCCCUAGCAAUUUCAUUUCCAAUUGACAAAUGAAUCAAAUCAAUGAUUGACCUAGAUUGUCAUGGACCGACCCAAAAGUACGACAAAAUAAAUUGCAUGGUAUAGGGAUAAAAGACUUACUUCACCCAAUAAAAUCAAUGACAAUCACAUAGACAUGCACAUGAGGUGUGAGGCUCGAUUUCUACUCUAAAUGGCUCAACAAAGUGGAGCUAAGAGGAUGAUCUGACCGUUGCAGUCUCGCAUUAACGUGUCAAGUCCUCCGAACUCUAGUUCAAUCGAAUGAAAUGCCCAAUAAUCACACAGUCUCGUGGAUAUGGACAAACACAUAAGACAUCAUGAAAGAAAUUUCGGGGAAGAGAAGGUCAACCUCCAUAUAACGGUCUCGCUUUGGAGGAAGUAUCAUUCUCAACACCAUUCUAGAAAUCCUAUCGCAGCCCAGGUCCGGCCACAGGUUGUGUAUGCAAAAGUGAAGUGCUAAAAGCAAUAAACCAUGCACAACAGUUUAAAUUCAAACAACACUUCUAAAUCUGGGAAAAAUAAAUUUAUUCAUCCCCACUCCUUCCUGCAAGACAAGGAUUAGCAACGACUACUCCCCUUAUACCUCCCAUCUGCAAGAACAAUUAAUACCUUAGAAAUGUUAAGGACGUACCUGAUGUCCUCGCUGCCAAACAAAAACAUUUUUAAGAGAAAAAGAAAAAUUGGUCUAAGUACACUAAGUGUUUUAACGGGCCAAUUCCAUAAAAAAAAACACGAACUUUAGGUGUUGUCCCAAAUCUGGCCCAAACUUUAUUUUGUCUUAAAAAAAAGCAUGAACUUUAGGGGUUGUCCCAAAUCUAGCCUGAACUUUAUUUUGUCUAUAAAAAAAAGCACGAACUUUAGGUAUUGUCCUAAAUCUGGCCCAAAUUUUAUUUGAGACAAAAUAAAGUAAUUCUAUUAUAAAUAUGCUUCACAUCUCUAUUUGACUACAAAAUGCACAUGCUUUUAAUAUCUCGCUUUAAGGCAAUGUAAUCUUUUGCUUUCAACCGAGCUUCUGACAUUGUAAACAGUUUGCCAAUUGUUAAUUGAUCUAAUGGCCCUAGCUAUGUGCCUCAUCCCCUGGAACUGAAGCUAUUGAAUUAUUUUUCCCAUGAGAAUCAUUUGUAAAGUUCACCUCAUUGGAGGGCAGACUUAAAUUUAACACUUCCUCCAAACACUCGAAUGCAGCAUCGUUUUGUUGUGUUGGAUAUUAUUGCUGACGUGGAAAUGCCAUGUUAGAUGACUGUAGAAUGAGGGUUAACAGAUGGCCAGAUUUGGGACAUAACUGAAAAUUUGUGUUUUUUUUUUCAGACAAAAUAAAUUUCGGGCCAGAUUUGGGAUAACACCUAAAGUUUUUUUUUUUUUUUUGGUAAAGGUAAGUAUAAUAAGAAAAGCUUAAUCUGGAUGUACAAAAAAAUUGGCGCCAAACAACCACUCAAAGAGACGACAAGUCAGGAUGAGAGGAGGGGUGCCGAUGCAAAAGAAAAAAACACCUGAAGAAAAAAACAGGGAGAACGACAGAUAACACCUAAAGUUCGUGCUUUUUUCUGAGACAAAAUAAAGUUCAGGCCAGAUUUGGGACAGCACCUAAAGUUCAUGUUUUUUUAUGGAAUUAGCCCGUGUUUUAACACAAGUCCCCAGCGGAGUCGCCAAGCUGUCGCGACCUAAUUUUUCGGUGCACUACCUAAAACUAGGUUAAUGGACUACUAAGUCUUUAACUUAGCUCGGGCUCUCUCAAGCCCAUACCAAUUCGUGACUUAAGGUUCACGUUUGUUUUUUAACAUGCAAGAGGUUAUUAACUAGGAGUCGCCACUAAUCGGUUUAUGGUAGGUCGAUUAGACAGCUAAGUAAAAUAAAUGGAGAUUUAUUUUACUUCUACGAACUAGAGACUAAGGGUACGGGGACUUGGUUACACUAGAAUUUUCUAAUGCCCUUUCGGUACCAUUUCUUUUAAUUUUCAAAAUAUUUUUGCAGGCAGCUUGGAUUUAUUUUGACCUAAAUCACUAUUAUGCAAAAAAUGUGAUCACACAGAUGCUCAAGCAUUCAAUAAAUAAAUUGCAUCACAGUAAACAAUUUUUUUUGGGUUUUCUUGAAAAUUAGAAUUUUUUUAUAAAAAUGCAUUUUUUAACUAAAUGACUUAAUCUUAUUAAUAUGCAAAUUCUAAUUAAAUUGGUCUAUUAUGCAAACUAGUUAUUAUGCACCUCAUGAGCUAACUUCACUAAUGAACAAAUUCUGAUUAAAUGAUUCUAUUAUGCAAACUAGUUAACAUGCACCUAGUAUUUUUGCAUUUUUUUUAUUGAAAUUUAGAAUUUAUGAAAACCCUAAUUAAUCUAUCUAAAAAGGGAUAAUUUUCUAAUUUAUUCUAGGGAUUAAUUUGACUUAAAACCUAUCCUAUCUUAGAAAACUAUUUUUUGAAAAAUGAGAUAAUUAUAAUGUGCAAACAUUAUCUAAAAAAUUAAGUUAGGUCCAACCCUAACUUAUUCUAAAAAUGCAACCCUAAAAAUGUAAUCCUAAGAAAAUUCUAAUUUACUAAACCUACAUGUCUGAUUUACUAAACCUAUAUGCUCAUGCAGAAUUUUGAUUUUUUGAUUUUUUUUAGUUUUUUUAAAAGAUAAGUAAUUAUUAAAUAAAUAUUAAAUCUAAGCUAUUAACAAAAUAAAGGAUUAAAAUAAUCGAAAAAAUAACCUGUUGUCUUACAGGUCAAAUUAACGAUUAUCCUAACCCUAAUUAUCACGACAAAGAGAUCAAAAUAAUUAAAAAUCUGAUCUGAAGUCUUACGGAUCAAAUUAAUAAUUAUAAUGAUUUAACAAUUAAAAUUCUACCAAAAAUGCACAAAAAAUUAAUGUAAUUAAAAAAAUGAUCCGACGUUUUACGGAUCAAAUUAAUACUCACAAUAAUUUGGACAAAAUCCCUAAAGAUAAUGAAAAUCACAUUCCUGUACAAUAAUAUUGAAAAUAAAAAAUAAACUAAAAUAGCAUGAAAUAAAUAAAUAAAAAUACAAAUAACAAAAGCCACCUAAAUGGGGACUUGGAAAGAGGGAGCAAUGGCGCCGAUCAGUGAGGGGCGGAGCACGGCGGAGGGCAGGUGGGACGCAGCGGCGUCGAGCUCCGGCGGCGGGGAAGCGAACGAGGGGAGGUGGUGCAGUGGCGCGGCGUCGGCGAGGAUCUCGAGAGGCGAGUGAGUCGCGAGCUGUGGCAGCGGUGCGGCAGAGAAUGAGGGCGUUGGGGCGUCGCGGACUGCUGGGCAGCGACGGCGUCGGGGCGCUCGAGCAGUGAGAUUGAGACAGCAGCGGUCGAGCGGUGAGGGCCUCAGGCGUUGGGUCGCGGGCUAUUGAGCGACGAUGGCAUCGGGCGGAGACGAGCAGCAGUCACCGGUGACGCGGUCGUCGAGCGAGAUCGUCGCGGCGAGCUUCGCGAUUUGCUGCAAGGUGGGCUGAUGCAGGGGCUAAUCUGCUGGUGUCGUUGCGUGUGGAUUUCGGUUGGCGAGGGCUGAGGUGUGGUCGGAGUGGCGUCUUCACGGCGCUGGUGCAGAGGCGGCGGCGAUGGAGCGUCGAGCAGCGGGCGGGUCGCGGGCCUGCGGUGGUUGGCGGAUGCGCGGUGGAAGGAGGUCGGCAGGGACUUGGCGAGGAAGAAGAACAGUGGCUCUGUUCUUUUUUUUUUUUUUUUAAUUGACCUCCCCUGUCCCCUCAUGACCUUCUCUCUCUGCGGUCCCUCUGCAUUUCUGGCUUCUGUGCUAACCUUUUUUCAGAAGGUGAAAAGAAGUCUCCAUAAAGAAAAGAAAUUCUCUCUCUCUCUCUUUCCGAAUUUGCUCCUUCUUGCACGAAUUUUUUUUCACGAAUUCUUUCUCUCCAUUUUUUUUUUUUGAAUUCGCCCCCCCUCAAGAACGGACGGAAAAGCCCCCUUUUAUACUGAUUCGAAAACCCCAAUUCAUGGUAAUUUUCAAGCUUCCUUUAUUUGUUGCCUUAAUCAUAGUCUGUAAAUUGGAGCAAAAUCUUGCAAUCGGUUUGAUUUUUCCUCGAAUGUUUUGAUUCCUUCCAUUUUAUCAAACUCCUUGUUUUAUAUAUUCACCUGACUUCUCUGAUCGAGAAUUUGCUUCCACAUUUACUGCGAUUUGAGUAUUCGUUGAAGCAAAAAUGGCUAAUCAAAAUUUCCAUAUUCCAUUCAUAAUCAAAUCAGACUAAUCCUCCCCUUAUUUUCCUUUUAUUCAUUUUAUUUGUUCUGAUGCAUUUUUUUUAGGGGUUAAAAUUAAUCUCUAAUUUUUAUGUAAAAAAAUUAAUGACUAGAUCACCAAAAUUUAGGUGUCAACACAUGUCAAAUCACAUCUAUCACCGAAGGCGGUGAUAGAUUUAGCCGAUUGACUUGUAUGUUACUAAUUUUCAUAUUUAAAAAAACAAAAAAAGAUACGGCAAAAGGAAAUCAGUAUAAUAAAUUGAUAUUAAAUAUAGGACAAAAUAGAGAUUCAAUCAAAAUACAUCGUGAGUUGUCUUCGACCUUUUUCCAUUGCAGGAAACUCAUCCAUCUUCAGCUAGUGAGUCAUUUUAAUUCCUUUUGUGAUUAUUUUCUUCAAAAAUGGCUAAAACUAGUUACUAUAUCGAUAUUUAUCUUUUACUUAAUAUUUAGAAAACUUAAUUUUGAUCUUGAGCACUUCAUGCAAAUUAUACAUCAUCCUAUAAUUUAUUAGAAAAAAAAGUUGCAUUGUCUUCUCUUUUAAGCCACCAUGUUAUCUUUUAGCAACUAAUCACUUCAAACAUACUUAAAAUUAUAUUUGGGAGUAUUUUACAAAAAGAAAAUGAAGAGAGAUAAUUGCAACGGGAUUAGCCAUUGUUUAUAAAAGUUGCUCGGCCAUUCAAGGAGCCCAGAAUCCAUUGAGGAAAUUGGGCUUCCCUCUAUUAUGAGGGAUCUCUAUUAAGUAUUCCUAUAAAGGACCAAAUUUCAAAAAAGCCCUAACUUUAGGUCCAAUCUCAAUUGUUUCUCGAAUUUUUGUUUACUAAAAAGAAAUUUCCCACUUUUACUCUAGUUCCAAAUUUGUCCAAAAUUUCUUAAUAGUGGGACGGUAAUGUAGAUGCAAAGACUUAACCAAAAGAGUUGUUUGAACCCUUUAUAUUAUUUCUAACCUCUCCAGUAUAGUCACUAUUCUAUAACACCUCAAAUUUUAUGAACUACGAUUCACCGGCUGAUAGCACCUUGAAUCGUAGGUUUUCCCAAAUCCUAGGUUUAGGUAAUCCACAAUAGACAAACACGAUCAUAAACUUAAAACACCAAAUUAGAGUUGCUACUAAUCAAUUUGAAUUAGGUCAAUUGGACAUCCAAAUGCAUGUGAAAAGGAAAUUGGUGUUUGAAAAUCUACAAAUUUUAAGUUGGGGACUCAAUGACGUGUCGGAUGGAUUCACAUCCCACAGUGAUCUUUUAAUUCAGUUUAAAUUAUAUUAGAGGGACUAAAAAUGAUAAAAAUGGCAAUUAUGAUUUUCUGUGAAAAAAAAAAUAGAGGGACUAUUGUUUGAUUAUCCUAACUAACAAAUUUGUGAAAAAAAGAGUAAUGGCCUGAUCUUUCCUCCGACAAACCGACAUCACCAUUGAGAGAGAAAAUCGAACUUUCUGUCGGUGAAUAUUCUUUUUUUUUUUCACCAGAAAAGGACAAUAGAGCUAAUCAGUCACUUUCAAUCUUUCUGGAAUGCCAAAAAGAAGGAUGUAGUGGAAGCAUGCUCAAGCUCAAUCUUAUUUUAUUCAACUAAUGUCACCGGAAAGGCAACUUUGAUAAUACAUGAUUCUCUAAACAGAUUACUGAUCUGUUCUUGGUAUUCAUGAUGACAUAAUCCGCUUGAUGAGGAUGAGAAAUCAAACUAGAUCUUUAUGAGACCGUCUUGAAUCAUCUGCUUGAGAUUCCAGGCAUCGUACUUGCACCUAUAAGACCAAUACGCCCACCCAAAAGUGGCACGCCCGUAAACAUCUUGCUGAGCCUUGGCAAACUUUCCCGAAUCCUCCUUUGUUGCCCCGUCGAAGGCCAAUGCUGAGGUCCAUUCCCCUGCAAAAACCAAUUUAGCUCGCAAAUGUCAUGACAUGUAUGUGCUCUAGCGCACGCGUCAUCUGUACCUGUAUGCUCUAUAUUAAACAUGCUCCUGUUGCUUUCUAAACAAAUGGUAGGACUCACCAACAAAGCUCAAGGGGCCGUUUGCCGGGGUUACUUUGCUCAGAUCGGAAGCUCUAUCGUUAUAGAUGUAGUCAAUGUUCUGCUGCAGAUUCCACUGUUGAAACAUCGAAUUAUAGAGGUUGUAGUAAUGCACGUCGAUGAUGACUCGGCUCAAGCCUCUCGCGAACUGAAGGAGCUCUUGCGGGUUGACUUGUCCCAACCGGUUGGACAUGAUGACAUAAGCAUUCGGAGUGUGACUCCUCACAGCCUCGUAACCUAACCGGUAGUAUUUAGUAAGAUCCUCGAACUUGACAUCCGGAGCUUGAGGCUCGUUCAUCAGCUCGAUCGCAACCAAUGCUGGGUGGUGGCCAUAUCUAUUUGACAAUCAUAAGGGAGAAUGCUAUGAAACAUCUGAUUAUAAGAUCUAGCAUACUAAAUAUCAAUACCAAUGGUUGCGAUUCAUUAGCAAUACUAAAGAGAUAUAUGUCAUGAGGGAUUUGUUUAAAUUGAGAACUCAUAUGCCAGACCUUGCUGCUAGGAAGUCUAUAACUUUCACGGUCUCCUCAAUGUGAGAGUCACCCCAUUCCAGAAAUCCAUCUCUCGAUGCGCUAUGAAAUUGGCCGUUUUGAGAUCCCGGGAGCAGCAUGGAGAUCAACUAUUACCUUUCAUACCAUGCUUCCUGCAAAAAGAAAAAUUCAAUUGUUCAAGGUUAGACUCACAAGAUUCUUGUAACUUCAAUGGACCGACUUAAGCAAAGACUGGCUUCCUAUAAAGAUCCUCCACCGCACACUUUCUGUUGGAGUUAUUCAACUAAGAUGUAAAAGUAUCGAAAGUCGCUUACACUGCCCAUGUAAAUGCGUUGUCCAGUGCAUUCAGCGAGCCUCCCACAAAAGGCGCUGGCGGCGUCGGAUCAUACGCAAUCCACCAUCCUACUGGAAUCCUCACAGCAGUUAGACUAUUGGCCGCCAUAAAUUCAAAGUCCUGCUCGGUAAUGUAAUUGUUCCAAUGAUCCUGCAAAGCAAAUUUGUUCAGAGAUUACUGAUCUACUUAGUCACUGUAUUACCAUUUCGUGCUUACUUUGCCACUAAUUAAUUAGGGAUUACCCGUAGGAGUUUUGGGGCAGCACUGGGGCCAUAUCCAUUUGUUAUUUGGUAUUCACCUUGUAAACCGCCGACAAUGUUCAUUUCAAAGAUCGAUGGGUCAUUGUCAUCCCAACUCGAGCCUCCAGUAUAAUCUGCCGUCACUUCCGUCGGCGACUUUGCCUGAUCAUCCAUACUAUAUUAGAGAAAAUCACAUAAAUCAAUGUGAUUGUAUCCAAUUAAUAACCGGGGAAUAUGGGGACUCUAUCGAUUAUCUUUGAUCAGGAAUUUUGAAUGAUGGAAUGGAAAUGCUUUUGUAAUCCAACAGUUCGUUUCGAUUAAGAGUAAAGUAAUGUCGUUGCGGAUAUGACUGUUCCUUUCAUUUUAUGAGGCCUUGCCGUUGCAAAAAAAUGUGUUUAUGGUUUAUAGAGGACGUAAGUUUACUCGUCGUAUUGCGUGGAGUGUCGCUGUUGUUUUUCAAGCAAACAAGGGGUGCUCAUCACGUCCUCUCAGCGUCAAGAAAGUGCGGAAAGCGCCCAUGUAAGACGUCACAGAACAGUAGUUCUCAACACGAGUGCCAUGCGGCGAUUCAUACAAACACCAUUGGACUGAUGCAUGACAGUUUCUUAUGUUUAUCAAAGUCUACUUGGGUCUUGAUCUUAUAUUAACGUGAUGGGUGCAAUACAAUAAAUUAACAACAGAUAGCUUCGUGUAAUUUCUUCCGUGUAACUGGCAAUGCAGACAAGAACUUUCUAUGGUGCUGCGCUAUCCUGCACAACAAUCUGCACAACAACGUAGUCCUACGAAAUUUGGACGGUCAGAGUGAAGAGAUUAUUGUCAACGAUUUGAUGACAAAUCACCACCGACCGUCAAAUCGAAAACCACUCACUGUCAACCACUGUAUGGGUUAGAACGAAAUAGUCGUGAAACCCUCUAUGACACCGAAGAUCAGUCAUGUACACCAUAAUACCAUAGUAACUGCAGAAGUCAUAGAAGCUGGAACAGGGGAAUUACCUGGAGAAACAUCCCAUUAGAUGCUUGAAAUCGAACUCGAUUGGGAUUGUCCGGUUUCCUGAUAAUGUCAAAAGUCUCUGAGGCGCUCGGGUUACUGGAAACAGCGACAACCGUUGUUCCUUGUCCUUGCAAUCCGACAAAUUGCUUGUUGAAAACUCUGAGGUUGAAUUUUUUGUCGGAAAUUCUCCACAGCUGCACCAUAAGAAGUGAGCGAAAAUUAUGUUGGAUGGCAUGUGAAUCUUUUGAGCUUGUCUAAAGACGAUUGUCAAUUUUGUGAGACAGAAAGCCACACCCUGAAAGUUUCCCAGCCAGAGGCCUGAUCGCGAUUGGCGACAAGGGUGGCUCCGCCGCCGUUUUCAGCACUCAGGAAUUUCCCGACCUUUGUUGACUUGAACUGCACUUGAGUCCCAUCCUACCAUUGAAACAUAAGCAGGAAAAUGGGAUUUGGUUCAUCUCAUUGAAAGAGUGAAGUGAUAUUUUUAUAGACCAAACAAAUAACAGUGUAUAUGCACAUACUGGGUGGGGGAAACAGAGUUCAUAUAUGCAGGUCGAACCAAGUUCAUAUUUGUAUGUCAGAAAUCUGGCAAAAUGAUGGAAAGAAAUGUUUCAUUAGAAACAAGUUCUGGGACAUUUGGCAUCUUAAUUUGAGAAAAGUGUACAACUGUCAUGUUAAAAUCAUGUGCUAGUACAUAUAGACAUAUGCCAAACAUGAUCGUUUUGUAACUGUAUCAUUCUCAAAUGUCUUAGACAUUAAGCUGUAUCUAGUGCAGGCAUAUGUCAUAUUGGACCUGAUUAGAAACUUUGUGAUCAUCUGACAAUACUUAUCACGAAACUAUGAUAAAAAAGCAUGCUACAGAAAGUAUAAUAACAAUCUAUAGAGCAUUACCCGAUAGCUCUUUUUAUCUUUAAGAGCUUACCAAGAGCUGUCCAUUGAGUCCAUCGAACCGAGAAGGCAUCAUCCACCCCUCGGUGACAAGCCAAUUUCCGAGGUUUACAGCCUUGAGGGGCAAGUUGAACUCCGCGGUCUGGGCGAGGAUCGAGGGACAGAACACCCAGAGAGAACAAAGGAGCAGGUAUGAAUGGUGAUAACAGGGCGCCAUUUCUGGCUCGCUUCUUUUCUGUGACAUUAAACGAGAGGGAGGGCCAACACAUUUAUAGACUAAAAGUCUUAUGGGUUAGAAUAAUGGUUUUGUGUUGACUUGACCCAUUUGAGUGGAGAUCCGUGAUUGAUGACUAUUGUGCAAAAACUCACUCUACACGCUAAGAUAAAGAAUAUUGCAUUUGGUCUUAAGACUAUGGAGAUUAGACCAUUUGGACCGUUGAUGACAUGAGCUCCAAGAUGGAACUCGCAUGAUUAAUAUUUCAGAUGAUAUAUAGCCAGAUGUUUUGUAAAUCGUGGAAUAUCUUCUUUCUCUUUUUUAAUCCAAAACACAAGUGCGACUCCCUACUACCUAGAACUCCAUGCCUAUAAGGCUCAUCAAACUAUUGACUCCAAACUUUGAACCUAUGCAAGUACCUUGGUUUAGAAUAGUUUACACAAAGUUUAAGUUUCCUCCAAUUCCUCCAUCGAAAAUCUCUCAACACCCCAUUGGAAAUCUCUCAAGAAUCAAGUACCCAAGUGGUUUUCAAGUCUAUAAUUUAGAUAAAUAGAAAAGAAAAGGAGAAAAAACUGCAUAUGAGGAUAAAGGAUGAGGAUCAUGGACUGUUAUUGCAUGAGCUCAGUACAUAUGACCUAAAGCACAUGGACUGUCAAAUCAUAUGAAACUCACGUGGAAUCCACCUCAUCUAACGAUACAUUUGAAUUGGGUUCGCAUACACCAGACCAUGCUUGAACUUUUCAUUCAUCAUACGUGGUCGUGGGCCUCUUGCAUUAAAUGAGGCUAGCACACCCUAUAAAGCUAUGCCAUAAAGUAUUCAAUGCCUUUUUAGUACCGCAGCACGAUGGACCAUAUGGUUAAGACAGGAUAUGCACUAUAGCCCACUUCUCUUGCAAGAAACCAUUGAAACUUGUUGGAUCCUUUAUUGCUCCGAGGCCGGUUGAAUGGGUCGUGGGCCUCUUGCAUUAAAUGAGGCUAGCACGCCCUAUAAAGCUAUGCCAUAAAGUAUUCAAUGCCUUUUUAGUACCGCAGCACGAUGGACCAUAUGGUUAAGACAGGAUAUGCACUAUAGCCCACUUCUCUUGCAAGAAACCAUUGAAACUUGUUGGAUCCUUUAUUGCUCCGAGGCCGGUUGAAUGGGUCAAAGGCGUGUGGUCAAAGGCGUGUGUUCCUUCAAGAGCAUCAUUCGACCAUUUCCCUUAAUCAAAGGCAUCAUUACGUGCCGUGGGGGAUAGGAGGGUCGGUGCGUGAGUGUUGAUGCAAGAAGUCCAUAGCCAUCCAUUUUGUUCUAGUCUUUGCUUGGAGGAUCGUUUUGUGGUUAGUGAUUGUUGGAUAUAUUGUUAAUAUAGUCCAAAAAUAAUAUGUUCACAUACAAGCCCAAUAGGUAAAAGCAUAAUUAUUUGGGUCCAUACGGGCCAGAGCUCAAUAACUUGUAUAUAAAAACUUUAGGAUUUCCUUACGUUGGAGGUAACACUGUUGAGCGUUCCAAACUUGACGUCUCUUGGUGUAAUACUUCAAGCAACCGCUUUUUCUCUCUAAAAUCCAUAACCUCCAACAAUCUUGAAGUAUUAUGUUCGUGUGUCGGAUUUGAGCGAGAAAGGUGCCUUCUUGAAGAUUUUGUCAAAAUGAACUCACUGGUGUAAUUUACUUUCGAUUUCGACGGUGAUAUUGGCCGGAAUAUGAGUUUGAAGAUUCGGGUGACCGAAAUCUUUGAUUCAAAAACCCAAAAAUUAUAGCCAAUUUUAGAGGGUGAAACCACUUGGCUUUGUUCUACUCGUCGAUAUGAACAUUUUGAGUGGUCCUCACAUCAAUCGGAGGUCAGACGGAGAAGUUAUGGCACUCGGAAGUUUCCAUAUGAAUUUCUAAUGAAUUUCGGCGACGAAAUUUCCAGCGAAUUUCGGCAACGGAAAUUUCCAGCGAGUUUUGAUGACAAGGGCAAUACAUCUUAAGGUAUUUUGGCACUCCGGAUCUAUUUUUGGGGUUUGUUUUGGCAAAUUUCAUCUGUACAGAGCUGUUUGAUAAAGGUUAAGGGAGUUAUUCGACUUUGUGGCUCUGAGGACUCCAAGGUGCACUCUUUCUAACACUUUGCUUUGAUUAAAAUGACAAAGCGUAUUCCUAUGAUAUUAUAAAGUUGCAAUCAUUUGAUAUUACUGAAUUUCAUGGCUAGAAAUUACAUGUUAUAUUUGGCAUGAAAGAAUGUGACAUAUUCUAUACUGUAUUAAGUGAUUUUGUAUUUACCACUGAAGAUAUAGAUCAAUAUCAAUGGAACAAAGAUGAGGAUUUUUGUAUAGAUUACUUAUUGAACUCUCUAAAUCCUAAUCUAGUUAUGACUUAUAGUGAGUACAAGAUGACGAAAGGGAUAUGGGAUCACUUGAACGCUCAGUUCCAAAAACAAGAGGGGCUCUCUAAAACUCUCAUAGCGGAGAAAUUCUUUGACUUUAAAUUCACUAUGAAUUCAAUCAUUACCUCUUAGUUAGUUGAAUUUGAGAAUAUGAGGAGCAAGCUGCAAGAUUAUAAUUCUAAUAUGUCCGAUAAUCUCUUUGUUGAUCUUAUGUUAAGCAAACUACUAACUGAAUGGAGUUCUUUCAAGACUGAAAUGCACAGACUAAAGGUACAGAUGGGACUGGAUGAAUUAAAGAGGUAUAUUCACAUUGAGAAUCAAAAUAUUAUUAAGAAGAGUUUGGAACAAGUAGGACAAUAAAAGUCAGUUGCCAACUUGGUUUCACACUCCAAUAAACCUUAGAAAAAGUCCAAGUCACCAAAAGGCGAAUCCUCUUUACAGUUAGAGGCCAAAAAGACUAUCUUUAAAAAGAAGAAGAAUGACAAGUGCCACAACUGUGGAAAGUGGGGUCACUAGAUAACAAAGUGUAAGUUACUAAAGAAACAAAGAAUGACACACCACAAAAUGAGGCCAAUAUGCUAAUUAGAGAAUCUGAGCCUUGAGCCUUCAUUGAAAUGAUGAAGAAUGGAAAAGCCAGCGUCUCUUCUGAGUGAUAGUUGGACAGCGGCGCUACUUGUCAUGCUACAAAUGACAAGAAUUUACUCACUGAGGUCAUAGAAGUUAAAGACAUUAUAGAAAAUUGCAAUAGUGGUGAGGCAAAGGUAACUCAUGCUGAAACUACAAAUUUGGUGCUUUCUUCAGGUAAGUUACUAACUCUGAAACAUGUUAGAGUAGUACCUUUACUUAAAAAGAAUUUGAUAUCUAUGAGUUUACUUGAUAAAGCUGUUAUGUCUUUUUCAACUGUGGAUGGUAGAGUAACUUUAUCUGUUAACUCAUAUUAUUUCGGUUGUGCAUUCAUGGUUAAUGGUAUGUAUAGGUUGAGUUUAAAUACUGAUAGUAUAAACCAUGUGAAUUAUAUUUUGAUUGAUCCAAAGUUGUUACACAAUAGACUUGGACACGUGAAUUACAGGAAAAUGCAACAUCUAACUAAAACUCACAACAUUCCAUUAGAUACUUUUAUUCGAUUUAACAAAUGUGAAGUGUGUGCACAAGCUAAAAUUACUAGAAAACCCUUUAAGUUGGUUUCUAAAAGCACACUUCUUGAGCUAAUACAUUCUGACAUUUGUGACUUUAGAAAUUACAUUACUAGAGGUAGUCGGAAGUAUCUAAUAACAUUCAUAGACGAUUUUUCUAGAUAUUGUCAUGUCUAUUUGUUGAAAUCAAAAGAUGAGGCUUUUGAAAAAUUUAAGAUUUUCAAGUCUAAAGUAGAAAAUCAACUCAACUUGAAAAUUAAGAGGUUUAUGAGUGAUAGAGGAGGAGAAUAUACUAUGUCAAGUUUAAGGAAUUUUAUGUUUCAGAAGGUAUAAUACUUGAAACCACCACUCCUUAUUCACCCAAAUCAAAUGGUGUUGCGGAACGUAAGAAUAUAACGUUAACUAAAAUGUUAAAUUCUAUGUUACUUACAACUGACAUGCCUUCCUCUUACUGGGGAGAAGUAGUUCUAAUUGCUAAUCACAUCUUGAACAGGUUGCCGCACUCUAAGUUUUCUAUGAUACCUUAUGAGAUAUGACAUAAGUGCCUUGUAUAUAUGAUACUCUUAAGACUUUGGGUUGUAUUGCUUAUGUAAGCAUACCGGAUCCUAAGAAACCUAAGGUGGGAUCUAGAACAAUUACUUGUAUAUAUCUAGGUAGUGCGGAAGAUAGUGCUACAAAUAGGUUUUUAGAUCUAUCUACUAACACAGUGAUAGAAUCUAGAGAUGCAGUGUUCUUCGAAAACAAGUUUCUCAGGGAUCAAGGCUUGAAUGUUUCUGGAUCUACAAAUAUGAUCUUAGAAUCUCCUGUAGAAUUUGAGACAAGCCCUUCUGACACUAACUCCACACAGCUAGCUGUUAAACAAUUUCUAGUUAGAAUAUCUACAAGGGAGAGAGUUCCCAAAAAUUUUGGUGAGGGCUUUCUUAGUUAUCAUCUUGAGGAUGAUCCAUUCUCCUAUCAGGAAGCAAUGAGAUCCAGGAAAUCUCUACUAUGGGUAGAAGCCAUAGAUUAUGACAUUAGCUAUUUACUACAGAACCACACUUGGCAGCUAGUAAAUUUGCCAAAAGGGGCUAAAGCGAUAGGCUGUAAAUGGGUGUUGAAGAAGGGCACGUUUGGUAACGAUUCUGUUCCCGGGAGUAGAUUCUAAUCAGAAACGAUUUUGUUUUAUUCUGUUCCUGGAAACAGAUUUUAAACAUUUUAAGCCGUUUGGUAACUGUAAAAAAUUUCUAAUUCUGGAAUAAAAUUGCGUUUGGUACCGUGCUCAUUGAUUAUGUUCCAAAUUAAUUUCUUUUAAUUUUUAAAUAAUUUUUAUACUUUUUUUCCUUUUUUUCUUUUCUUUUUUUUUUCUUUUUUUCCUAUUAUUCUUCUUCUUUUUAAGGCCGGUCCCCGGAUCGGCGACCUGCCAUAUGAGGGCCGACGACCUCACCAAAGCAAGGUUGGCCCUCAGCGAGGCCAGCCCUCGUCGGGCGAGCCUCACCUGCAGCUAGGUGAGGCUCACCCAGCCUUGCCCAAGCUAGCCUGGCAACGCCUACUUGGCCACUGCCAGGGCUGGGUGAGGCCCGCCUAGCCAUCGAUGGAGUUGAGCGUCGCGAGGCUUGCACAACCCCAGCGAGGCCUCGCCGGGGCUGGGUGAGGCCUGCAUGGCCACUGCCGAGCUCGCCGGACCUCGCUCUGGCCUGGUGAGCCUCCGGCAAGCUCGCUGGAUUGGUUGUCGGCGACCGGCAGCGGUGGAUGGCGGCGGACAGCGACUGACAGUGGCAGAUGGUGGUGAACAACAACCGCGCGAUUGAAGAAGAAGAAAAGAGAAGAAGAAAAUAGUUGGUUUUGAUUCUUUUUUCUGAUUCUGGAACAAGAAUCACAUUUAUUUUUUAUUCUUGAUUUUACUCCCAAUCUGAUUCCUAGACGAUUUUGGGCCUAAACUGAUUUUGGGAACAAAAAAUCAUAAUUUGGCCAUAUUUGGAUGGUUACCAAACAGUGCCGAAGAAACUAAAUAGUGAUGGAUCAAUAGUCAGAUACAAAGCACGUUUAGUAGCUAAAGGCUAUAAACAACAGAGUGGAAUAGACUAUUUUGAUAUCUAUUCAUCUGUGUGUCAUUUAUCAACUUUAAAAAUUCUUCUUACUUUAGCAUCUAUUGAACACUUUGUAGUGUAUCAAAUGGAUGUAAAAACAAUUUUCUUAAAUGGAGAGUUAAUGAGAAAAUUUAUAUGGAACAACCGGAAGGAUAUGUUAUGAAAGGUCUUGAGAAUAAAGUUUGUAAACAAGCACCCAAGAUGUGGCAUCUUAAAUUUGACAAAGUAGUAAAGAGUUAUGGCUUUCAGUCUAGUUAUUCAGAUAAAUGCAUUUACCAUCGUUCUAUGUCAAAUAAGAUAGUUAUCAUUUGCUUGUACGUUGAUGACUUGUUAAUUCUUGGUUCCAAUCAUUCUAUAGUGAGUGACGUGAAAGUUACUUUAGCUAAAAAAUUUGACAUGAAAGAUCUUGGUAUUGCUAAUACAAUUCUUGGUAUGAAAGUAAGUUUUAAACAGCAAGUCAUCUCCCUUAGCCAGACUCAUUAUAUUGAGCAGCUACUAUCUACUUGGGGAUACAAUAAGUGUAAACCGAGUGAGACACCGUGUGAUUAUAAUAAUAGAUUGAGUCAUAAUGAAGGGACCAGCAUGGAUAAGUUAAACUACUCGAAACUGCUUGUAAUCUCAUGUAUGCUAUGAGUUGCAAUAGACCUGACAUAGCCUUUACAAUUGGUAUGUUGAGUCGUUUUAUUAGUAAUUCUAGUAAAAAGCAUUGUGAUGCCUUCGAUAGGCUAAUGAGAUACCUUAAAGGUACUAAAGAUUAUGCUCUCUAUUAUUCUGGUUAUCCUCCAACUAUGGAUGGAUAUUAUGAUGCCUCAUGGUACUCGGAUAUUGGAAAUAGUAAGUCCACUAGUGGAUAUGUAUUCACUUUGGGUGGAGCUGCUAUUACUUGGAAAUCCAAACAACAGACUUGUAUUGCAUUGUUGUCUAUGGAAUCAGAACUUUUUACUUUAGCCUUAGCCAGUGAAGAGGCAGAGUGGAUAAAUAAUCUGAUUAUGGAUAUUCCUUUGACUCGGCUAAAGAUUAAUUCUUUAAGCCUAUUUUGUGAUAAUCGAGCAGCUGUCCAAGUCGUCAAGAAUGCUCUCUUUAAUUCAAAGCGAAGACAUGUGAGACUGAGACAUGGGUUGUUGAAUUAUCUGAGAGAACAAGGGGUUAUCACCUUGAUCGAUGUGAGAUCGAAUGAUAACAUAGCCGAUACUCUCACCAAAGGUAUGCCUAAAGAUCGAUUAUUCAAAACAGUGGGGGAAAUGGGGUUAAAGACUAUAUAGGGAAGUCUUAACUACCAUUCACUUACCUUCUAAUUGUGUGUUUUGACUUAUCGAAUUUUUCUUUAUUGGCUAUAAUGAUAAGCACAGUUUAUACGUUUCAUCGAUGCUCACAGUUGCUGACUAAUUUGAAGAUGGUGAGUUGUCUCAUUCCAAACUUGAUGAAGAUGAUUUUAACAUAAUUCAAAUGUUCUAUCGGGGAAACCUGUGUCAUUCCAAACUUGAUACAAUUAAAUUAGAUUGGACUAUCCUUUUGGUUAAAUGAUCUCAUUCCAAACUUGAUGUUAGAUUAUUUGACUUUAAGGAAUCAGUAACUGUGACAUUCCAAAUUGAAACAUAGAAACAAUUGUUUACAUAAGAAGCCUACUGGUCUUGUUCUUAAUUGAAACUUGAUAUUACAUAACUAGGUUAUUGUAAGUGACUUAACUAUUGGUCUUGUUCUUUGAAAGUAGACAAUAAUUAUUCUUCUACAAAUAAACUUAAAUUGAUGGCUCUUUGUAAAUCAUAUUGUUUAGGUCUUGUUCAUAAUAUAUGAAACUGGAUUGAUGCUUAUGAAUAUGAUAUUGUGAUGCUUUAUGACAUCAAUAUAUAUUAUUCUCUGUCUGAUGGAAUGGUGCUAAGCUUUUAUUCAAAUAAUUGAAUUCAUGAUAAUAUGAAAUUCAUUUUUGACAUUCUACAGGGGAUGGCAAAGAUGGAGGAGAGCUUAAUGAGUGGGAUCAUGACCAGGAUGACCUACUUGAUGAAUGAAUAUAUAUCAUUUAGAGUGUGUGGAGACUUGACAGUUUACCUACUAUUGCCUAUUUUGAUGAAGUCCAUUUACUUGAGACUUGCAUUUUUCUAUCUCUAUUUUGAGAACAUUAUUUCUUAUAUUUGUAAGGCCUUGGACUAUUUUGACUGGCUUACUUAUACUUGACUAGUAUGCAUAUGUUAGUUGUUAACUGAGUUUGAGAUUUAUUCUGGGUGUUGAGAUUUGGAUGAGUUUAGAUUGAAUCUAAAACUCAUAAUACUUAUUUUGAUUUGUUGAUCUCAUAACCGAUUCAUAAUAAGGAUGAUUGAGUUUAAUACUUUACCACUGAAAACUUUUUGACUGAUUCGAGUUGAUUGUCUUGGACUAAAUGUGGAUGAUUCAUGUUUGUCUGAACAUUACGAUGACCACCUUAUUGGAUUGUGCUGUAUGGUGAACAUAGGAGGAGAUUGUUGGAUAUAUUGUUAAUAUAGUCCAAAAAUAAUAUGUUCGCAUACAAACCCAAUAGGUGAAAGCAUGAUUAUUUGGGUCCAUAUGGGCCGGAGCCCAAUAACUUGUAUAUAAAAACUCUAGGGUUUCCCUACGUUGGAGAUAAUAUUGUUAAGCAUUCCAAACUUGACGUCUCUUGGUGUAAUACUUCAAGCAACCGCUUCUUCUCUCUCAAACUCAUAACCUCCAAUAGCGAUUUCUUAGAAGAGAACAGGAAAAAAGAAAAAAAAAUACAAGGAAGAAUUGCUAUUCCAAAGUUAAGAGUGGGCUAAAGAGAAAAGGAACAAGCACUCACCACAUCGAGACGAGAUUUUGAGGGUUCUGGGAAGAAGGCAAGGAUUUAAUAGAGCACUUGGAAGGAGAGAAAAGGAACAGGAACCCGCUACUUGCUAACGAUGUGUGCCCAUACGGGAUGCCAGUUCCCAUUCCAAUUAGGAUUGGACAAUGCUUGUUUUUGCAUUGUACUCGUAUUGAUUACAAUGUCAUCACAAGAAUAUUUCGGUACAAUUGCUUUGGCGAGCAAAUCAAUUCGUUUGAGUUUUAAGUUAAGUCUGCCUUAUUGAGUUUCGAUUUCACUUUCUAAAUUUGUGCUAUGUUCAUAUUAUUUUCUUGCGACGUGGUAGGGAUUGCCACCAUGGUUGUAUGUUGGAUUUUGACCAUUUAGAUUGUGUUGUGGGAUAAUGCACCAAAAGUCCUAAAUCCAAAACAUUCUAAUUUAGGGUUAACACCACGAAAAACCUCAAACUAGUAUACAAAUGAUAAAUUCACCGAAAACUAAUUUUUUUACCAUAAAACAAUUCAAAACUAGUGCACUUAUGACAAAUUUACUGCAAAUCUACCAAAAACUUCAAAUUGAUACAUUUGCAAUAAAUUUAUCCUCCAUUUAUUUUCGUUAAAUUGGAUUAAUACCACGAAAACCCACAAACCGGUAUAAUUAUGAUAAACAGAAAAUAAAACCCCAAAAUGGUAUACCUAUUAGCUGUCACUUGUCAUCCAACUUGGCAAUUUGAUGGUAAAACUUAAUGAAAACUAACAAAAGAUAAAUUUGUCACAAAUAUACUAAUUUAGGGAUUUUUGUAAUAAAAAGAAUUAGUUUGAGGUAAAAUUAUCAUAGGUAUGCUAAUUUGGAGUUUUUUUUUUUAUAGUAUUAACUCUUUAAUUUAUUCAAUUAAGUCUUGGACCUUUUUCUUUCAAAAGUAUGAUCAAAAUAUUUUGAUGAAUAAUCAUAUGAAAUUGCCUACAUGUCACUAAGAAAUGACGGAUAAGUAUAUUGCAAGCCCUAAAAUUUGUCACAAAAAUAUAAUUGAGUUCUAAAACUUUCAAAAAAAUACAAUUAAAUCAUAAAUCUUGUCAGAAGUGCAAUUGAGUCCUAAAAUUUUUAAAAAGUAUAAUCAAAUCCUCAAACUAAUCAAAUUGGUCCAAUCAAAGUUAUUUUGUUGAUUGCACUUUUUAAAAAUUUAAAGACUUGAUCACACUUUCAAAAUAAGUUUUAGGAUAUGAUUGCACUUUUUGAAAGUUUAGGACUCAAUUACACUUCCAUGACAAGUUUUAGGAUUUCCAGUGCACUUAUCCCAAAAUAACCUAUAUGACAUUCUUAAAUUUCACUUUUCAACAUAAGUUUUAGCACCUGAUUACAUUUUUUAAUAAAUUUUUAGGAAUUAAUUGAACCAAAUGAAUAUUUUAAGACUUAGUACCUUUUUAGACUUGAUCGCAAUCCUAAUAUAAGAUUUAGAACUUGUUAACAAAUUGUUGACACCUAAAUUUUGAUUAGGUUUUUUAAUUAGACCUUAGUUUCUAUAUUUAUCUAUUUUUCGGAUAAUAAAUAAUAAAAACAACAACAAAAUAGUUAAAAACGAAAGGAAACAAAAUAUUGGCAGCCCAUCGGGGCUGGGUCUUCACGCCUAGCCCCCCCUCCUUUUUCUCUCCCCCCGCAAGGGCCCCUAUGGCCCAACCUCCUCUCCUCCAGCUCGGCCCCCCUUUCUGCCCCUUGUCUUCUUCCCCAUCUAUCUUCUUCCCUAAUUAAAUAAGCAACAACGCCGGAUUGGAAAAGGAGACGGUAGCGCGUGAUGGAGUGGACGCGUCUUCAAUGUGAGGUGGCCUAGCUAGAGCCACCUCGACGGAUGGGACGUCAGUUUAGCCGGCGGAGGCCAUUCGGUGUGCGAGGACUGGCGGUUGAAGCUCCGUCAACUGGCCGCCCCCCUCGCCUAUAAAUAGGCCUCUCCCGAUGACAGCAAAGGGCAUGCCGAGAAGAAUCGAGGACUGCAAGCUCUGAACCUCCCAUUAAGAGACUUCAGGGGAGGCUCGAAGGUGAGCAGGCCGAGAUCCAAGGUCGGUCAAAGAGGAGAGGGUCGGGUCUGAGUGUGAAGGAGCCGAGCGAGGUCAGUUAGAGGAGAGAGGGUCAGAUCAGAGGCAAAGGCUUGCACCAAAUCUUGACGCUGUCGAGCUACGUCGCUAUCGCCGCCUUGACCAAGCUCUGCCGAAGCUCUAGCUGCCUCGAGCUAUGCCUGACACCGUUGCCACGACCGACCCACCAACGUCAUGCCAGAUCUGGAAGCUGAGGGGACACCGUCACUGCUCCACUAUCGUCACCUACACCUACAGCCUGCUAUCACCACCACCAUUUGCCACGUCGUCGUACCAUUGCCGUAAAUAGGUAACAAUAGCCGCCCGUUACUGCUUGUCGCUCCGUCGCCGUCGCACCCCCUCUCUUGAACCCCAUCCACCACAAAAUCUAAGUCUACAAAAUCUAAGUCUUAGCGGGUUGGCAUCGAAAGAUUGGUCAUAUCAACAAGAAGCAUAUUGUCAAGAUUUCCUCUAAGAAGCUUGUUCGUAGACUACCCAAUUUUGGUUUAUCAAAAAUCUGAAUUAUGCACACCUUGCGUUUUCAGUAAACAGGUUAGAAGUUCUUUUAAAUCUAUAAAUCAAGUUUUUACUAAUCGAGUUUUGCAACUUCUACAUAUAGACCUCUUUGGACCAAUCAGAACUCAAAGUAUUGGUAGAAAGAAAUACUGCUUAGUAAUCGUUGAUGAUUAUUCUCAUUUUACAUGGGUAUUCUUCAUGGAAAGUAAAUCUGAAGCAUUUUCUUACUUCUCAAAAUUCGUUAAGAAAGUUCAUAAUGAGAAAGGGUAUGCUAUUACAAGCAUACGAACAUACCAUGGAGGUGAGUUUGAAAAUCAAGACCUUGUAAAUUUCUGUGAAGAAUUUGGUUUACAGCACGUUUUCUCAUCACCAUAUACUCUAUAGCAAAAUGGGGUUGUGGAAAUAAAGAAUAGAUCCUUGCCAGAAAUGGCAAGAACACACUCUUAAUUGAGAGCAAUAUAUCAUCUCGAUUUUGGGCUGAAGCAGUUUCUACAGCUUGUUAUAUCAUUAACAGAGUAUUUUUUAGGCCUAUUCUAGAGAAAACUCCUUAUGAAGUGUUUAAAGGAAAGAAGCUAAAUGUUUCUUAUUUUCAUGUGUUUGGUUGUAAGUGUUUUGUUUUGAAAAAUGCAAAUGAUGAAACUGGUAAGUUUGAAGAAAAGUCAGAUGAGGGAAUUUUUCUCGGCUACUCAACAUCAAGCAAAGCUUACAGAGUAUUCAACAAAAAGACCCAGUUUGUUGAAGAGUCUAUGAAUGUCAAGUUUCAAGACUCUACACAGAAUCAAAUGGUAGAGACUCAACUUGAAGAGACUAAACCUACUCAAGAUGUUCAAAGUCUACUUCCCCCGCAGAAGUUCAGACUUUUGAAAUUCAACAACAGAAAGAACCAAAAGAUUCAACUGAAGCAGAGGAUGAGCAGACCCAAAAACCAACCAGUAACUGGAAGCAUAAGUCAAGUUAUCCUAAAGACCUCAUCAUUGGCAACAUUGAUGAAGGAAUUCGUACCAGAUCCAAAAGGCGAGAAGAGUCUAGUGCUCUGGCACUUGUUUCAAAGGUUGAACCCAAAAGUAUAGAACAAGCCUUGGAUGAUGAAAGCUGGAUUGAAGCUAUGCAAGAAGAACUCAUAUAAUUUAGCAUCAAUGAUGUUUGGGAAUUAAUUCCUAAACCUGAAGGUAAAUCUAUUAUUGGAACUAAAUGGGUUUUCAAAAACAAAGUGCACAAGAAAGGAAAAGUGAUCAGAAACAAAGCAAGACUUGUAGCCAAAUGAUAUACACAAGAAGAAGUGAUAGACUAUGAUGAGACCUACGCACCAGUAGUGAGGUUAGAAGCAAUUAGAUCAUUACUUGUUUUUAUUUACUAUAAAAGUUUCAGGUUAUUCCAAAUGGAUGUAAAAAGCACAUUCCUAAAUGGAUUUAUUCAAGAAAAAAUCUAUGUAGAACAACCACCUGGCUUUAAAGAUCCAAGAAAGCCAAACUUAGUCUACAGACUAAAAAAGGCUCUGUAUGGGCUAAAGCAAGCACCUCGAGCCUGAUAUGAAAGGUUAAGUAAUUUAUUAACUUAAAAUGGAUUUGUUAAAGGAAAAGUAGAUACUACCUUGUUCAUUAAAAGAGAAUGUAAAGAUUUUCUACUUGUUCAAAUUUAUGUUGAUGACAUUAUUUUUGGAUCACCUAAUAAAAGUCUAUGUAAGAAGUUUUCUAGAUGCAUGCAGGAUGAAUUCGAAAUGAGUAUGAUGGGCGAGCAAAAUUUCUUUCUGGGAUUACAAGUAAAACAAUCAAAGGAAUGAAUUUUCAUUCACCAAGAGAAGUAUGCAAAAGAUCUUAUCAAGAAGUUUGGAUUGGAAAACUGUAAAAAGAUAGAGACAUGUUGACACCUAAAAUUUUGAUUAGGUUAUUAAUUAGGCCUUAAUUUAAUUUAUUUUUCCUUUUUUCAGAUAAUAAAUAAUAAAUAACAAAAACAACAAAAAUAAAAAAUAAAAACAAAAAAAAGAAGCAGCCCAUCGGGGCUGGGCCUUCGCGCCUAGCCCCCUCUUCUUCUUCUUUUCCACGCAAGCCCAAGGCCCAGCCUUUUUUCCCACAAAGCCCAGCCCCCUUCUCUUCUCUUCUUCUUCUUCUUCCUUCUUCCCUCUUCUUCCCCUCCGCCUCUGCAACUCACGCGUGCGAAGGACAACCUACGGCCGAGGAGUGUAGGCCGACGUCGGCCGGAAGAGACAGAUCUCAAGCACCAUCAUGGGCUUCCUUCAAUGCCGAGCACGCCUUGUUGAAGGAGCUCUAAUGGGACGCCAGUUCAGCCGGCGGAGGCCGUUCGGCGUGCGAAAACCAGCGGUCGAAGCUCCAUCGACCGGCCGCCCCCUCGCCUAUAAAUAGGCUUCUCCUAACGAUGGCAAAAGAGGGCAAACUCGGAGAUCUUCCCUUGAGAGACUUCAGGGGAGGAUCAAAGAGCGAGCACGCGAGAGAUCAUGUCGCGAAGCUCGAACGACCUCCCUCCGAGAGACUUCGGGGGAGGCCGGCGGCAAGCGAGCUCGAGGGGGAGAGAUCCGAGCAUGUGGAGGCUGAGUGAGAGAGGAAUCCGAGGGAAAAGUGCCAGAUUUGAGAAGCCGAGGACCCACCAUCGCUGUCGUCCCUCCUGACGCCAUCGACCGCCCACGCCGAAACUCCAGUCAGCCGCUGUGUCGUCGUCACCCUUCGACGUUGUGCGCCGCUGCCAUCCCAUGCCCUCAGAUCUGGAAAGCAGAAGACCAGAUCUGAGGAGGAUCCACUAGAUCUGGCCACCGCGACACGCCGUCAUCCACCGCCGUGCUGCCCCUUGUCGAUGAGCCUCGGUUGAAAUCCCUGAAGCCAGUGAGCAUCUCUGACCCCCCCUCUCGUUUGUCACCUCGCUUCUGGGUUGGCAGCCAGAGCUCGUGGCUAUUGAGCUCGCGGAAGCUCCAAUUGCUGGUCGCGCUCUGUCCGCCGUGCCCCUCUGCGUCUCCACCCGUCACCGCCACCGUGCCGCCAUGCCGCAUCAACCUACAGCUGCUGUCCUCCAUAUCGUUGCCAUCGUCGACGCCGAUCUGCCAUCCCAGCUCCUCCGUCAGCGUCGCGUCCAAGCGAAAGAGGAAGGAGGCAUCGCGUCGGGUCAGAAGCGGGUCGCGGCCGGGUAGGGUUCCAUGAUCCGAGUCACAGCUGUGAACCGGGUCGAAGUCGAGCGGAUCCGGGUUGGCGUCCGGGUAGGGUUUUCCCCGGGUCAGGCCUGCACACGUGGGCUGGGUUAUGUUGGGCUAGAAUUUUUGUGAAGUGGGCCAAAAAAAAAUAGGUUUUGGGCUUUUACGCUUAAAAAAAGAAAAAAAUGGGUUUUGCCUUCUGGGCGAACAGCCCGGGUCAGACCCAACCCUGGAUCUGACCCGGUUCAUUUUUAUUAUUUUAAUAUAAAAUAAUAUUUUAAAAAAUAAAACUAAAAAUCAAAAAAAUAAUUUAUUUUCCAGAAAAAAAAAAUAAAAAAUAUCCCAUAUUUUCCCAAAAAAGACCAAAAAAUCAGAAAAAGCCAAAAAGACUUAUAUUUUCCAAAAAGAUCAAAAAUAAAAAAAAAUGCUUUUUAUGUUAAAAAAAUGAGAAAAAUAUCUAAAAAUGUUUUUUUUUCUCAAAUGCGUGGAAAAUCUCUCAAAAAUCAAAAAAGCCUUAGGGUUUAAACAAGAUUAGGUACCGAAAAGGCAUUAGAGAUUAACUAGUGUAAUCAAGUCCCCGAUUCUAAUUUCUCUGGUUGCGCAGGAGCGAGUAUUCCUCCCGAUAUUUCGCUUGGGUUUCUAAUUGACCCACCCUAAACCAAUUAGUGGCGACUUCGUUUUAAAAUUGACUUACAAGUUAAAAAAAUUGAACCAUUAAGUCGCGAAUUGGUGGACUUGGGAGAGUCCGGGCAUACUAAAUUCAGCCGAGCUAUUAGCCUCCCUUAGGUGCCCGUACCCAAUUGCGGGCGCCGGAAAAAAAAAAAAAAAAAGAGGUCACGACAAGACACCUAUGUCAAGUUCUUCAAAGCUGGAUAAAGAUGAAGAAUGAAAGAAUGUUGACCAAAAGCUAUACAGGAGCAUUAUUGGAUCACUUCUUUACCUUACUGCAUCUAGACCUAACAUUUUGUUUAGUGUUGGUAUCUGUGCUAGAUUCCAAUCAAAUCCCAAAGAAUCUCAUCUCAGUGUAGCAAAACAAAUCAUCAAAUACAUUGCAACUACUCCAAAGUUAGGACUAUGGUAUCCUAAAGAAUGAGACUUUACUCUCCUUGGAUAUUUAGACGCAGAUCUAGCAGGAUGCAAAGUGGAUAGAAAAAGUACUUCUGGUACAUGUCAACUGCUUGGCAAUAAGCUGGUAUCAUGGUUUUCAAGAAAACAGAGUACCAUAGCUCUUUCAACAACUGAAGCGGAGUAUGUAACUCUUGGAAGUUGCUGUUCUCAAAUCUUAUGAAUAAGACAACAUCUAAGAGACUUUGGUAUUGAAGAAUUAUGCAUUGAAAUCAAAUGCGACAACACAAGCGCCAUCAAUCUCACAAAGAAUCCAAUUCUUCAUUCAAGGGCAAAGCAUAUAGAAAUAUGUCAUCAUUUUAUUAGAGAUCAUGUUCAGAAUAGAGAAGUUAUGAUUCGGUUCAUUGACUCGAAGAAUCAACUAGCAGAUAUAUUUACAAAGCCACUGGAGAAAAGUUUAUUUGAGUCUAUUCGUGCAAGAUUGAACAUCAUAUCUCUUGCCGAGUAAAGUCUGAAAGUGUUCAGACUCAGAAUUUCCAGAAGUUGUGACUAUAAGUCAAUUUCUUCUAAUUGUCGUGAAGUUAUUUUUAAAUAAAAUUUUGAAAAGGUACGUUAUCCCCUUGAAUUAUUUUUACCUAUUUCAUUUUUAGAAAUUAUCCAUAUUGAUGAUUUCUCAUUUUCAAAAAGGCAGUUAUUAUUUUUGAAAAAUGUAGUUUAUCAUUUUUUUUAAAAAGGCAGUUUUACUUUUUCCUUAUGAUGUUUCAUAUACCUCAUUUCAACUUGCUUUAUAUACAGUAGAAACUCUUCUUCUCCAUUUACUCCUUCUUUUUGAAACCCUAGAAUACCGUGAUCUUACUCUUUCUCAUCUUUAGUUGAGUUUCAUCCAAAAAGUUUUAACCUUUUCGAAAGAGCGAGUUCGAGAAAUUCUCAUAGACUUUGACAAUGUCUUUCCAAAGAAAGUCUUCGAGAAUCACAAGUCGAGGACCACAACACACGUGUGAGGGACCUACGCAUUUCGAUUUGACCGAGGAAGAAGAUUCUCCUCAACAACAACAACAACGGUGACAGCCAAGACAACAUUCUCAAUAGCUUCAACAAGCGGCGCGAGAUCCUCCUCCAUAGCAAGAACAAGAAGAGGUUAUAGAAGACGUUGAACCUAUAAGGACUCAAAACCCCAAUUUAUCUAUAGACUGUAUUCCAACUUGAAAAGGGGUGGCUUUGCUAUGAAUUUGAUAGAUAAGUUCUUAAAAGCACACGGUUACAGAAAUGAGACCUUUUUCUUGAACACUAUGGAAAGAAUAGGCAUUGCGCCUCAGGGUUUGGCACAAUGGUCGUUUGAAAAUUUUCCUAGUGAUCUGAGAUUCGGUUAGCUAGAGGAGAAGGAUGACGAUGAAAGAAUGUUUGCUCAUUUUCAACCCAAGAUGGGCGUUGCUGCAAAGGUUCGUGGUGAAGGGACGAAUUUAUUUCGUUCCAAGGACCACAAGAAGACUUAUUUGAGUUUGCUGAAAAGAGGGGUUAUGAACCCCAGGAGAGUGGAUUUCGAUUUUCUUGACUCUUUGAAGGUUAAUUUAAGGGAGAAGCUUGGUUUGCUUCAACUUGAACACUUUUGCACCGAGACGAUCGUCGCAUGCCCUGAACUUACUGCCUACUUUUAUUCAAAUAUGUCAUUUAUAGAUGCGAAUAAAUUUAGUUUUACUGUGAGGGACAAAGAAUUUGUAGUUGAUGUAGACACUUUGGCUAAUAUAAUUGGUGUGGAAAGAAGAAGAUUCCAACCAAUUGGUGUGUCUUAUUCUCAUGUUACCUUGUCCAUUGUUAAUGACAGAAUGGUCGAAGGCAAGAUUUCUUAUUCAAGAAUGAAUGCCUCUAAUAUUCUUCUUCACAAGGUGGUGAUUAAUUGCAUCAGGCCAAAGUCUACCUCAAAGAUGGAUGUUUCUCGUUCUGAAGCUAAAGGUCAUGUGCGCGAUCAACACCGGUCGUAAGUUCCCUCUGCCUCACACAAUUCUUAUGCACAUGUACAGAACUGUGGUGAAAGACAAGGGACAACUCCCUUACUCGACGCUUAUCUCACAACUCUUCAAGCAUUUCAAGAUCAAACUUCUUGCUCCUCUUUGUGUUAGAACCAUUGCCCCAAUGGUUAUUGGUCUUAAAAUGGUUUCUAAGAUGAGGCUGAAGGAGUUGAGCAAGGACUUGGAGCGCUUCAAGGAGAAGUCCCCUGUGAAGGUGAAGCAAGACUCUGCUGCAAAGAAAAGAAAAGGCAAGGAACUGAUGACAGAACCUGCAAAGAAAAGGAGAUCUCUUAUCUUGGAAGACAAAGAUGAAGAUGAAGAUGAUGAUCAUCUCAUUAUCUUAGCAUUUGCCUUGCGAAAUCUAUAGAUUUUUGUGAGCCAUAUAGAGAACAGAGAACGAGAAGAAACAAAGAGAAGCGACAGUGAAAGAGAAGAAUAAGAAAAAAGAAGAAGCAAAGAAGAAAGGAGUCACGAUGACUCUUUUGAACCAAUAAUGGCUACAUCAUUGUUCGAUGAUUCAAAGAAGACAAGGAGUGGAAAGACUAGAGAACAACAUCGCUGUAGUGUUGAAGCAAAGCAUGAAGAAGAACAUAUCUCUCCACCUGAAGGCAUGAAGACAGGGGGAGAUGGUGAAAAAUGAGGUACUUCUUCACCCAUCUUUGCUAGUGGUAUUAGUAGAUCUCCACCAAACCCAAAAGAGGUCUAUGCCUCUCAAUUUCUUGAAACAGACUUCGAGGCAUACACUCCUAAUCAUGGUGAUAGAACAACUGAUGUUCCUCCUCAUUUUCAAACUCCUGUAACUGAUUCGGCUGGACCCAACACUACUAUAGAUCACUCAGCAGAUUUUCAGAGAGUGAUGGAGCUUCUUUUGGAAUUAAAGGGACAACAUAUGCUUUUGAAUUUGAAAUAUAGCACAUGAUGAUUGUCUUCAAGGCAUCUACAGACUCUCUUCAAGAACAGAUUCAAGCCCUAAAUCUUCAACUACAAGAAUAGGCAAAGGGUGUGGAUAUUCAAUAGCUUAAGGAGUCUUUGCAGAAGCUUGAAGACACUGUCAAGUCCAUGGGGGAUUUCCAGCUCGUUCGUAUCCCCAAGCAGCCCUGAUUCUAUCCAACUCUUUACAAUUGUUUUCCUCCACUUUUUUGCUGAUGACAAAAAAAGGGGAGAGUUUGAGUGCAGAUUUGCAUUUUGGUUUUAUUUAUUGAAUUUGAACUUUACUUUCUGUGGACUUUUUGAUUUUGGUUUGCUUUUGACAUUGGACUUUGGAUGGAUACUGUUUGCUUUAGAUGCUUGCUAAAGUUUUUGAUUAUGACUAGAUUGUUAUUUAUCCUUGUGAAUUAACAUGUGUUAUGUGGUUGCAGAGAUAUUAUGUAUUGCAUAAGUAUUGUUUUGUAGGUCAAAAGUUUUCCAAAUCUGCAGGAAAGUUUUAUCACCAUAAAAAAUGGGGGAUUGUUAGAGAAAACUCAUUUAUUGUUUUGAAGUUGACAAAACCUUUCCAAGCUAUAUUUAACGAACUCAAGACUUUAUCGUCAAAGUCUGAAGACCGACAGACCAUCAGAUUUUAGUCUCAAAGUCUAUCAUCACUGACAGUUCCAAACUGAAGUAUGAAGACUUAUUCAAAUGCAGGAUUAUUAUCCAGAUGCAAGAUUAUCUUCAAAGUUUUGUUUCGUAUGAUUAUUGGAAGAUCUUAUAGCUGGGUUUCACAUCUACUUGAUUAAUUAUUUUUAUUGGAAACUAAUCCGAUAUGAAAAUCUUUGAAAGGCGAACUAAACUUGGAAUGUUCUACUUAUGGAAACUCAAGAUCCUGAUUUGUAUGGGCGAAAGGGAUUGAUGGGCUUUCUACACAAAUCAUCUAACGACUCGAGAUCACCUUAAUUGAUUCUAUCCAACGGGUAGAUUGGAAAAAUUCAUUUGGAAAGUGCCAACAGUCAAGAAGGCAUGAAGGAGUAUUUAAGGACUAACUCUUUAGUUGUUCGAGAGAGUGCUUGAAAGAGAAUUCCAAAGUCUGAAGCUUUCUAAACUCUUGCUUUUUCAUUCAUCGAGCUAAACAUUGUAUACAAAAGAGAGAAAUUCUUAGUGAGACUGUGUGAGAGUUUGAUAGAAACUCAUCACUGUGAUAGUUGAGAUCACAAGCUGUAACAUUUCUUUUAAUCCUUAGUGGAAUCCAACCAAUAGGCUGUCAGUGAGGAGAGUGGACGUAGGCUUGACCUAAGCCGAAUCACUAUAAACUCUGUGUUCAUAUUCUCUUUUCCUUGAGCUCAUUACUUUUAUUUACUGAUUAUCUAUUUGCUUAAAGUUGAAAUACGCUUAAUGUCUAACUUCUUCUAAAAAGAAAAUUACUUUCAUUAAGUCCUGCGAAAAUUUUUAUUUACACCUAUUCACCCCCUCUAGGUGUACUCACUGACCCUUUCAGCAUCAAUAUUUUCUCUCAUCGAUCUUUCUUUUGUUGGCUGUGAAUCAAACUAGAUGGUUGAGCUCCUCCCUAACAUGGCAUGUGCCUUUAAGAACUCAUUAUCCUUUGUCUUUGUGCCUACCAGCUCUUCGUAAGGCGAGGUAAUGUUGAUGUCGAUGUCAAUAUUAUAUUCUUUGUGGAAAGCAUUAGUCAAUUCUUCCUAAGUCUUAAGUAGACUAACAUUCCUUACAAUGUACAAUCGUAGGAUGGGGCCAAUCAGAUUUCAUUUGUAUGAUCAAAUUAUCCUUCAUACCAGGUAGGCUUGCAAAUAGACCUCUAGAUAAGAGGCAUUGGCGUACGUCUCGCACUCAAGCACUUUGAGCUCUUCUAGAAUUUUAACAGCGGCAUAACUAAUGGAUUAAUGGGGUCUUGAUCUUACAGUUGGCUUAGCUUUUUCAUGAUCCUAGUAAAGUUUAUGUCUUGUUGGUCAUCCUUUAGCGAGUUCACAGGUGUCGCGGGUGUGUUUUCCUAUGAUAAAGCGGCCACGGGAUUAGGCUUGGUUUGAGCGGACUCCAUUUGCAUCGAGAGUUGUCGAAAGAUAAUGGACAUUUGUCCCAUGCCAUCUUCAAUAUUAGCGAGGCGAUUUUGCACAUCAUUUUGAUCGGCCAUUAUUGCUUGUGGCCAUGCGUGAGCGAUUGGUGGUCGGUGAUUCAUAAUCAAAUGGUGUCGCAAAAUAGAUGAAUGAGCACAAGAAUAAAUUAAGAUUGAUCCAUGGCAAUGGUCCAAGUAAUUUUAUUUAUCAAAAGAGGAUUUCAUAGACAAGUCAUCUUUAACAUCUAAACUUGGAAUGACAACGAAAUACUAUACAUUGAACAAAAGUCCUUAAACAAUAGGACUAGGAACAAGAUGAAACUUUCUAAACAUUGACGCUGCGGGCAUGUGACCACUAUUUUAUAUGCGACGGGGAGCCUUAGUCUUGUGAAGUUGUUUGCUUUCUUAGAUUGGCUUUGAGAUAUGUACCCACUUAUUCCCAAGCCCCUUCGUAAAUGCUCAAUUUGCUCUUGUAGACUGAUUUUGCUAGCUAGGUUAGGGAUCAAUAGUCGUCGUCUUGUUGGGAUCCGGUGGUUGUGGAUGUAGGAUUUAGAGGCGUGAUGGGCCUUUUCCUGUCCCUUGAGCCCUUAAGGCAACACGAUCCUUUUGCGAUGGCAUUUGGUUAUGUAUUCUCGAUUAUGUGAAUCUUGAAUGCGUAAUCACAACUUUUAUGGGUGAAAAGGAUUGGAGAGAUCUUCAUCUUGAAAGGUGACAGGAUCUCCUUAAGGGCUUCGUACUGACGUGCCACCCUAUAUGGGUAAUAGCGAGUGGCACUAGUGACGCCAAGUAAUGGGAUCAGAUUGCAACGUUUAUAGGCAAAGUGGGCUCUCUUUUCGUGGAACCAACUAGCACACCAUAGGAAUGCCUCGAGAGCGGGGUCCCUUAGGGAAUUUAUCCAAUUAAAAUAGCUUUGGUUUGGGAUGCAUGGUCUUAGAACUACAAAUCUCUAUAGUGGGUUUUCGAAAUCAUUUAUUUCAAAUAAUUGCAUGUGACAUCCAAAUUCUUUUAAGUGUGAAAAGAACCGGACUUGUAAAAUUUCUGAGGAGGCCCAUAAGAUUUUUUCUAUGUUUUCUUAAAAUGAUCAAGGGAUAAUAAUGUUUCUUUAAAAGCAUCCUUUUGAUGGGGAAAAAUGAUGAACCUGAAAAAAGCUAGGAGGAAAUUCUUGCUUUUUUGGAUCAUCGGUUGAUUUUCAAAAUAGUUAGUCAAAAACGGUAGUGGGCAGGUAUUAUGGUUGGCUUCAAGAAUUUCCCUUACAACAUGAAUUUCAGUUUUUAAAAGUCGUGCUAACCUACAGUGGGUCAAAAGCUAUUGGUGGCCUCACCAGCUUACUCACAAGGGGCUUUCUGAUAAAGGUGCUAUGUUCUUCUAGAGUUUGGGUUAGUUCGGACCUACCAAACACAAAAGUGGAUGUCUUAGGGCACCAAAAAUUUGCUAUUGCAUGUAAGACUUCAGGACGAACAUGGAUUUGGAACAAUGACAAGAGAUGACCCAUUUUGGCUUUUACACGCUUUUGGGCGAGUUGGUCCAACUAACCCCACCAUCUAAAGAGCUCCGCUUUGGGAGCGGGAAUAAACUGGAUAUUGUCUUUUCCCAUCACAUAUAAACUGAGACUUGAAAAAUUGACCUAAAUUGCCAUGGGCCAAUAAAGUAAAUAGAUUGAGUUAAAAAAAGAUAAAGAAAUAACUUUACUUUUAAAGAAAAUGGCAAGUACAUAGACAUACACAUGAUACGUGCGGCUUAAUGUCUCACUGAGAAGGUUUUGUGAGAUUAAGAGGGUGUCUACUUGUUGCAAUCUCGUGUUGGCAUUGUAUCCUUUUAAUCUCGGCUCUACCAAAAGAAAUUCGGGGAAAAGAAAGGUAACCUCUACAUCGUAAUCUCUCAUUCAAGGUCGUAUCUUUCUUAACAUCAUCCUAAAAUAUCCUGUGGUGGCUUAGGUUCGAUGGUCGGAUUAUGUGUGCCACGUGUAGUGCUAAAACAUUAAAACAUGCACAACAAUUUAUAAUCACAAAACGUUUUAUUUUGAUGAAAUUAAAAUUGAUCGCUAACAUUUAAACAAGACAAAAAAGCCUAAGUCCACAAAAGCAAUCUUUAGUGGAGUUGUUAAGCUGUUGCAACCUCCCUUUUCCAACGCCCUUACACAUAGCCCCGUGCGGAGGCUAAUGGUUUGCUAAGUCUAUUAGGCUUAGCUUGGGCUCUCCCAAGCCCAUCAAUUCAUGAUUUAUGGCUUGAGUUUUUGACCUGCAAGUCAAUUUUAAAUAUAAGUCAAUACUAAAUUGAUUUGGGAUAAGUUGAUUAGAAAUCCAAGUGAAAUAUCAGGAGAAGUACUUCGCUUCUAUACAAUCAAAGAAAUUAAGAUCGGGGACUUAAUUACAUUAGUCAAUCACUAAUUUCCUUGUGGUACCUAAUCUUAUUUAAACAUCAAGUAAAGCAUUUAUGCAGCAUUUUAUACCAAUCAUGAAUUAUAGAAUUCAAUCCCUAGCCAGAUUAAGGAAGUAGAAGUCCAUGCAUCCUAUGGGUGCAAUUGGAUAGGUCAAUAUUUGCUUCCAAGAACUUAAACGCGUUUCUUUUCUUUUUUUCUUAAAGGUUUUUCAAGGGCUUUCCAUGCAUUUAUGGAGAAAACUAAUCAAAAACUAUAUUUUGGGGGGCUUUUUCUACUUUUGGAAAAUCAAAAAAUAUUUUUGGAUUUUUUCUGAUUUUUAGAGAAUAAAUUAUUUAUUUUAUUUUAUUUUUAUGAUAUUUUAUUUUUAUUAAAAUAUUUUUAUUAUUAAUAUAAUAAUAAUAUAUUAUAAAAAACAACCCCGGUUGGAUUCCCGGGUUGGGACCGACCUAGCUCGUCAGCCAUUGGCCUAGAUGGGCCUGAAGUGCGAGCCCAACCGAAGAUUCCUCUCUUUUCUUUAAAAACAUUCCAGCCCGUAAAUUCUUUUUUAAAAUAAAAAUAGGGCCACAACUUUGCAAAGCCCACGUGUGUCUGGCGCGAAUCGGCUAGAACUCUACCCGACUGAGACCCACGCGCCCGACCCGAUUUUCAGUUGCCGAUCUGACUCUCGGUUGCGGCUGAGAGUGUGCCUGACCCGAGACGCGAGGGGCGGGGGCGACGGCGAGUAGCAAGUUGCUCAGCCAGUUCAGGCCAAGAUGUAGGGCGCCGUGGCUAGGGUUUUGAGGUGCGACACGAAUGGGGGCGAGCAAUGGCAGGGACGACGGCGGAUAGGGGGCGACGCCUAUGGUCAAGGGCGGCGUCGUUAGUGGUUGAAUGGCAGUGGCGUCGGGCAAGCGUUACACGCGGCGGCAGGGCUCCAUCCCACUGCUCUCUCUCUCUCUCUCUCUCUCUCUCUCUCUCUCUCUCUCUCUCUCUCUCUCUCUCUCUCUCUCUCUCGACCUGGUUAGUUGAGACGGUGACGUUGGCACUUGGGCGUCGCCCUGGCAAGCCCAAACUAUGGGCUUGGUCCUUGGCCGAGCCAUAACUACACAGCAGGGGUCCUUGCCUCUGACGUCCCUGACCGAAUGAGCCACAACGACAGCGGCAAAGGGACACCCAAAACAAAGAAAAGAAAAGCCGAGCAAGACAUGAAGGGGAAGAAGAAAGGUUUGGCCGGCGGUGACGCAGGCACUGCAGUCUCGCUCGGGAGGCUUCUCUCCUUGAAUAUCUCUCUCUCUCGGCCCCAAUUUCUUGCUCCUCCACCCUCAAAUCUCGCUCGCUCACACAGGUCUCUCUUGGUCUCAGGCUCUCUCUUUCUCCUCGACCUUCGCUAGAUCUGCCUCUCUCUUCCUUCCCUCUCGGACUUGCUCACUCUCAAGGCUCCCUAAAUUUCUCUCGGGAGGACUCCUCCGAGCUCGCUCCUCAAAUCUCUGUGUGUGUGUGUUUCGGCCUCCGUCGGAAGCCUUAUUUGUAGGUAGAGGGUCCGGUCGACGGAGGCCUCGACCGCUGAUCCUUGGCGUGCCAACUGGCCUCCCCCUUGGGAAAGAAUAGGUGCGAAUGGGCCCUCGGUCCGCGUGGGUGAAAAAGAAGAAGAAGGGACUGGGCGUGAAAACCCAGUCCCCGUGGGCCAUUUUUUUAAUAUAUAUAAAUAUAAAUAUAAAUAUAAAUAUAAAUAUAAAUAAUUAAUCUAUCCGAAAAUAGGGUAAAAAAGGAAAAUAAAAUAGGAAAUAAAACUUAAUUGAUACAAAUAAAAAUUAAGACUAGGUGAUAUGAAAAUAAUUUUUGUUAGGGUCAAAUUGGUCUCUAAUUUUCUAUGCAAUUUUUAUCCUAAAUACUUUGCCAGAUUUAGGCGUCAAUAGAUUCCGAGGAGAUUUUCAUGUUAUAGUCGAAUUUCUCAUUUAAACUCAUCAAAAAUUCGGAUUAAGCAAAAAAAGAAAAAAGCGUAGCAACUCCGAAUAAGCACAAAGCUUGCAAUCCUCUCGGCUUCACUGAAAAUCACAUCUCCUUCUCUCACACAAGUAAUCAAAAGUACACCACAAUGAAAAUCAAAAGCUCCAUCAUUUCCUCCAGGAAGGACCUAAAACGCCCAACAAAUAUGAACAGCUCAAUUUUUCCCGAUUGCGAUACUAGAGGUCUUAACUUAUUACCAGUAGAAGUGGGAUUUAUUUGUUACUCUUCGUGCGUUUCCAAUUGAUGACGUGAAAGGGAGAGGUGCGCAAUUCCUUUUGUAAUUUGAUAAGUAAAAUCGAUUAUUGUUCUCAUUCAUGGCCCAUGAACCUAUAUCAUCUCAAUAUUGAAUAGAUUUUGUUAAAAAGUAUUACUCUAAUUAAGUAACUAAAUAAGGAAAUUUUGCAAUUUUUAAUGUAAUAAUUGACAUCAUAAAACGAACUCAUUUAGUAUACAUUAGAUUCUUAUAGUUUAAAAAUCAAUAAAUUAUUGCAAUAAGUAAAUCUCAAACCAUGACAGAACAUAAAGUUACAAUUCUACAGGUAGACUAUUGCGCAAGUUAAUGCGUAAACCAUAUCCACUGUAUGUAUGCAUUGGUGUAGCUUCAUAUUCUCUGUUGGACUAAUUUAAGGUAUAAAGGUCGUGUAAAUGUUUUUCUUUCAUAAGCUAUCUUUUUUUAUCAUAAAAAUUUGGAUAUAGUAAUAGUGAUGGGUUGUUAAAAAAGUUUCGCCGUCUAUGUAUCGGAAAUUUUUCCAUCGCUUAUAUACUUCUUAUUUAUUCGAGCGACACCUAAGGCAAGUUAUUAGCGAGAGAAAUCUUUGAAAAUAGUUAAUUACACUUCUGGAAAUAAUGCAAUAUGAACCAUCCUAAUAUAGGGGUUUUGUAGGAAAACCUUCGGAAUCGACAUGGCUGAGUGGAUCCAGGAUCUGUAGUAAAAGUCAAGGACUAGGUUCCAGUUUCUAAAAAUUUGAAAUGGUGAGUAUAAAUUUUUUCCACGGAAUAAGGUCAUAUGCACAAGGUCCCCAUCCUUUAUUGUUUACCUAUUUAGGGUUACGUUACAUAAAGAUACAAGAUGCCCUAUAAAAUGUCUUUAAAAAGACAUAUGUAGCAAUAGAUAUUAUAAUUUUAUUUGUUAUUUAUGAUUUUAUAUCAUUUCUUUCACAAAAUCAUGAUUAAAAAACGAUCCAUACAGCAAUAUUGUGAGAUGUAAAGCAUAAAUUCACUUGUACUUUACUAAUUUUAAUAUAAACGUGCAUCCUACUAAUUCAUAAUUAUUUGUUGUUCAUGUAAAUGGAAUAGCUGACAGAAAUGCAAUAAUUUUUAUUUAUGAAAAAAAUUAUAAAUAUGGAGUUCCCGGCACAAAUGUAACGAACUUUACAUAUAUAAUUGCAGAUAUCCCAUUUUUUUCCUAAUAAUUUGAUAGUAUAAUCCAACAUGUUACUAGCCCUAAUUUGCUAGGAUUUGUGCUAAGAUUGACCGUGGCAUCCAAUAUUGAAUCAAAUGAUUUUCUUAUAAACAACAAGUCACAAGCUCUUUGACGCAUCCAUCAUCAAUGUAAAAAGAUAUAUAAAUGGAAAAGUUCACUCGGAUAUGUCUAUUUUUCUAAUUUGGCGUAGAGGUUUGCCGAUUUGCCCAAAAUCACAAAUCAAUUUUCUUCUUGAGCCUAAUCUAUCAAGUUAGGUCUUCCUAGGCCCAAUCAAUUCUAUAUUGAAAAUUGGAUAGAUAGUAUAUGCAUAUGAUUCACUUACACACAUUUAGGCUGCAUAUAUCAUUUGGCUUGCCUCUUAAGUAGGUAUCAAGCACAACGUCUUCGAUAAAUAUACAUGGAUACAUAUAAUGAUGAAGGGCUUCAAUACAUGUAGAUGUGACAACUCCAUCAUGAGAGUACCUCUUCAUGAAAUUAGAGCCAAUCCAGUUGCUCCCAAUCCCAAAUUGGGUCUUCCAAACUUGCCAUCUCCCAUUGAUGUGAACUUCCUGCAUUGGCCGCUACUGCUUCUGAUGAUGAUGCAUCUGCACAUCCACCACCUUCGUGCCCGCCUUCGCUGCUAGCAGUGUUGUCGCUACCUUGGAUUGUUGUCUCUCUAGCCACCGCUUCCAGUCGCCGACGAUCAAAUGCUCGAGACCUCCCGGACACCACAUACACUCGGCACAAUGCGAAUUCACGCCUUAGCUGUAAGUACAUUAGUUCCGAAAAAUCAAACACACAGAAAAAAAUGUUUAUUGCAUUUUUUCUGUAAAAGUCCAAGUAAGAACUAAAGAAGAGACGUAAAUUUAUUAGUCUGCAACUGCGCGGCACCGCUAAAGUACAUCACAGAAAACCAGUGCAAGAACGAUUAUUCAAAGUCAAAAUUAGAUAACCUAGACGUCAUGCACGCGAAGUUAUUUUAUGCUUUCUAUGUUUGAAAAAGUUGAAAUAAAGGUCCGAAUUUCUUGAUACGAUCACCUCAGGAAUGGAAAUAUUACUGCUCGUAGAAUCGAGAUUGGUCGGCGAGAGUUCAAUGGCCCUGUACUCGUUCAAUUUCCAGUGGGUCUUUCUUCCUGUGGGAGGUUUUCCCAUGUAGAAAAUCAUUGACUUCUUCACGCCGAUCACCUUGUUGUCCGACGAGUAGACGUAACCGGGAGACCCGGUGGCUUUCCAGUAGCCGGUGGCCAUGCUCCGGCUGGGCCGCCCUCCUCUCGCCUCCCUCUCCUGCAGGGGCGCGAAGAAGAACCACUGCUCUCUGUCUUCUCUGCACAGCUCUCCCGCAAGCUCUGCAACACAAAUUCACCAAAAAAAAUGUAGGGAAAAGAAAGUUCACUGGUAAUGGGCAUUUGUAAUUUUCAAGAACCCAUUUUUAGUGCACAGUCCAAUCAAUGUAGGGGAUGUGAAAGAAUCGCAUGCACGCGGACUGUGUCUUACGUGGGAGAUUCCAUGGCUCAGUGUUGAAAAUGUCGAGGACAGGGAUGACACGGUGAAGCUCAUCCUGCUUAAGGCCACCAAGUUGGUUAUGCAAAUAGAACGAAAUGAGCUCUUCCUCAGUUGGACAGAACCUGAAACCUGUCGGGUACUUCUCCAUAUCUGGUUGUUUUGGGUCCUAAGGUUUCGAGAUGGAUCGGUAGAUAAAGAUUCUGUGUUGUUGAACACUACGAUGAGGUAAAGCUUUAGUUGGGCGCGGAUUUGAGUUAGCAAGUCAAUUACGUAUAUGUAGGGAUCGCGAGCAGGAGGAGAGUGUGUUGAGAUGAUCUAGGGUUUUUGAAGGAAAGAAUGCAGGAGGGAGGAGACCAUGACGAGUGAAGAGACGGCGUGUCAACUGCGUCCUCUUGCACAUGAUAACAUCAACGCGGUUGGGUCAAGGAUUAGACAUGAAGUGACAAGAGAAACGAGCAGUGGCCGGCGCCUCACCGCCUCGGUUCUUCCACAACGAUUGUAGCUGUCAAAAGGGAGGUAUUGGCCUCGGGUACUGAUAGUCUCAGAAUACUUAUUCGAUAUAAUUUAAUAAGCAAUAUUUGGUUUUUCAAAACAAUGAUUACAAAUAACUAGAGAGAACGUAUUAUAUUAAAUACAGUAAAUUUUUUCUUAUUUGGUUGAUUAACAAGCUUCUUAAGUAUGCUCCCUCUUAGUUUUUAUUUAUUUAUUUCAGCAUAAUUGCUUUUUAAUUAAAAUAUACUUUUAGAUUGAUUUAAUAGCUCAUGUGAUGUGCUGCCAUAUGUUUUGCUUUUUUGCGUCCACAUGGGGGUUUACUAAAAUUGUUUCGGUUCGUACAGACCCAAAUCAUAAGAAAUCUUACUUUUUUGGCAUCGAAAAAAAGAUACAUGGUUUCUACCAAAAAAUAAAAAAGAUACAUGGUUAGAUCCAUUGAAUCAGAAUGCAUAAGUGAUAUUACUUACCCAUGUGAACUAAAUGUACUAUUGUCACAAUCUGUCAUACUAGGUCAAGCUAAUGCCAUAUCAAAAGUGAUAGAUUUUGCUUUAUCUUGGAUCCACAAAACAAGAUUCACUCCUAAGAAUGUUUCAUGUUGGGGUGAUUCUAAUGAUCACAUAAGUCUAUAUAAUCUUUUCUUGAAUCAAAGGAGAACAUGAUCUCAAGCGGCCAUUCUUCUUGAAAAUUAAGUUACUUCAAUCAGCCUAGAAGCAUCUCUUCAAAUCUCGAAUUGAGGCAUCGAUUUGUCCCUCUAUGCAUAGAAUCCUUGACCAAUGUCAAUUGCAGCUUCAAAAGAAGGAAACUGUUUGUACUAUAUCACAGAGUUUUGCUAAAACACAUCUAGGGUUGUUAGUUGUUACAGUACUAAAUCAAAUCAUCAAAAGUUUUUUUCAUUACCACUAAGCGAAGCGUCGCCCAUCGCUGUCAUGCUAGCGGUUCCCAGAUGAAUACCAUGCAAUCUCAACAUAUCUAGUGCUGAAAAGUAAGAUUUACUCGAAGCAUCGUGGAUGGUGGUAGUUUGCUCUGGAUCAAUACGCUUUUAGUUUACUUCCAAGUCAGCUAAAGGAAAACAAUAAAUCAAAUUAAAGUAACGUAUAAUUUUGUUUGAACGGAGAAAAUUCUGCAUCUAGAUUAAGAAUAACAUGUAUUGUUAGUCAAUUUUCCAGCAGGAAACUUCCGAAGCAUUUGAAUUUCUCUCUAAACUGAAAACUAAAGGCAGAAUUAGAACCGACUGCACUUUAUUUCAUUUAGUUUACCUUUCUUGUGGCCACUUGACUUCCAUUGAUUGACUAGCAAACCAUUUGAGAUCCAUCAUUUUAUAAACUUCUUAAGAAAGCCGCUACGCACUCAAACUUGAGAACUUCCUCAGUUUUUACUUUAUCCUUCUUUUCUUUUCACCGUUCCAUAAUACAUGGCUUUCGGUGCCUCCAACAUCACCAAGGUCAAGAAAUUGUUUGACUAACCAUUAUUAUUGGGUGAUAUAGUGCGUGAUAAUCGAAUGAAACGUUUCAUUUAAAUAAUACACUCUCAUUUGGCUCAAUAUAUCUUACUGACUCUUUCUUUGUUUCAAUAUAAUAGGGCUUGGGAUAUAAAAACAAAAAGAGGAACUGCUUAUAAUAUGCAUGCACCAUAAGAUUUAGAUUAAGUAAAACAAGGUAAAAUUGUAAAAAUCAAUCCAGAUACAUCCAAUAGAUUUACUGAAACUGUGAAAAAAGCAAAAGGGAAAAAAAAGAGGAACAAAGAAAGAUGCACUUACAUUUUCCUCUUGAAUCCAUUCACCAUGAUUUUCUCACCAAGCAGCAAGCAAGGCAGGGACCCCCAGAUUAGAAGUACUGUUUUUUUUUUUUUUUUGGGACCGGAGGAACCGCCUCACAGCGAGCGCUCAGCGUAAACCCCUAGGGAGCACUGGCGUGGGGACCCACCUCCCAUGGUGCUCCGCUUAAGUCACGCUUUAAUGCGCACGCGGUGACUCGAACCUCCCUCCUUCCGCAAUUAGAGGGGGAAAAACCCAAACCAAUGCCCCCACAGCAGGGUGGGUUAAUUAGAAGUACUGUUUAUCAUGAUUAACUACUGCAAACAUUCUUUCUUGCUCUGUUUUUCUUGCCACGGAUGGUUAAAAUUCAAACUUCCACUUUCUUAGACCGAAAAAAAAAAAAAGUUCCACUUUCGGUGUAUGUCUCCAUCAUGAUUUUAUUGGCAGGCAUGUCGAUGAUAUUUGUGACAUGUUAACCGGGUCUACAUCAACCCCAAAUAGCGCUCAGUGCCUCGUACAAAGAAUAUUCUACCAUUUCAUGCUACUCAUCUCCAAAAAUCACCAUUCGAUAAUGGAAAAAGAAAAACAAUACGAACAUUAAAAAUUGCAAUUGGGAAUUAAGAAAUAUAUGGUCACGACAUACACUCGUGCAUUCUUUUUCUUGUUCGGACAACAGAAAUGUUUAUGUUGUUCUUAUUGUUAAAAUAUCCACAUUAUUUAUUUAUGGGGUUUUCUCUAUAUGUACUUGAUCUUCUUCUAUCUAUUAGUUUAAAAUAUUGGGUUGGCCAUUAUUAUAUAAUAGAGAAGUCGAAUUCUAUCUAGUUUAUUUCACUAAUGUGGCCACCCAAUGGACAUUUUAACAGUCCUUGCACAAAAUUCAAAUGACUAGCUUGAGGAAGUAAUCAAUAUAAGUAACAUAUUCUUUGGUCAAAUAUCAGGAUUUCCUUUGAAAAUCCCCGGGGAAGACAGUGGAAAGAAGAUAUGAGGAAUCUUUUGAAUUGUUCUUGAACUUGGAGAAAAAAGGGGAUCAUGCUCUAAUUUGCUAUUCUUGAUGGCCCAUCUUUUAUGAUCAAGAGCAUGUCAUGACACAAAUCCAACAAGUGAUGUUCAACACUUAAACCACUUUAGGCUAAGAUUUGCAUUUUCCUUUUGGCAAUUUUAUUAUCAUCCUUCAAGUUUGUUCAACAUUAUUUUUGAUAGAUCUAAUUUAAAUGCAAAUAUCGGACGAAGACACUUAAGUGAAUUGACGCCUUGUUUUAAUCUUUCAUUAAAAACAGAGUUACUCAAGGGACGAGAAUCAUACCACCAAAAUUUUCAUGUCCACAAAAUUGAAUUCCAAGAUAUUCUAUUAUCACUCUUGUUUGUCAGCUAAUUUGAUUUCAAAUCGAAUCAAACGAGACUUGAAGUAGAAAGAGAAAUUAGGAAAAGUUGUCGUCGUCAACCUGAGAUAGUACGAGUAACUAUCUCAGGUGAAAAUGCUCAAGAGUGAUUGGGAAUUACUAUUCAAUGGGAUCACUUACACGCUCGAAAUCAAAUGUGGUAAACGUUUGCACCUAAUCAUUCAACAAAUACAACACUUGGCUUCAGUGGGGGGUGGCGUCUGUGGCCCCUCUCAACUUUGAAAUCUGAAUCCAUCCUGCAGACCUUUUGAAAAGACAAUUGUGGUCGGAGUUUUAAUUUGACUAAUUAGAAUUGGCUCCGACUAGAAAAAAAUAGGAUAACCCUCGUUGACGAAGACCACUGUGCUUGCAGCCAUUUAAGAAAGUACAUAUGUAUAUGCUUUGGGAGGUAUAGGUUACUUGUAUCACAGUUCUGUUAAAUCUCUCGACAUUCAUAUUUAUUGGUUCAUUCCAUAGUCUAAUCAAUACCCACAUUUUAAUUUCCUUCAUUUUAAUCAUAUUAUUGAUUUCAUGCGAUGCUAUAAAUAGUUGUUACCUUGUCGGCAUGUUACUGACAUUGCCUAUAUGGAGAGAACAUAUCUUAUUGCGAGCUUGGUAGUUUAUGAAUUCACAUAGGACCACUCGGGUCAAAUAAGCCAAAAGAGCUCCUUUGGGUGAGCUUGAGCACGGUUACUAAGUUUUAAAGGUUAUGACAUGGUAGGUCUUGAGCUAAUCUAGCUCGAUCUGGGCAUGCCUAUAAUAUGUCAAAAACUAUCAAAAGCUAUACAUAAGAAAUUCAUUACAAAUAUAAAAAAGCUAAAAAAAGGAAACCCAAGGAAGGUAAGUAUCUCUUCUAACUCUCUCAAUGUGUGCAAUCCUAUCCUUUUGUUAUCGAUAAUCAAUUAAUUUGUUACAUUGUUGACUUUGCAUUGUUCUACUAAUGUAAUUUACGGGGAUAGUUUGAAUAAUUAGAUAAUACUUUAUAGACGAAAAGAAUCACACUUGAAAUUAAUAUAAAAUGAUAAAAGGUGGAAAUCUUAAAAACUAUACGAUAAAAUUAACUCAAACAUAACAUGUAGAGGAUCAACGAGUGUGCUAGCCUAGUGAUGAAGAUGUUGCUUUGUCUUUAACGAAGUUACGAAAUUGAGUCAUGUCGUGAGUGAACCACCAGCCAACUUACGUCUUGGGCAUUUUCUAGCAGAGGGGAUGUUGGAGCUAGUGAUUGACUCAUCAAUCUCAAGCAUUCAUGUUGUAUAGCUAAGGUUUAAACUGAACAUUGCACCACAAGUGGAAUGCGGAGAAGUGGUAGUCGAGUUUUAUUGCUCCUCCUUGACUUAUAUCUAUGACAUGUUUGCUUGUGUGAAGAGAUAGUCAAUAAAGUCAACAUCGAAUAAUAUGGAGUGAUAAUUAUGGCAAGAUCGAGAAAGUGAAAGGAGAAAGGCAAAAAUUUUAAAGUAAAUUGAAAAAAAAUAUUUGAAUAGUUAAUGAACAUGACUAUUUCAAUGUAAACAUUAUUUGAUAGUUUUUUUAUCAACCUGAUUUUUGUGACACAAGUUAAAUUGUCAUCAUUAAAAAUAUCUUGUGAGUAAAUUGUAAUUCUCUUGAAAAAGAAUCUGAAAAGAAAAUGAGAUGGUGUAGCCACUUCAUCUGGUGCAGCCAUUAUUGAUGAUAACCCUAGCUUAGCUGUAAUGAGUAAGCGUAACCAAUUAGUUUGUAGAAGAGAUAGUCGAGUUUUAUUGCUCCUCUUUGACUUAUAUCUAUGACAUGUUUGCUUGUGUGAAGAGGUAUUCAAUAAAGUGAACAUCAAAUAAUAUGGAGUGACAAUUAUGACAAGAUCGAGAAAGUGAGAUGAGUAAGGCAAAAAUUUUAAUGUAAAUUUGAAAGAAAACAUUUGAAUAGUUUAUGAACAUGACUAAUUCAGUGUAAACAUUAUUCGAUAGUUGUCUUAUCAAUCUAAUUUUUGUGACACAAUUCAAAAUUUUAUUCAUUAAAAAUAUUAUGUGAGUAAAUUAUAAUUCUCUUGAAUAAAAUUUGCAAAGAAAAUGAGAUGGCAUAGCCACUUCAUUUGGUGCAGCCAUUGUUGAUCCCUAGCUUGGCUGUACUGAGUGAGCGUAACUGAUCAAAUCUCGUUAUCCAUCUUAUAUGCAUUCCUAUCGACUUCUACAUUUGAAUCUCGAAACUCUACUUUCUUAUGUGUGGAUUUCUCCAUAUUCAUCAUCUAAUGUGACCGCCUUGUAAGAUACUACGACGACCAGGUCUGGGCUAAAAUGCAUACAAUGAUUGGGGCUUCUACGGAUCAGGCCGAAAAGAUAUGGGUUGUCUCUAUGUUCGUGUACCCUUUUCUUUAUUUUAUUGUAUUUGAAUUUGUCCGAACUUUGUCUAGGUAGUUGAGAAUUACCUUCAAUUCGGACACGCGGAGAUUCCUCGGUUUUCAGCUUACGCUCGGCGUUCGCCCUUCCUAUUCUUCACGUCCUUUCAAGGAUGAGAACAGCGAAACACCCUUUCCUAGAGCGUUGCUGCUUGAAGACAAUUGAGAGUCAUUCAUUGAACCCACAAAAAACCCUAGAAAGUCUCGGACAUCAAUCACUUCAAUAAAUGAGCCGUGUUCGCUGGCCUUGUCUCCAUGGGUUUUGCCGUCAAAGCCUUGACUAAUGGUUCAACGUAAUUCGUGUUCGGACUAACAGGGAUUUGCAAUUUUACAUCGCUUUAUGCAGACUCCAAGCUUGUACGACAUGAGAAUCACGAAGCUUCAGUUGCGGACAGCUAGUUAGGAGGGGCUCUAGCCGCAUAUAAAGACCGACCAAUUACAAAUGCUUCCGUAUCCCAGCAAUGUCUCAGAUAUCCCACAAAUUAAGAUGGAUAUAUGCAGCAAAAGAAAGAGACGUUUAAGGAGGAGGGAGAAUAUUCAACAUGCAUCUCGUGAACGCUUGCGUCACAUUUGACAGCAUACGAUGUCGUAGUCGAAUAAGGAGAGUUUCAGGGCAUCAACAUCGAUCAAUCCACGAAGAGCACUGUACUGUGUUGCAAGAAACAGCUUGGAUUCACACAGCCAGCACCAUUACCACUAAUCCGAUCCAAAGGUACGGUUUCGGAAUUUCCAUGUGCAAAGUGAACAUCCGCACUUCCUAGAACAUGCAUCUGACUAGUUGGGCAAUGCGUACCCAACCAAUAAAUGGAAUAUCAUGCCUCGCCCUGCUUGCACUCUGUCACGCCCCAAUCCUCGGGUACGCACCGAUCUCUCACCUUGGUCGAUUAAUAGCGACGUCCCAGGACGCAUCGCUAACCCUUUCUUUUUAAUACGUAUGCAGAAGCAGAUAAAAAUCCUCAGACAAUAAAACAAUGGGAUAGGAAAGUAGGACUCCAAAUUUUCACACUUUAAAAGCAACCACACUUAUACACAUUGCAAAUCAUAGUGCAAAUAUAUACAAGGCGAAUUGUUAAAUCUGGUUUUAAACCACCGGUUCAUAAAACAAAGUCUGCAGAAAGAAAUCAACUUCCAUCAAAAGAGAAUUGUCCUAUGACUAACUAGUCCAAUAGGAUCGUCAAUUUUUUAGGCUUCACCUUCUACAUUCGGGCCUCCGGUCCUUCACCACAGCCAUCUAAGGACCUGAAAAUUAUUAUUCAAUAACCAGUGAGACUACGUCUCAGCGAGUUCUACUCCCUAAGACCCGAUUAGGAAGCCAAUACACUCUAGAGACUGCCUAAACACAACACGAAUCAAAGGACUUACCUUGGCCUCAAUUCCUUCUUGCAAGUCAGUAUAUAUCAGAUAUAUAGGAACCACAUCAAUUCACAGCACCAGAUCAAAUCAUUGAUCAAUCGACCUAGUCGAUUACAUGUCAACAUGACCAUUCUCCGAUCAUCUCAACCAAUACUAUCUAUGAGUCUGACCAUAGUCCAGGACUGCUCACUCUACACCAAUAAUAGAUAGUAUAGCUCGCUAAAAGCUGCCUCAAUUACUAAGAUAAUAUACUAUAUAUAUAUAUAUAUAUAUAUGCUCGCUGAGAGCUACCUCAAUUUUUGAUCUAGUAUAUUAUAUAUGCUCGCCAAAAGUUGCUAGAUUCAUUAAUCUGCUAUUUUAUAUAUAUAUGCUCACCAGAAGCUGCUAGCCAUACUUUUAUAGUAUGCUGAUAAAUGUAUAUAUACUCGCUAGAAGCUGCCAGCCAUACUUUUAUAGUGUGCUGAUAAAUGUAUAUAUGCUCGCUAGAAGCUACCAACCAUACUUUCCUAGUAUGCUGAUAAAUGUAUAUAUGCUCGCCAGAAGCUGCCAGAUCCAUUGAUCCGCUAAUCUAAUAUGCUCGCCAGAAGCUGCCAGCCAUACUUUCAUAGUAUGCUAAUAAAUGAUCAUUUAAUCAAUUCACCAUUUUUAUCAUUCCUGAUAAAAAUACCCGUUCGUUGGUACACGGUUAGCCUUAACCAAAAUAUAAGAUUUUCACUUUUGAACCUCCCACUUUUUUCAGUAGUCCCAAAAAUAGAUUUUUGGCGCGGUAGAUCGACGCCCGGUAAUUUUUCACUUAAUUACCAAAUUUAAUUAAAUUUCUGAAAUCAAUACCCACAACCACUAAAUUCACUCAAUUUGCAUAAUCAGGCACUCAAUUAAAUAAACAUAGAGUAUCACUGAAAUCAGCACGAAAUUCCGAUCGUCGGCUAUCCCAGCCUAAUUUCUGGAAAUUAAUUAAUUAAUUAAAUAAUUACGGAAAAUAAUAAAUAAAUGCAAUAAAUCCAAUUUAGGCCUGUAAUGACUAAUUGGAAGCCGAGACGAGCCCAAAAAAUUACCGAGACUCGUUCAAUAAAUAUUAUGACCUAUUUCCUUGCUAACUACACUAACCAAAAGCCUAACAUGCAUCAUUAAGACACUAAUUUAAUUACUCUAAUCUAAUAUAUUCACCUAAUUGCGCUUAAUUAAAAUCUAAUCAACCCCUAAGCAUCAAUAGCAUACUAAUAAGGGAUUAGUGAGUAAAACUCACUUGUUUAACGAGCUGGUCGGAUCAAACCAACAGGAAUGUCUCGGGGGACGUUUCUUCUCAAAGCAGGCCUAGGUUUCAAGGCCCGGAACACCUCCAAAACGGGCCCGACACCUUGCUGGAAACCCACUGCUUUCCCCGUCUGAUUUGAGCUGCAAACAAGGGAAAUGAAGCUAGUUUAGCGAGGGAAUGAAGACGGUGGAUUGGUGGAUGGCUUGGAGAGGUAACCGACGGCCGAACGGCGAAGAAACGGGUUAAUCGGAGCUCCGGCGAGUGGGUGGUCGGCAAUCGGUAGCUCCCGGGGGUCUUGGGGAUCUUGUAGGUUGAUGGAACAGCCAAAGGAAGGGUCGGAAUGGGAGAAAAACGAAGAAAAUCGCGAAACAGUGCAGGCGGGCAGGGGACCGACGGACCGGUGACUGGCGGCUUGAGACGGCCGUACAGGACGGCCGGCAGCUUCGUUCGGGGCGAGGUCAGGCUUAAUGGAACGGUCUGGAUGUCCUCUUCACAACGAUGGGUGUCUCGUUUACUGAUUUAUCCGGGAAGUUGACUUUUUACUCGGAUCUUUGGCAAAAGGUCAGCUGGAGCAGAAACCAGUAGAAGUGAAAACAAAGGAGGAAAACGGUCCAGCAGUGGUGUGGCUGCUGGUGGGGUUCAGGACGGCCAUUUCGCGGAUAAUGUCUGAACAAGGUGAGAGGAGGGAGAUGGAGAGGGUUUUGGAUGGUAAUGAGGGAGAGAGAGAAGGAAGAGAUGAGGUUGGAGAGAAAAGAUCUAGGGGACAAGGGCUCCACUUGCCUCAACUUUCCAUCCCAUGGUCUCCUUGACCAUUUCCAGCCAAGUAUGGCUUCCUUGACUGUCCAUGAGCCACCAAGGCCCGCUUCUAGAAGUCCGAAGCGGUCAAAAGGUCGCAGGUGGUGGGGGCACACGAAUUUGGUUCGGUUUUCCUCAAUUGGACCUUGAUUCAACACCAACCGGGCUCAAUAAAAUUAACUGACAUCUUACCGAUCCAUUUGGCAUUUUUUCUCACCCAUACAAUCCACUUACUUCUCAAUUUUGCGAUCAAAACGAUCAUCGGCAUUUUCUGAACAAAAACGGUCCUAUGCUGACUUUUUCCCAAAAAGUCUCAGGUUUUAGAAAAAUCUUUUGAGACUGAGUCGACGCUCAUAGAAUUUAUUGUGACAUGACAUAAUCUUCAAUUUCUAAAAUCGGACUUAAAUUAGCGGUUAAUUUCACUUAGGCGCAUUUUUAGCGUGACCUAGGCUACCGGGUAAUUUUCAGAUAUUUUUAGUGCAAAUGACCGGUGAUCAAUUUUCUUUUAGCCACAAUGAACCCACUCGACACAUUGGCGACUCUCGGUGGUCGUGAAAAUCUCAAGGUUUCAAUUACGGGCAUAGGGUACCCAAAAUGACAGAAAAUUGGUCUAGUGUCGUUCGACAAUAAUUUUGCCAUCAGGUGGAAUCACCCACACUUUGAUCACACAUCUUAGUCGAAUCGACUUAUCUCUGAUCUCUGAUCGAUUUUGACAAUGCCGUAAUGACCCUUACAGACUAGCACGGUCGAGCAAUCGACUUUUGAUCGAAUUCUCAAGUUCAUUGCAUUAAAAUCUCUUAAUGAUUUUCUCAGAUAGUCAAGUUAUCUCACGAGUGAUCGGCUCCGAGAAUAUCACUAUAGAUGCGUCGAUGAAAGGCCCGAUUUAUUCAAUUGAAAACAGUAUUGGAAAUUCGGGAUGUCACACACUCCACCGCCCUUCCACCCUAUCUUAACUAGUUACUUUGAAUUUCAUUUCCAUUACGAAGAUGGCACUAAGUGGAUUGCCCCGUAACAAACAACAGCCAUCAAAUUACAAAACUUCAUCACUGAAAACAAACCCAAUCAAUCUAAAGAUGAAUGUGAGUUGUGUGUGCGUGCGUGAGAGAGAGAGAGAGAGAGAGAAGUCUUUUGUCAAUUUCUAAUUUGACAAACAUUGUCCAAAAAUCACAUGACACUGGCUAUUGGCAAAGAAACUGACAAUUGAGAAGGGCUAAGAGAAAGGUGUGGUCCAUUUGACUAAUAAUAUGGGUGUCUGAAAUAGUUAUCGGAAUUAGUUGACUGCUAAUUUGCAUUAUGCGGUUCAAUUUAAUUCAGUAACUGUGAGGUUAAUUGUUAAUCUCCUGAAUCCCAAGUGAAUCUGUCACUUGUGGAUCUACGAUUCUCUACGUAUAUAUCAAUUCAAGUUGAUUCUUUUUUCUUUUUUUUUUGGGUAGGUUUACCUAUAAUCUAAUGUAAAUCUUGUCGCGUUUUAGUCUGCCGGCUAUAUUUUGAUGGUAACAAAAUAAUUGAAUAUACGCUUUGUACUUUACAAUAAAAAGACUAAAUAAAAUGACAGAAAUUUGUAAUUUACAUUUGAGUGUAAUCCUUAUGUUAAUUAGAGAGAGACUUUAUGGUCAAGAUAAAGAGAUAAAUCGACAUGAAAAUGCACGCGUAAAGAAUAUCAAUGAUCAUGAUAAAAGGAUGUACAAUCCACUAAAAAAUGCAACGGAAUUCUGAACAUCAUGCAGCUAUCUUGAUGGCCCUGGAAGAGUCGCAUUGACAGGGGAUUGACAAGUUUGACGGGUAAUCUGCAUUUUGGGAGCAGAUCAUAGAUCAAAGAUUUGAAAGCAGUCUCCACAAAAGUUACCGUCCACUAAAGAUAGAAUGACAGUAACUAGUAAGCUACCACAUCAUAUGAGCAAUUAACAAAAUGAACCCAAGCACAUGGCUACAACAUGAAUGUAAAAGGACAAAUUUACCUACAAAAUGAUCUUUCCCCAGAAAUGCUUCAGUUAUGAGUACGCGCAAUAGUAUCAGCAGUUACAUAUCCGAAAGGAGGGAAAAAAGGGCAAAGCAAAAGUGUCGGUUGGGGCUACGACAUCACCGAUGUGCUGUUGCUUUAGGUAAGCAAUCUCCUGCCCAGUCAUGACGAUGUUCAUUUGUAUUACUCAUACAUUGUAUUUGUUGACAUUUAAAGGCGUAAUAACAUGGUCAACCAACCAAUAAAGUGUUCUCGCUUUCACGAUUCAUUGCAUUUGUUGCCAUUCUACGUCCGAAAUUGCAAUGACCAAAGACAUUUGAUUGGUUACAUGGUAUUAUUGUUACCCGUAACAAAAAAAAUUCUGGGCUUCAUUCCACGAAAAGCAAGAAAAAGUGAAAUCAACUGGAUGAGAGCAUCACAAAUCAGAAAAUUAUGUUGAACAUAUGUAAUCAAAAGGAAAAGCUACCACAGAACGAAAGCCAAACUAUUAACACCGUCGCCAAAAACAGGACAAAUCUCUUCAACAUCCUAUCACAAAAAGAAAUUGUGCUGAAAGGUAGCAAAACUAAGAGCAAUCUCGCUCUAUGGGGUCAAAUGUCGAUAAGACUAAUAGAAUCUUGAUUGUUAUUCACAUGAGUGUUGACACCUAAUUUUUAGUCUUUUUACUUAGGAUUUAAUUGCGUAGAAAAUUAGAAUUUUUUUUUUUGGUAAGGUAGAAAAUUAGGAGUUAGUCAUUAAAAAAAAAAAGAAGUAUCGCAAAAUUUUUUUUUCAUUAAAAGGUAUAGAGAAAUUGCAUUGCAUAUUAACAUUAGGAAUAUUUGCAUCACUAAUGGUAAUUUUUAAUUUUUCCAAAAAAAGAAAAAAAAAGGAAAAAGAAAGAUCGGAUGGGGAGGAGUGAGGGGUUGGGCUUGCCCGCUAUUGACACUUGAUUUUUAGUCGACGCGUCGAAAAAAGUUAAAAAUCGAGAUUUGGGUUUUUGAUUGAGACUAAGCCCAUUUCUUGGCAAAAAAAUAUCGUUUCUCAUUUCUUUCUUUUGCAUUGCCCUUUUUAAGAAAUUUCAAAAUCAUUUUAAAGAAAAAUUCGAAAAGUCAAACAAUUGACUUUUGAGUUGACUUUUUAAUCAACUGUUUGAUCAAAAGUCAACAUCGGGUCAAAAAUUGACUUUUUACGCAAAAAGAUGCCAUUUAGCUUUAAUUUCACUUUUGUCAAACCAAUUUCUCAAAAACUCAAAGAUUUUACCAAAAAAAUCAACAUUUUAGGAAAAGUCAACUAAAUGGUUGACUUUUGGUCAUACCUUUGACAAAAAAAUUUUGAAAAAGAAAUAAAAAAUGUACAAAUACAUUUAUUUUAAUGGAAAUUUGACUUUUGUGUUAAAAAUUUUACGAAAAUUGAUGAAGAGCCUUGUUUUCCGAAUUUUUCGGUUUUGGGUCUUAAAUUAAUCAAAAAUCAUAUUACUUUUGAUAUAGUUGUAAUUAGGUAUAGUUCAUUCUUCAACAUUUGGUUUAGAAACUAUUUGAAAUCCUCUCAUGCAUUCAAUUUGGUGAUAUAUAGAGUCAAAAUGCAAAUUGCCGUUUUGAGCCCUAAUUAGGGGACCAAAAUUGAUCAUUCAUAACUUGUAAACAGACGAUUAUUUCUCACUCAUCUCCUUAAGAUAAGUCCAAAUUCGAAAUUGAUUUUGAGAAAUUCACACUAGUACUUAUCAAUUUAAAGAAGUUUAUUCUUCCGAGCAUAAGAAAGUCAAGCAAUUAAGCAAUUAAAGGUAAGAGCUACCACUGCCUCCUACAAAGAGUGUGACCUUUUUUCCAAUAUUGAUAUGUAUAUUCCAUUAAAAAAAAACCUUUUUAUUUUUAAUUAAUUCUUUAUAAUUCCCCAGCUGAUCAUUCUUUGAUUUAAAGAAUCAUCCCAUCUCAAUUGAAAACAUAAAUACCUUUUUAGGAAAAAAUCAAGCUCUGCUUCCAUGUUGCUCUUAUAUUGUUUUUUCUUUCUUCAUUUUUUCAUGUCAGAGCUUGCAUAAUCUUCUCCAAUAUCUUUUUCUUGGUUUGAGAGAAGUGAUCCAAGAUUUACUUGAUUUUGUGCAUCUGAUUCAAGAUCAUGUCGAAUUGCAGAUUCUUUAAUUUCGACAAAAGACCCACACCCAAGUUCCAUAGCCUUAGGUUAUCCGAUCUUAUCCAUUGUUCAAUUUUUUUUUUUUUGAAUAGGAUAGUAUUAAAGAUCUCAUCGAAAACUUACGGUAGCUUGCUAAACAAAGGCUAAGAGAAAAAAGAAAAGGGGUAUUACUGGCAUAAAAUCCAUGAUUGGAUUCAAAAAAGUGUAGAACUCAGGCAAUUUGGCUAAGAAAAACUACUUGAAUAAUUGGUGGAAUGAAGAUAGGUACGGAUCAAACUAAAGAUAUUAAGUAUAACAAAGAUUUUUUUUUUCUUGGACUAGGAGAUAAUUGUAUUUUGACUAAGUUAUUGUUAUUGAUAAUUGAUAUUCCUCCAAAAAGAUAUCAAAACGGAUCACUAAUCCAACACCAAAAUAAUAUUUUGAGGAAUCUUUGGAGGACUCUUCUGAUCAAACAAAAAAUAUGAAAUUGUUAGCAAAGUUGUUUCUUUUCUUCUUUUCUAAAAAUCCAAAGAAUUCUACUUACUUUAUACAUUAUACAUUACAUAGGCCAUCGAUUCAUCAUUGGCUAAAUAAAAAAAAAAGAGUGUGACCCUUUUUCCAACAAAGGUUUCAAAUAAUUUCAUCGACAUGAGUGUUCUCUAUCGAAGAAAAAAUUUCAAUUAUUUGUUUUGAAACCCUUAUGUAUUAAAUUAACAUAGUAGUAAAAAGAAUACCAUGCUACAUUUAAACUUCAAACGAUUUAGCUUUAACCAUGUUAAUGGUCCCACAUUAUUGGUUAAUCGAGAAUCAAAGUGCAUUUACCAAUGAAUCACGAAAUGUUAUGGUUCUUAAAUAUUAUUUAUUAAUUUAUUCAGAAGUAAUUCACGGGAUCAUGCAUCUUUUACUUUUUACUAGUUAUAAUGAAAAAAAGUGGAGCUGAUUUAGUCUAGCCAAUUCUUGAAAUAAACAACUCGCACACACUCCCUUUCCAAAAAGGAUCAAUACACCAAGGACUACACUUAGAUUUAUUGGAUUUGUUGCUAAAAUAUCGGUAUUAAAUCCGAAACUCCUGGCCGAUGGCCAGUGACCCAAGGAAAUGAAAGAAUCGGUUACAUUUUUCAUACAAUCUCCUCUUAUAGAUGAAAUUAAAAAAAAAUGAAUAGAGUUUGUUGACAAAUUGCCAAAAACUAUAAAUUUGUAUCAAAUUCGAACUAAUAACUAAUCCCAACUUGGAAGUAUUGAAAAAACUCAUAUAAGCAAAAAAUCUCAAAUAUCCUUGAUCAUGAGACAUAUAAUUGUCACUAUAAAAAAGAACCAGUAGUAAUUAAUAUUAACAUAAUAGAAGUAAGUGGAGCUAUUAAGUGACCGAACUCUAAAGAAAAAUCAUUAUUAAUGGUCCAAGACCAUACAUAUCGAUAGAUAAAACUUCUAUUUAUUUGCUGAAUAGAUAGAUAGACCGAAAGUAUCAUAACUACACUUAACAAGAAAAUACCAGGAAAAGCCCACAUACGGCAAAGAUUUUUUGUUGCCGUUGGAAAAAGUAGAAGUUCCACUCCUAUUAACAUAGGAACUGGAAGUGGAAUGAAGGGGAUAAUCCAUGAAUAUAUAUAUAUAUAUAUAUUUUUUUUUUUUGGUAAAGGUAAGAAAAUAAUCCAUGAAUAUUGAUAUGUAUAUUCCAUAAAAAAACCUUUUUAUUUUUAAUUAAUUCUUUAUAAUUCACCAGCUCAUCAUUCUUUGAUUUAAAGAAUCAUCCCAUCUCAAUUGAAAACAUAAAUACCUUUUUAGGAAAAAAUCAAGCUCUGCUUCCAUGUUGCUCUUAUAUUUUUUUUUCUUUCUUCGUUUUUUCAUGUCAGAGCUUGCAUAAUCUUCUCCAAUAUCUUUUUCUUGGUUUGAGAGAAGUGAUCCAAGAUUUGCUUGAUUUUGUGCAUUUGAUUCAAGAUUAUUUCGAAUUGCGAAUUCUUUAAUUUUGACAAAAGACCCACACCCAAGUUCCAUAGCCUUGGGUUAUCCGAUCUUAUCCAUUGUUCCAAUUUCUUUUUUCCGAAUAAAUCAUGUCUAGGAUAGUGAGUAUUGAUACUAGGUAUCAAAAAGCAAAAAAAGAAAGUAAUAAUGAAAUAGUGGAUUCCAUCGUUUCUAUGGUUAUGUCUUAAAUGGUGAGGUCCUCUAUAUAUACCGGAGUCCCUUACUUCAUUUAAUCAAUGCUAUUAGCAAGUUGUACAGUUUACAUUCUUCGACUCUACCCAUGAAUUAUCUAGUAAUAGGUCUUUCAUAAUGAGAUCUACCUACACAGUAAUGGUAUUUAAUUAUAAAGAUUGGAUGGGGUAGCUGACCCUCUUAGUUCGUUUUUGCAAGAGUAUAUGCAUAAGAUUUCGGAUGAUUCAGUAAAGGAAAUAUUAUUCCAUUACUUGAAUUCGGAGUUGUUAGUUACUUCGUUUGGAUGAAUCUUAGUGAUGGAAUAAAUUAAGUCAUAAUUCAUUGGAUGAAUGUAUCAUUAACUUUUUUUUUUUGUGAGGAACUUAUCAUGAAUCCAAUGAUUUCUGCCGCUUCCGUUAUUGCUGCUGGGUUAGCUGUUGGGCUUGCUUUUAUUUGACCUAGAGUUGGUUAAGGUACUGUUGUGGGCCAAGCUAUAGAAGGUAUUGCAAGACAACCCAAGGCGGAGGGAAAAAUACGAGGUACUUUAUUGCUUAGUCUGGCUUUUAUGGAAGCGUUAACAAUUUAAAGAGGCAUCAUCUCGUUUCGAUGAUUUACUUCACGGGCGAGGUCUCUCGUUCAAGUUCAGGAUGGCCCACUUAUGCCAAGGAAAAGAAAAUUCGAUUAUUUUUACGAAUUUGAUAUUGGAAAUUUGCAAAUCUAGAAAUUCAUUUCGGACAAUUGAACCUUCUCAAACUGUUUCUUCUUAAGAACACAUGAUUUUGCACUUAUCGACAAAUAUAACCUCUUUCAUUAUUUUAAGUGGUUAUUCUAUUCUGGGUAAUAAAGAACUUGCUAUUCUUAACUCUUAGGUUCAACAUCUCUUAUGUCAAUGGACACCAAAGGGAUAUUGAAUGAAUGGAAUUGUGAGAUGGAUGGAAUAUAAUGAAAUAAAGCCACUUUGAGGUUCCCUAUGAAAUGAGGCAUGUAACGAAGCCACUACGAAGAAGUUUUGGGAGUUACGGAGGAAACUUCGAGCUCAUAUUGGUUAUGAGUUGAGAACGGUAAUUGAACUCUAUGAGAUCGAAUCUUUUGUUGUUCCUUAGUAGCUCAGUGGUAGAGCGGUCAGCUGUUAAUUGACUGGUCGUAGGUUAAAUGAAUCAAAUCUCCCCAAGUAUGAUUCAAUUUCUUCCUUGGCCCACCAAAGCUCUUGCAAGAAGAGGAAGCCAUUGUCCAUCACUUCGCCAACCUGUUCAAAGAUAGUUUGGUUGGCAUCGCUGGUGAAGAUGAAAAGCCUGUAGAUCCCGUUGUGUAAGGGAUGUUUCUAGUUUCUGCAUUUCAUUUUAGUUGUAUUUCAUUCAUUUCUCUUUUGCAAGGGAAUUCCAUUUUUUUACACUUGUAAUAAUCUAGAUCACAAACUCUAUGAUCCAAGGUGAUAUACGUUGUAAUGCAGUUUUUGCAUAUCAAUAAAAUUCACAUUUUGUUAAUAGAUGUGUGAGGUAUGCCAAAACAAACCUAUGAUAAUGCUUUGAGGCUUGGGUCUCCGUACGAUCUAUAGUUUCAAAAUGUUUUGAUGGAACACGGAUGUUUGAAGACAUGAGGGUGAGUUCCUAAUAAUUUUUUUGAAAAUCGAAAUUCGAAAACAAGUUUUUCAUGGCAUUUGCAUGCAUUACAUUCAUUUAUAUUUAUAUACUAACCAUUUUUUAUUGCAUCUCAGGCAUGACAUUUCACAUCAUGAUAGUCAUUUGCAUGGCUCGGAUUCGCAUUGCAGAGACUUUGCGAACUCGAUUAUUCCGACUGAGAGAAUGAGGAUGACCCUCGAGUUAUUGAAAGGGAAUGACUCAGACAUGAAGAGUCCAAACCUCCUACCAUUGAGCAACCAAUCACAGUGAACUUUGGAGAUUCAGAUAACCCCAAAGAAACCAAGAUUGGGGCAAAUUUCUCUCAAACGGAUGCUGAUAAAUUAAUUGGACUUUUGAAGGAAUGCCAAGAUAUUAUUGCUUGGUCGUAUACUGACAUGCAGGGUUUAAAUCCCAAGAUAAUGGAACACGCAUUACUACUCGAUACUAAUAUUCCGUCCAAGAAGCAAAAGCUCAGAAGGACAAAACCUAAGUUGUCUAAAAAGAUCGAAGAAGAAGUCAUGAAGCUCCUAAACAUUGGUUUUAUUGAAGUCACCCAUUAUACUGAUUGGAUUGCUAAUAUAGUCUCGGUUAUGAAGAAGGAUGGAUGGGUCUGAGUCUGCGUUGAUUACCGUGACUUGAAUAAGGUAGGCCUUAAGGAUGAUUUUCCUUUGCUACACAUUGAUGUCUUAGUUGACAAUACUGCUAGUUUCAAACUAUUCUCCUUCAAGGGUGGAUUUUCUGGUUAUAACUAAAUCUAGAUGAAAGAGGAAGACAAGAUUAAAACAUCUUACAUCACACUAUGUGGAAUAUUUUGCUACAAAGUUAUGUCUUUUGACUUGAAGAACGCAAGGGAAACAUGUUAAAGAGCCAAGGUGGCACUAUUCCAUGACAUGAUGCAUAAGAAGAUUGGAGUCUAUGUCGAUGACAUGGUUGCAAAACCAAGACAAGGUGAAGACCAUGUUGAAGUCUUAAGAAAAUUAUUUAAUCGAUUGAGGAAGUUUAAGCUGAGGCUUAACCCCGCAAAAUGCAUAUUUAGGGCAAAGUUUGGGAAGUUUCUUGGAUUUAUGGUUAGUAACAAGGGUAUUGAGAUUUAUCCUUCCAAAGUAAAUGCCAUAUGCGAGCUAAAACCUCUUUCUACUGUUAAGGAAAUUCGAAACCUAUUGGGAAGAUUGAAUUAUGUUGCGAGAUUCAUCUCCUAAUUGUCAAAAACUGCUAAGCCAUUCUUUAAGUUGUUAAAGAAGAACACAAAGGUCAACUGGGAUGAAGAAUGUCAGAAAUCCUUUGAAGAGCUUAAGCAAUAUAUUUCGCAAUCUCCUGUACUAGUACCGUUUGUCCAAGGCGUGCCUGUAGUCUUGUAUCUCACCAUUCAUGAAGAGUUUUUAGGAGUCAUAUUGGCACAAAAAGGACCAAAUGAUAGAAUAGAACGUGCCAUGUACUACCUCAAUAAGAAGUUUACUACAUUCGAGAUCCGAUAUCCCGAAGUGGAGAAAACCUGUGUAGCAUUGAUUUGGGUCUUACAUCGACUGAGGUAAUAUACUUUUCACCGCCAUAUCCUACUAGUGACUGAGAAUGACCUGAUUAAAUAUCUUUUGAAGAAGCCUGCAUUGGUUGGAAGGCUCGCUAAAUGGAAUUCAAAGCAUGGCAUAAAAGUCCAUCAAAUGGCGAGUCAUAGCUAAUAUGUUAGUUGAAAAUCUUGAAAAGUCUUAUUACUGGGAUGAAGUUGAUGAAAUGAUUUAUCUGAUCUCGCAUGAUAAAUGAACCAUGUAUUUUGAUGGUGCUGUUAACUUUUCUGGUUCCGGCACUAGGGCAAUUUUAAUAUCCCCAAAAGGUCAACAUUACCUAGUAGUUGCAAAGUUGGUAUUCCCUUGUACCAACAAUAUUUCUGAAUAUGAAGCUUGUAUCUUUGGUUUGUAGUUGGCCAUUGAUAUGAAAGUUAGAAAGCUUCAAGUUUAUGGUGAUUCUACACUCAUCAUCCUUCAGACAGGAGGCGAAUGACAUACCCGAGACGUAAAGUUAAUUCCUUACCAUGAAUAUCUCAAAGACCUAGUCAAGGAAUUUGAUGAAAUAUAUUUUGAUUAUCUACCAAGAUCAUAAAAUCAAUUUGUUGAUGCCCUAGCAAUCUUUUCAUCAAUGUUGCAGGUAAUCGAUGAUUUGAACAUUGAUCAUUUGCAAAUUGACAUCUUGAAGAAGCUUGUUUAUUGCCUGAUGAUUAAAGAAAAAUCUGAUAGUCAGCCCUGGUAUUAUGACAUCAUGAAUUACCUUCGAGAAGAUAAAUUUCCCCAAGGAAGUCAAACCAAUGAUCGAAAAUACCUGAUAAAGUUAGCAUUUAAAUUCUUCUUUAGUGGAGGAACCCUUUAUAAAAGGUCUUUCAAUUUAGUUUUACUGAAGUGUGUGGACGCACAAGAAGCCAAACUACUGAUGAAAGAGAUACAUGAAGGAGAGUGCGGCCCUCAUAUGAAUGGCCAUCUCCUAGCAUGAAAAAUCAUCAGGCUUGGUUACUAUUGGUUGACCAUGGAAGCCGAUUGUAUUCAACAUGUGAGGCACUAUCACCAAUGCCAAGUCUAUGGAGACAAAAAUGCUCCUCCUAAUGAAUUGCAUCAAAUGUCUGAGUCCUGGCCUUCCUCGAUGUGGGGCAUCGACAUCAUCAGACCAAUUAAUCCUAAAGCAUCGAAUGGAUAUUGUUUUAUCUUAAUGGCUAUUGAUUACUUCACCAAAUGGAUUGAAGUCAAUUCUUAUGCCCACGCAUUGUAAAAAGCCUUGUAAGGUUCAUCAAUCAUGAUAUCAUUGCUCAAUAUGGAGUACCUAAAGUGAUCAUUACAAACAAUGGAUCAAACUUGAACAACAAAAUACUAGAUGAAUUACUUAGAGAAUUCCACAUUUGCCACUUAAAUUCUUCUCUUUACCGCCCACAAAUGAAUUGAACUAUGGAAGCGACAAAUAAGAACAUUAAGAAAAUUUUAGCCAAAAUGGCUGAAAAUUAUUGUGAUUGGCAUGAUCGAUUGCUAUAUGCUUUGCUUGAUUAUAGCUUCAAUUCACACUUCAAUUGGGGCAACAUCAUUCUCAUUAUUCUAUAGGAUGGUGGCUGUGCUACCCAUGGGAUUGUAAAUCCUUUCGCUGAAAGUACUUUCUCAAGUCAAGCUCUCUGAAGUUGAAUAGGUUCAACAAAGGUUUGAACAACUCAAUAUGAUUGAUGAAAAGAGGGCAAAAGCCCUAUACCAUAGACAAAGCUAUCAGAAUAGAGUAGCCAAAUCAUUCAAUCGUAAGGUCAAGCCAAGACAUUUUGAGAUCAACGAUCUCGUCUUGAGAAAGGUUCUACCUAUCAUUCUAGAUCCUUGUAGGAAGUUUACUCCGAACUACAGAGGACCAUAUGUAAUGAAAGUGCUACCUGGUGAAGUAUUGAUUCUUGUAGAAAUGGAUGGUCAAGAAUUGCCAAGGCCUGUAAAUGCUGAUGCAACUUUAAGAUAUUUGCAUCAUGCAUUUCAUGCAUACACAUUGCAUCCACAUGUUCAUUUUGCAGGGUCUCUGAAGAAGAUUCUAUUUAUCCACAGGAAAUUGAUCUCAGGAAUGGAAAAUCUCCAAAAAGUGACCAUCUUCUUAAAAGCUUAGAAGUAGCCCUAUCCCUUAGAAUGCCGAAAGAGUUAGUCGAAACUCUAGAAGUGAACCCCUGUGCUGAGCAAAACCUGUUUUGUUCAUAAAUUUUAUUCAACAUUGUUUCCAAAAGUCACCUUAGUAGGGUCAAAGGAACAUAUUCUUUCAAAAAUUUUUUGAUACAUUCUCAUUCCCUAAGGAGUGGAAUUUAGCCAAAAUGUGUUUUGAAAAACCCAAAAAGGAUUGUUAAAUAUGCCAAGUGAUAGUGCCUAAAAUGAUGAGAGGUAACUUUUUGCCAAACAUGUCCUUAUACACUAUUUGAGAGAAUUGAGUGAGAAGAACCAUGUCUUGGGGCAUAGGAUUCAUUCAUAGUAAAUACAUGGUUUGAGAUGAUAAAUGCAUUUUCUUGUUAAUCCCAAACACUAUUGAUAUCUCUUGCAUGCCACUUUGAGCCAAAUAUGGAGCAUUUCCAAAAUAACCAAGUUAAGAACAACCCCACAUUGGGGCAAGAUAGGGGGUCUUGGUUGAACAUUAUGGAGCAUAAGAUUGAGAAAGAUUUUAUUGCUUUCACUUGCAUCAAUCUUUUUGUAUUAGCUUCAAGUGAUUUCUUAUCAAAGCUUGAGGCAUUCCGAAGUGACGAAGAGCAUUCCGUUCACUACCCUAAAAACAAUUAUUCUUUUCUUAGCCAAUUUGAGUCCUAUACAAUUCUUUCGUAACUCCAAUUGAUGAUUACCUCCCCACAUUGGGAUAAGGCAUGUGAUUUACUAACAAAAUUGAGAAUGUUGGUUAUGUUUGUAAAUACCACUCGAGAGUCCUAGAUGCUCAAAAGAGAGCGAAAACUAGGGGGUAUAAAAAAGCAGUAUGCCUAGUAAAAAUAAGAUCAAUGCCCAUGAAAAAAGCAAAGAAAAACAUAAAUGCAAAGAAAAGAAAAAAUCAAUAGUCAUGCAAAAGACCAUUUAAAAAACAAAAGAAAAGCUUUGCAAAAUAUGUAUUGCAAGUAAUGUCAUUAGAAAAGAGAGCAAAGCUCUCAUGUCUCAAGACAAAUAGUCAAAAGGACUCUCGAGAUAAGUUAAAUUUCAAGAGUAAGAUUUCUGAAAAGUUGUGUGAUGCUAAUGAUGUCAAGAUAAUCACUCACUUUAAACCCCUUGAUAUUUGAAGAUUUUUCAAGCCUUUUUAAGCCUCAUCUGAACCAACAUUACAAUCCUUGUCCGAAGUCUCUUAUGAUUGGGAUGGUUCAAGUUGAAAUAAGAAUCUCACACGGGAGCUACUGCUAGAAGGAGUGUAAGCAAUCCUAUCUUAUUUUAUCUACGAGGUUCUUGACUUGGAAACCUGAUGAGGAUAUUGUGUGAAUAUUUGCUUCUUGACCUCAAAGUGCAUACCCUUUGUAUAAACCCAUGACCAAGCCAUUAUUACGGUCCUUUUAAAAGACCUUUUGAUCAAUGAAUUGUAUUCACUGUAAAUGUUUUUGAAAGCCUUAGACAUAGGUUGAGUGAGAUCUCUCUAGUGAGAUUUAAGUAGUUUUCCCACAUUAAUGGUUGGGAAUAAAAACCCUUUUAAGAGCUAGUGUGAAAGAUCCUUUUGAUUGGGCUAUUCCACUUGGCAUAUUUGACUUAACCCUUAGGUGGUUAAUCAAAUUUCAUUUUGUUAAAAUCGUCUCCAAAGGGAUUUGACAAUUGGUAUCGUUUAUCAAGAUAUGCUUGCAAGAUUGGCUCUCGAGCAAUCUCGAAACCCCAUGUUUCCAAUCUUUAGUAAUCCUAAAUCAUACCCUUGUUUCCGGUUUAAAAUCAAGUUUUUGGUAAUCCUAAAUUGUCACGCCAUGAACCUCAAGCACGCACGGAUCCCUCGGUGGUCGAUAAAAUUGCGACGUUCCCAGGACACGUCGCCGACCCAUUCAUUUUAAAUGCACAUGCAGAAGCGAAACGAACAAUCCCUAGACAACAACCAACAUGGGAUAGAAAAGUAGGACAAUCAAAUAACAAAAGCCAACUUUGUAAACACAUCGAGUUCAUAUACACAAGGGUCUAAAACCAAAAAGGAUCUACUGAGCUAACCCUACCCUGGACCCUCUUACUUAGGAUCCAGGUUCACUACGACAUCGUCAGGGAUAUCGAUGUCAAGUGGGUCAGCUACCUCCUCACCCUCAACGGCGGGUCUGUCGAAACCAUCCUUAGGACCUUCCUGCUCCCUGUUAGGCCUAUGACGAAACCAUGCCUUGAAUCGAUGAGGUACCAACUGGGGUAGGCCCUCAUCGACCAAGAUCGUGGUCACGAUGAGCUCAUGGAUCCAGGGACUCCCGGGGAUAGGGAAGACGGUACUCUGUUCGCUAUACCCUUGCGGCUGCCCAAAACGAACCGGAUGAGCUUCCAUCUAGGGACCUAUAAAAAGUUAAACCACGACAGGGUGAGAUAAUGUCUCAAUGAGUUCACGCCUUAAACCUCAAUUAAGAAGGUAAUACACCUAGAGGCAGCCUAACCACACAACCAAUGACCUCACCUCAGUUCCUUCCUGCACGUCAGUACAGUUCAUAUAACAGAUAUAUGCAGUAAUGGUACUCAACAGUUGGAACGCCUUGACUUAUAUCUCAAACAAUCACGGGGAUCCCGAUUAUAAAGCCAAAUCGUUAUGACAUGUCCCAUUCCGUGCCAUAUGAUUUUGUCCCAUAAUCAGGCACAAUUAUCUCACUCAAUCAUGCGUUCCAAUUGAUUACGACCCCACGGGCAUGGCCUACUCCAUGUUUGGUGGUCUUCCGACAUAGCCGAGCAUCAUCUCGCCUCAUCAAGCAUAGCAACGUCUACCUUGAGACGGCAUUCCCGAAGGAACAUCAGCCCAGCCUCUACUGCAACCAGCAUCCGUUGACAAGGGGCAUUCUCGAAGGAGCAUCGUCCACCUGACCUUCAUCGAGUGACGGGUUCUCAUAACCAUCACACAUACACCCAAUCCCGGCCAAGGACAUCGUGCAUUGCACUCAAAUGUCUCAAUUAAAAUAAUGUGCUUGGCCUAUUUUCUUUGUAUUAAAAACACUCAGUAAAAUAAUCGUGUGUGGGUACAUGGUCAGAUUGAACCAUAAAAAGUGAUAUAAUUCCUUUUAAAAAUCCCACGAUUUUAUAUAGUACCUAAAAAUAUUUUUGGCGUAAAAAACCAACACCUGGUAUUUUCUAAUUAAAUACCAAAAAUCCACAAUUUCGAAAUAAUAAAUCAAAAAUCACAAUCAUCACUCAAUUGCACAAUCUAACCAUCAAUUGCACAAACUAAUUAUAACACGACAAUUAGCACAAAAUUCUGAUGACUGGCUAUCCCGGUAUAAUUUACGGAAAUAAUUAAAUAAUUAAAUAAAAUACAAAAAUAAUUAAAUAAAUGCCUAAUUAAGCUAAAUACACUAAUCUAACCACCUAAUUGGACCUAACUAAAUAAUGCACUAAGCUAAAUAAAUCAUACAAUCUAAUUAAGCCCUAACUAAACUAAUCUAACCACCUAAUUAGCCCAAUUAACUAACUAAACCACUAAUUACUAUAAUCUAACCAUCUAAUCCAAUCUUAGUCUAAAUUAAACAUCCCUUAAGCAUAAUUAACCCCAUAAGCAAGGUUUAUCAAGUAAACUCACCAGAUUUGAGAGCCGAUGAGUCCACGGUGACGGUAACACGGAGGCGAGCGAGACUCGAGCCUAGAGUGACGCCAAAAAAGGUCUGAAAUGGGCCCGAAAAAGCUCACAAAGCCUCAACCCGAAGCUGAAACUUCGAUUCUGAUUUGGGUUGAAUCAAAGAGAGGCGAGGGGCUGGAACGGCCAGACUAGUGCGGGAACGGGCAAGGCGAGAGGGCGGAGCUAUUGGCGGCUCGGGCGGCGACGGCAACUUCCAGGCGGAGUUGCGACGGAAUGGCGCGCGAGCGACAAGCGGGGGACGGGUGCGACGGCUCGAGCGGUUCGAUGGCAGCUCAAGCGGUGUGAGGCGGUCUCGAGCGGGUUGGCUUGGCUUGCAGGGGGUGCUGGUUGGUUUCUUUGGUCCUUUCGCUUGUGUUGCAACAACAGUGGAGGCUAAGGGAGGCAAAAAGAAAGAAGAAGAAGAAGUUCUGCUGGUUAAAGAGGAACAAAGGCCUCCCAAGUCAACACACAUAUCUCUAACACUCAAGUGGCUGCCCCCACUAGCUUUAGCCUCAUCCACAACCCAUUUUCCAUCACCAAUCUUUUCUAAGAAGCCAAGGAUGAUGCUGAAAUGUUGCAGCCCUUUAUGGCCUACGAAUUUUGUGUGCUCCUCUUCAAUUUCACUUCAAUUUCACUCCAAUUCAAUUCAAUUCAAUAGCCAAAAUGCCAUGGAGGAAGUCCAUACUCAAUUCUACAAUUUUCCUCGCUAAUUGAUCCAUCUUGAACGCCAAAAAUUCACACAAAAACGGCCCUCUAAGUUUCCCGGUACAAAAUCGCCCAAAUUUGAAUUUUCACCAAAAAUCCGGACUUGACGAAAAUUCUUUGAAGGACAAGUCGACGUUCCUAAAAUAAAUCGCGACACGACAGAAUUUUCAAUUUCUAAAAUCAGGUUCAAUUUCGUGGUUAAUUUUAACCGGACGCGAUCUUAGCUUUACCUAACUUACCGAGUAGCUUUUAGGAAUUUUUAGCGUAUUUGACCUGUGGUCAAUUAUUUCUUAUUCACUUUAUGCAUCUUCGACUCAUAAGCGACCCUCGGUUGUUGUGAAAAUCUCGAGGUUUCAAAUACAAGCAUAAGGUAUAGAAACGACAGAAAAAUCGAUUUAGUGCCGUUCGACGUGGAUUUUGCAAUUAGGUGGAAUCGCCCACACUUUAAUCACAUGCCUCUAUCGAAUCGACCUAUCUCCAAUCUCUAGUCGAUUUUAACGGUGCUGUAUUGACCCUUGCAGAUUAGCACAAUCAAGUAAUCGAUUUCUGGUUGAAUUCUCAAGUCUGUCGCGUUUAGAUUCCUUAACGACUUUGCUAGAUAGAUUAGUUAUCUCGUGAGUGAUCAGCUCAGAGAAAAAGACUAUAGGUGCAUCGAUGAAAAGCCCAUUUCAUUUCCUCGAAAACAGGGUUGAAAAUCAGGAUGUCACAUAAACUAUACCUUUGUUUUUGGUUUUUGGUAAUCCUAAACUAUACAUUUGUUUUUGGUAAUCUUAAAUCAUACUUCUUGUUUUUGGUUCCUGGUCAACCUUAAAUCUCGUUCCUUGGGUUCCUAAUCAACCUUAAAUCUCGUCCCUUAGGUUCUUGGUCAAUCUUAAACCAUGUCUUUAGGUUUUAGGUUAUCCUAAUAAACCUUGUCUUUAGGUUCUAGGUUAUUAUUAAACCUUAUCUUUUAGGUUCUAAGUUAUCCUUAAACCUUAUUUUUAUAGGUUAUCCUUAAACUUGAUCUUUUAGGUUCUAGGUUAUCCUUAAAACUUGUCUUUUAGGUUCUAGGUUAUUCUUAAACUUUGUCUUUAGGUUCUAGGUUAUUCUCAUAACCUUGUCUAUAGGUUUUAGGUGAUUCUUAAACCCUGUUGUUAGGUUAAUGGUCAUCCUUAACCAUUCCCUUUUUUUUCCUUAAUGAAUUUAUUUCCUUCAUUCCGUUUCAUGAGAGAGAUGGAGAGAAGAAUCUCUGAGAUGAGUCUAAAUACCUCAGGAAGCAAAGGUAAGUAUCUAGGUAUGUCCCUAACCAAAUGUUAUUUUCUUUGUUAUUUUUCAUUUCUCAAAAUGGAGUUGAUAAAAAAUUGCGAGUAUCAAUUUCGUCUUUGAGCAGAACCUCUUCGAACUCUGACUCAAAGAAGGGCAGCUGUUGACACCUAAUUUUUAGCCAACGUGUUAAAAAAAGUUAAAAAUCUAGAUUUUAGUUGAUCGCGAAUGAGCCCGUUUCUCAACCAAAAAAUGUCGUUGUUCAUUUCUUUCUUUUGCAUUGUCAUUUUUAAGCAAUUUCAAAAUCAUUUUUAAGAAAAACCCGAAAAGUCAAACGGUUGACUUUUGAGGUUCGGGUCAAAAAUUGACUUUGCCAUUUAGUUUUAAUUUUACUUUUGUCAAACCAAUUUCUCAAAAACUCAUAGAUUUGACAAAAAAAAAAAUUAACCCUUUUGAAAAAGUCAACUAAAUGGUUGACUUUUGGUCAAAUAUUUGACAAAAAAAAUUGAAAAAAAUCUAAAUAUGUACAAAUACAUUUCUUUUAAUAUCAAUUUGAAUUUUUUGUCGAAAAUUUUACAAAAAUCAAUUAAGAACCUUAUUUUUUGAAUUUUUUGGUUUCAGGUCUUAAAUAGAUCAAAAAUCAAAUUACUUUUGAUAUAGUCAUAAUUAGGUGUAGUUCUUUCUUCAACAUUUGGUUUAAGGACUAUUUGAAAUCCGCUCGUGCAUUCAAUUUCGUGAAUGGACAAUUGUUUAUAAUUUGUGAACGGAUGAUUGUUUCUCACCCAUUUCCUUAAAAUAAGUCCAAAUUCGAAAUCGAUUUUGAGAAAUUCACACUAGAACUUAUCAAUUUGAAGAAUUUUAUUUCUCGAGCAUAAAAAGUCUAGUAACUAAGUUUCAAUCAACAAAAUUUGAAUUGACCCAUUCCUGAUUGUGAUUUAAUUUCAUAAUUCUAGGUCCAAUUUUGAUAUUAGGCAUAGAUACAUUUUUGACAUAAGCUCGAGCGCUUCAAUUCAAGGUCAAUUUGAAUGCGAUAAGUGAUCUUAUACAUGGGUAGUUCAUUCGAUAGAGCAAUUAUGACAUUAAUUGAAUUCAAUUUUAGUUAAUUUGCAAUUUUACCUUUUGAAUUGCAAAUUUGAUCAUUUUAGCCCUUUAGGCUCAAUUCAAAUCACUCAUAAUUUUGACCUAUUGCCUUUCGCGAUAAUCAUUUAAUCAUGUCAAUAAAAGAUCUCUAGAUCACAUUCACAAGGUUUGAUCAGUUUAAUUGAAUAUUAAUUGGCAAUUUCUUCUUAAAAAAGAUAAAUUUCUUUUUCAAUUAAGGACCAAAUUACAUAAAUUUUGGACCCACAGGGGUCCCAAUUGGGAAAAAUAGUUAGAACUGGGCCAAAUCAAUUAAGAAUUGGUCAAAAUUGGUCAAACUGGAGCAAACCAGUCUGAUCGGUUUGAUCGGCCAUCAGCGGGGAUGGCCGGUUCAGCUCCUUUCUUGCCAGUUCUUGACCUCUGACGACCGGUUCCAAGAUCCUUUCGAUGUUAAUUUCACUUUUGCACCUUUACUUUCUUAAAUUUACAGAUUGAUCCUCGAAUUUCAUCAAAUUGCAAUUUAACCUGUAAUUGGAUAUUUUAAUGAAAUUCUCAAUUUUGGCUCGGGUUUUCGCAAAUCAAACCCAUUGGAUAGAUUACCCAACACCUCGAGAUCAUGAUCCAACCUUUGAAAUCAAAUUUUAAUCAUUGGAACAAAAUUUUGACUGUCGGAUUGAACUGAUGGACGAAUUGGAUAGUUUGGGGGUAGUAUAUAAGCUCAUUUUCUCUCCAUUUUUGAGAGGGGCUCAUUUGGCACAAAAUCUACUCUCUCUCCUUAGACCAUUCUAUCUCUUUCCCUCUGUUUUUCCCGCCCAUUUCUUUCUCCUCCUCCUCCUCCUCCUCUCUCUCUCUCUCUCUCUCUCUCUCUCUCUCUCUCUCUCUCUCUCUCCCUAUUUACUCGCCGAUUCACUUGAAUCUACUGGAUUGGCCUCAUAUCGGUGGAUCGCAAGCUACUGCUAGCCCCCGUGGUGACCUACAUCUCCUCCUCAUCUUAAUCAGAGUUGCAAUGAGGAUGGAUGGUGCUCAGCUCCCUCUGAUCCGCUCUCCUCAGCCAUAUGGUUCCGACCGAUUCAUCCUUCGAGAUUGGCAUCUAGCGGUCAUCUCCGAGGUCUCUGGCCUAUUUUGAUUUGUCCUUAGGUUUGUGCUCGACAUCUAGGUGAUCGAAGGUCCGUUGAUUGGUAAUCGGCCUUUGGCAUGCAUGUCCAACUCGGAUCGGUUAAUUGGUGAAUCGAUCUAACGGCUAGCGUUGUUUCCACUACUGUCGGAUGUUAUCUUAUCCAAUUCCCAACGAGGUCUUCAACCAGGUUGUUAUUGGAGUCUUGUCCCUUGGUCGCCGGAUGGCUUUGGUUACCUUUAUUCUCAUCGGUGAUUGAAGACCAGUCUAUUUUGGAUCUCGAUGCAACCCCUAGACAUUCCACACUGAUCUACUCACAAUCUUUGAUUAGCUUAAUUCGAUCGAUUGCGAUCAAAAUCGACAUAAACGCAUAAAAGGUAAUAAUCUCGAUCUCGAACCCCAUGAAGUGAGACCGGAUUAACCGAUCGGGGCUAGGGUUCAAUUUUAGGUUAGUAUACUAUGUUAGAGGUUGGAUUAAUGGAUUUGGAUGAUAAUUUGCUAUAAUUGAUUAUUUUUAAAUGAUGAACUUGAAUGAUUGAUUUAAUUUGGUCUUAAAUAUGCAUUUUUGCAUCCUUGAAUUGACCUAUUGUUUUGGUUGAUACGAGGUUCAAAAUGAACUUAUUUGGGUUCAAGUCUUUCAAGAUUUUGAUAAUACACAUAAAAAACUUCAAAUCGAUAGGUUGCAUGCCCCAAUCGAGUACUAUUUGACAUUCGAAAAACACCUUUAAAGAUGAGCAAUUCUGCAGUAGUUUAGGUUAGUUUUCAAUUUUGUUCCUAUUCUGCCUUCUGUCUUUUAUAUUUUUGUGCUACUUUUUGUGUUGAUUUUUGAAGGAAUAUUCCAUCAUGAAAGUUGUUUGUUAUAGUGUGGUAUAUGUUAUGUAUUUUUUUUUUUGGAAUAUUUGGACAUGAUUAGCUAGGUCAAAAUCACUCAAAUCUAAACUUAGGUCGGUCCGCUCUAUGUUCAUUAAUGAUUUUGUCAUUUUUGUAUUGAUCUCUAUAUUAAUUUUUGGAGAAACUUUUCUUCAUGAAAGUUGCUUGUAAUUGUGUGGAGAAUGUUUUAUAAUUUUUUCAAAAUUUUUGAAUAUGUUUAACUAGGUUGAAAUCGCCUAGAUCCGAACAUAGGACAUUUUGCUCUACACUAUUCCAAAUUGUGGUUUAGUGAAAUUGAAUCCAUAAGUGAGUUUGUUUGGUCUUAAAUCCUUAUAAAAGAUGAAAUGCAUGCUAUAUGUAUUCAAUUGAAGCAUGAUUUGCAAAGUAUUAAUGUUGUUUAGUGUGCCAAUUGCAUGAGUUAAUGUGAAAAGAUGUUGCAGCAAUAUAUAGCUUGGAUAUGUACCUCUGUUUUGCUAUUUUUUCUAUGACUCAUGUUAUUACAUUUAAGUUUUGAACUCUUAACAAGAAAUGUUCCCAAUUACAUGUUCCGUAUGUGAGACUUUUCAUAGGAUUUUUGCAUAUUUUGAGAUGGCUGAAAUCAUGCCUGUUCUGCGGAAGUAAUGCUGAAAUGAAACAUUACCGUGUAUACACCUUGCCAUAUUUAUUUAAGUCAUCUAGAGACCAAAUUUUGCUAGAUACCUUUAAAUUCGAUAUUUACACUUGACCUCCUCUCUCGAGGUGUGUCGCCCAUGCGAGUACGGGUCGCGACACUCCGCUUGUGACAUCCUAGGUUUUUGAUUAUGCUUUCUAUUUAAUAAAUCGGGCAUUUCAUCAAUGCGUCUAUAGUGCUAUUCUCAGAGCUGGUUACUCUUGAGAUAACUAAACUAUCUAGGGAAGUCAUUAAAGAUUUUAAGGCAAAUAGACUUAAGGAUUCGACCAUGAAUCGGCUGCUCGACCGUACUCAUCUACCGAGAUCAUUACGGCAUAGUUAAAAAGAGAUUAGAGAUCAAAGAUAAGUCGGUUUGACUGAGAUGCAUGGUUAAACAUGGGUGAUCCCACUAAAUUGCAAAAUUCUCAUCGAUCGGCACUAGAUUGAUUUUUCUAUCGUUUUGGUACCUUGUGUCCGUAUUUGAAAUCUCGAAAUUUUCACGACAACCAAGAGUCGCCAAUGGGUCGAAGGGGUUCAUUGUGGCUCGAAGAAAAUCGACCAUGGGUCAUUUGCACUAAAAAGUUUUGAAAGCUACCCGGUAGCCUAGGUCACGCUAAAAACGCGCCGUAGUGAAAUUAAUCGUGAAUUUGAAUCCGAUUUCAGAAAUUGAAAGUUCUGUCAUGUCACAAGUCCUUUUAGGAAUGUUGACUUAGUUUCCCAAGAUUUUUCUAUAAAACGAAACUUUUUGGGAAAAAGUCAUCUUAGGGCCUUUUUUGUACAUAAAAGGUCAAGGACCGCUUUUAAUCGCGCAUUUGGGAUGCAAGUGGGGUCAAUUGAUAAGGAAAAAUACUAAUUGGAUCAAUGAGGUGUUGAUUGAUUUUAUAGAGGCCAGAUUGUGUUGAAUUAAGAGGGAAUUGGUGUUCAAUUGAGAGAGAAAUCCAUGAAAUUCUUAGCUCCCCCUUGCCUAGGACUUUUGGACCAUUUCAAAGGUUGUGAAGUGAGCCUUGGUGGCUAAUUAUGGUCCAUGGAAGCUAGCUAUGACUAAGGAUUGGUCAAGGGGACCAUUGGAGAGAAAAUAAGGCUUGGUGGCCCCCCUUUGUCUCCUUAUCCCUUCCUCUCUCCCUCAAGCUAGCCAGCCACAUCCAUUUCCCCUCAUCCUUGCCAUUUUCGAACACCACAGUAGCUGAAGAAGAGCCACCGAAGCCAGCCCUUGCCGCCGGACCAUUCAUCGUCACCAUUCAUCACCCGUGACACCACCAUCGCCUGUUGUGCCUCAGCCGCGUCCAACGAUGUUGCUCCGCCUCCCUCUCGCUUGUCCCGACGUCCCAGGAGUUGUCCCAAGCAACUCAGGCCACCAUGAGCCGCCUCGAACCACCGUCGAAGCCCGAAACCGCCCCUCCAAGCCGCUGCUACCUCCGCCGGUCCACCGUUGCCCUUGCGUCACUAAACCAGCCUUUGUUUUCUUCUUUUACAGCCCAAAACAGAGAGCAAAUCAGUGGGUUUCCAGCAAGAGUCUUGGCCUGUUUUGAGGUUGUUCCCGGUCCCGAAAGCUUGGCCCGCUUUGGAGAAAGUUGUUCCCCGCGGAGUUCCCGUCGAUUUGAACCGACCGGAUCGCGAAACAAGUGAGUUUAACUCACUAAUCUUCACUUAGUAGGUUAAUUAUGUUUAGGGGUUGAUUAGUUUAGGCUAAGAUGGAUUAGGUAGUUAGACUAGAUGAGAUUAGUAAUUUAAUUAAGGGAUAAGUGCUACAGAAUUCCUAGAACUUGUUACGAAAAUACAAUUGAAUCCUAAAACUUGCAAAAAGUGCAAUUAAGUCCUAAAACUUGUUAAAAUGUUUCAAUCGAGUCCUAAAGUCGACGCCAUCAAAUUUCCUAACGGAAAAAGCUAACGUGGUGCGAACGUGGCUUUUUUUUAAUCGUUUCUCUCUCCUACGUGGCAAAUAGUUAAAAAAAAAUUAUGUUAGGAAAUUUGACGGCGUUGAGUUUAGGACUCGAUUGAAAUAUCUUGACAAGUUUUAGGACUUAAUUGCAUUUUUUGAAAGUUUUAAGACUCAAUUGCAUUUUCGUGACAAAUUUUAGGACUUCUGCAGCACUUAUCCCUUUAAUUAAUUGUCAAUGCAUGUUAGGUGGAUAGUUUAGUGCAAUGAGAGCCUAAACAAGCUGUAAUAUUUAUCUAGAGUGGUUCGGAAAUUUUCCGGGACCGUCUCGGCUUCCAAUUAGGCAUUAUCGGGCCUAAGUUGUAGUUAUUGCAUUUAUUUAUUAAUUUUCGUAAUUAAUUAAUUAAUUAAUUAAUUUCUGGAAAUUAGACCGAGAUAGCUGGUGACCGGAAUUUCGUGCUGAUUGUUGUGGUGCUAUCUAUUUAUUUAUUUGAGUACUAGAUUGAGAAAAUUGAGUGUGAUUGGUGAAUGUGGAGAAAUAUCCCAAAAUUGAUAAAUGUUGGUAUUUGAGUGGGAAAUAACCAUGAGAGGUUGUGAGUGGACCUAGAAAGCCACCGAAGUAUGGCUGUGCCAGUUAAGCCAAGAUUCGCCACCGAAUUUGGAAUCGAUUGUGCCCAAUCGGACCGUGAUUUGCCACCUGAUAGAGGUAGCGCCCUUUCGGGCCGUGAUUUGCCACCUGAUAGAGGUCAUUCCCAUCGAGCCGUGAUUUGCUACCUGAUUGAGAUGUGCCCAUUGGGCCGUGAUCCGCCACCUAUUAAAGGUUGUGCCUAUUGGGCCGUAAUUACCACCUAAGAUAGGUUGUGUCCUUGAGACCACGAAUUAUAGCUGAGAAUUUUUUAGACUCUGCUCGUUGAGCCGUGAGUAAGAUUUGAGAUUGAAUAAUUGAGAUGAUUAGGGAGUGGCCUUAAUGACAUGUAAUUGACUGAGUCGAUUGAUCGAUGGUUCGAUCUGUUUGAUUGGAUGAUGUGAUUGUCAGUAUUUAUGAAUUGAACUGACAUGCAGGAAGGAACUGAAGCCAAGAUAAGUCCUCUAAUGCCUGGUUGUGCUUAGGCAGCCCUUAGGGCAUAUUUUCUUACUAAUCGGGUCUUAAGGGGUAGAACUCGCCGAGACGUUGUCUCACCCCGUUGUGGGACAACAUUUCAGGUCCAUAUAUGGCAGCACCUCUAGCCCCUCCCAAGCAUUUUGGUAUACUGGAGAAAAUCACAGAAAUAGGUUAUCACAUUCCGAUACACCACUACCCCGAAGGAUUGGAAUAUGUACUGGUAAAAUCCACCGUCUAAGUGGAUGUGGGUGAACCCCAAAAGGUGCCCCAUAAAUACCGGUCGUGGUAGCGCCAUUAUAAUGAUGGAUGAAGGGUGGGCCUUGUACCAAAAUCUGAUGUACCUCUGUACGUUUUGGAGGUUGCGUUCGAGAAGGGGACAAUAGAUCCUAAGGGUGGAUCGGUGGUGGAUGCAAAAGAUCCCAAGCUCAAGGGCGAUUCUAACUCUCCGGUGUACUCAACCGUAGGCUCUAGCUGGAGCGAGGAAGGAGAGAUCAUUGAGAAGGACCUAGAGGAGGAUCCAAAAGAGGAUUGAAACCCCACCCUUGUUUUCAGACUUUGUUGUUGGACUGGCUUUGAUUAGAACUUGACCUGUUAGUGUACUGUAUGUAUAUAUACGACUCAGUGGUUAUAUAUGUAUAUAAGUGUGAAGGUUUUUCAGGUUCGAGAUUUUUAGUCCUACUUUCCUAUCCCAUUGUUUUAUUGUCUAGGGAUUAUUUAUAUGCUUCCGCAUGCGUAUUUAAAAAUUGAAUGGAUCGCCGAUGCAUCCUCGAAAGUCGCUAUUUAAUCGACCAGGUGAGGGAUGGGUGCGUGCCUAAGGAUUGGGGCGUGACACCGCUCUCAUGUGGGGUACGAAUUUGGGAGAACUUGUGACUUUGUAAAAGGAACCCAUAAGAGGUUCGUCUGGAGGGUGAGAUCAUAACAUCCCCAUGGUUGAGAAUCGUGAGGGAACUUUUGUGGUCAAAUACCCUUAAAUCCGACAUUUCCCCAUUUCCUUUCCUCACGAGAGGGAUUUGGCAGCAACAUCGGGUCACAACACCUAGCCCUCCUUCUCAUCCUCCUCUUCUUUUUUCUUAUUUUCUCCUUUCUUUACUUGUAGGUUGGCCCACCUUUCUCUUUUCCCUUUCUCCUUUACGUGUUUGGGUCGACUAUCUCCCUUUAUUUCAGCUCGGCUUGCACGUAGGUCAUGUUCCCCCCUCACACCAACCACACUUCUACAAAAGACGGAAGAAAAAAUAGAGUACGAAUCAGAGGAGACAUGGGAUCGCGAGGGGGCAAAUGGCGGCGUGAUCCACAGGUCAAGAUCAGUUCGACCAAUAAGCUAGUGGUGGAAGAACCAUGCAUGCUUGCUGGUCACCCUUAAAAGUGAAGGGGCUUGCUCUGUAGGGGGUUUUUUCAAUUGGGUUUUGAGAGAGAGAGAGAGAGAGAGAGAGAGAGAGAGAGAGAGAGAGCUGGGAAGAGCGGAGGGCGAGCCAGAAGGAGAGAGUGAGAUCGAGAGAGCAUUGUCGCUACUCGAGGCUCGCUUGUUGCUGGCCUUCUGAACCAAGUAGGCCUUUCGAACCGUAGGUGCCCUGUUUGAGAGGUGUCGAGCUAGAGCUUGUGACCAACAAGUUUGCACGAGCUCCAAUCCACCAAUCCUUCAUGGAUGUUUCUGUGUGUUCUGGCAUGUUUGGUUAGAAACCUAGGCCUGUUUUUUAGUCUUCAUUGAGGCAAAAAUCUCGUGUUUCUUUAGUGCACGCCGUAUGCUUGAUAAAGUGCAUAGGCUAGAUGCCCAUAUUUGGUCUUUCUUUGUGUCCGAUGCUUGCCGUUCUCUAGUUCAUACUGAGUAUAAUAAGUUGUUUCCGUGCUGAAGUCGAACCUCGCUCGCUAAUUUUGGUCUAACUUCACAUCUCUAAUAAAUAUGGAGCUUCCAUUUAGCCAACACACUCUGCGUGUUCGACAAAAUGGUUGACUGAAGUACCCACAUCUGUUCUUAGUCCUCCGUGUGUUUUUGGGUUCUUAGCUUGUCAAAUGGGUUUUAAUAGGCCCCCGCUGCCACCCUCCAUUUCGUAUGUUCUUGUUUCAACGUUUUUGUCUGACAGCAUGUUUUCGGAUAACCAUUUCUUGACCAGUGAAUUUGAAAGUUGGUGUUUGUGGCUGUGAAUGGUAGUUGCGAGGUAGAUUGACGUAGUUUGUAAGAAGUUUAAAACAUUUUAAUAAAGCUUAGAUUCUUUUGGUGCUUUGAAUCGUUAAAUGUUAAUGUUUUUGGGUUAUCAAAGAAGCAAGGUUGGAGUGUUUUGGCUUCUAGGGACCUGUGGUUUCAUUGAAGGAGGGGCAAGAGGUUGAAGACGAUGCUGGGUUGAAAGAGUGCAGGAUAAAAGGUCAAAGUAAGGAAAAGACAAAGGAGAAAAAGAAAGAAAAAUAGAAAAAUCAUUAAGGAAUUUCUUUCCUUCCUUAACUCGAUUAGGUUGGACCUAUCUUUGGAUUGGGUCAAUGGGCCCGAUUGGGUUUAUGGUUCAAACCUAUUUUCCCGAAUAUAAUAAUAUUAAAUAUUAAAAAUAUAUUAAAAAAUUGGAAAUUAAAAAUUUUCACUAAAAUGAAAAAAAAAAAGAUAAAAAUUCAAAAAAAUUUCUGAAAAUUUAAAAACUCUCAAAGAACAUUAAAGAAUUCAAAAAAUUUCAGAAAAUAUUUAAAAAUUCGAGAAAAUUCAAAAAAAUUAAAAAUAAGAAAAAUUCAAAAAUUUUCAUAAAAUUCCUAAAUUCUGAAAAUGUUUAAAAAUUUCAGUAAUAAUUAGAAAAAAAUUCAAAAAGAUUAAAAAAAUCCAUAAGUUUUUUGGAAAAUUUUAAAAUUCAAUUUUUCCAAAAAAAAUCCGAAAUUAAAAAUUAAAAAUUAAAAAUCCUCAAAAAGGUUAAAAUUAAUCUUUUGGGUUAUUUUUUCUCGAAAAGUGGAAAUUUUUCAAUUUAGAAUUAUACCCAAAGUUGACCAAGCCCUUAAGGCUCUAUCUAGGGGUUUCAAUUAUCCUUAGACAUAAAUGUCCUUGGUUGCGCAAUAUUGAUGUGUUGAUUUCAGCUUCCUUUUAGUCUAGCUAGGAUUAGCAUUUAUCUUUUCUUUAGUCUUAAGUUUUUGCUAUCCCAUGAAAUGUAUUUAAUAUUUUCCUUGAUUACUGAUUGUUAUGUUAAUCAUUAUGCACCUGCAUGAUUACCUCACAUGUUAGUGGAUAGGUAUAAAAUCAAUCUAGACUACUUGGCAAAACAUCUUUUUUCUUUAAAUGAAUAAGAUUAGGUACCCAAAGGAUACUAAUUGGUCAAUUAGUGUAUUCAAGUGCCUGAUCUUAGAUUCUCUAGUUGCGUAGGAAGUGAGGUACAUUCCCAUAGCUUACUUGAUUUCUGGCCGACCCUAAUAGGCUAGUGGUGACUCUUUAUUACAAAAUUCUCUUGAACAUCCCAAUGUUACGCAAGGUAUGGGCUUAAGAGAGCCUGCGUCUAGAUGAUGGGUUGUAGGUCUGUCUUUUAAGUAAUAUUCCUAAACUUAUUCCCUCCCCUGAAGGAGAAAAUAUUCAGUGGUUAAAGACCGCCACGUCAUCUGCUGACCUGGCAUGUACGUUUUUACUUCCAACCACUCACGAUUUGACACGUGUUCAUAUUUGCCACUUCAAUAACUGACAUGAAAAUAAAUAAAAAUCUAAAUCUUUUUUUUUCCUCUUUCAUUCUCCUCCGUCCAGCCACCUCUUGAAGGAUGAACGACGCCGAUGCUGACGCUGACGACGGAAGCUUUUAUGCUUCGUUGGUGUUGCAGAACCUCUGCUCGUCGUCGCCACCGGCGGAGUCGUCGGGGCCGCGUCCAAGCCGAGCCAACUUGCAAGCCAUGGAAAUGCAAAGCUUGCGGCAAAGCUUGGGGCCGUGGAUGAUGGAGCAAGAGGAAGACUUAAAUACUCAAGACUAGAAGCUUGUGGGUGUUCUAAGUCCCCCAAAACCUUCGGCCAAGGACAAGUCCAGAGACCCACUUUGCCCAAGGCCAAAAAUCAGGGGCAAAGAACCCAUCUAAGCCAUGGAUGAUGGAGGACCCUUUCCGGCGUCACUGGUUGUCGGCUCGAGCUACCUCUGGCUCUGUCCUUUUUUUGUUUUUCUCCAAUCACCUCCAGAUCUGGAAUUGUGUUAGGGUAAAGUGUCGCUUGCCCAGGGCCAUCAUUGCUUUGUCGGCGUCACUCUCCAGAUCUCCAAAUCUCUAGAUCUGGUCUUCCAUGGUGGAAGGUGUUUAGGUGUCGCCCGCUCGUCUAUGUCCGUCGUCGGCGUCGAGCAACGCCGGAAAGGGCAGAUCGGCUUAUACACGCAGGAGCGGUGCCAGCGACUCCCCUAGUUGCCAUGACGAGGGGGUUGCUACAACUCAAAGGAAGUUCUUCCAUAACUGAAACUGAACAGAACUUUGGCAAUUUUUUAAGUUUUUAUUUAAUUCCACGUUAGUGGACAGGUGUUGAAUCGUGAGUGGCUGAGACCAAAACAUGCAUGCCAGGUCAGCAGAUGACGUGACAGUCUCUAACCACUGAAUAUUUUCUCCCCCCAAAGGGUAGGUCGCAAAAAUGAGAAAGCACUAUAUGUAUUGAAUUCAAAAGCUUUAAGAGAAGAUGCUAUUUGGUACUAAUGUCUUGUUUACAAGGAGUUUGCCUCCUCCGGAAUCUAUUAAUAGGCUGCCCAUGAGAAUCUAGUAAUAAUCAACUUAGUUUCACAUGGAACACAAAAUCUUCAAUUAAAUUCUAUUUGUUGGGCCAGAGAAUCCAACCGCUCCAUCUAGUCUAGAUUCUCUAAAAAUGGAAACUAUUUCCAGGAAUUCAGAGAGGAAUUGAUGGCGUUUCCACACUUUCAUGAACAUCCACAAACACAAAUCUUGGCCAAAGAAAAUAAAACCACAUAAAUCUCUUGAUAAAUCAAAGUUAACAAGAACUCUUUAUCAGUGUAACAUAGACCCGUCAAAUGGGUGCAGGUCGGGUUUGGAUCGGGUCGAAAAUGGGUCGACCCAUAUUUGACCAAUUUAACCCGUUUUGACCAAUAUUCAUGUAGUGUAAAUCAAGUGACCCAUACUCGACCCGACCCGUACCCAACCCAUACUUGACCCGACCCGUAUUGCUAAAACCUAUUAAUAUUCUAGGAAAACCCACUUCUACUAUAAGCUAAUUGGAUUAAAACUUCAAAUUAAAUUAAAAAUAGUAAAUAAAAUAAAUUAAAAAAAUAUAAAAAAAACCUAUAAAUUGAAAUAUUUAUAAACAAUUAGACUAUGCACAAGCUUCUCUUAUUUGAAGUGAACAUACCAUUGAAUAACUAAAAACUGUAACAUGAAAAAAUUUUAACUAAACCUAAAAAAGCUCAUUUUUAUGAUUUUUUUUAGAAAAAAAAGUAUUGUUAAAACAUUUUUAUGCAAUACAAAUUUAAUGGAAAAUUUUUAUAAUUCUUUUCAAAAUAUUUUUUUAUAAAAUCGAAUUUUUAAUUAUUAAAUAUAAUUUUUAUAAUUUUUAUUUUUUAAAUAUAAUUUUUAAUUUUUAAUAAUUAUUUUUUCUUUUUCUCUUUUCUUUUUUCUUCUUCUUCGGCCGGCCGUUGGCCAUGACGAUGGCCGGCGACCAGCCACAGGCAAGAUCGAGCUCGCCAACGUCGGGCGAGGCUCGAUCUCCCCGCCUGAUGCCAACGAGCUCGAGCCUCGCCAGUCGUCGGCGAGGCCGAGCCUCACCGUAUCUGGCAAGGCUUGAGCUCCCCGAUGUCAGGCAGGGCUUGAUCUCGCCGAUCUGGCGAGGCCAAGGCCCCGCCUGACGCCAGCGAGCUCAAGUCUCGCCAAAUCCAGCAAGGCUCAAGCCUCGCUAGUCAUUGGCGAGGCCAAGCCUCGCCAGGCUUGUCGCUGGUCGGUGGCCGGCCAUUGCCCUGUCGAUGGCCGGCUAAGGAAGGAAGAAAAAGAAAGAAAAAAAGAAAAAGAAAAAAGAAAAAAAAAUUGAAAUAUGAAAAAUAAUUAUAAUUUCGAUUUUUAUAAAAAAAACAUUUUUAUAAAGUUAAAAAAGGCCAUGGGUUUAAAGUGAGUUUCCUAAUCACCCAUUUAGACCCAUUUCUUUUUGUGUUUUACUUUCUCAGACCCAUUUCUGACCCAUAUUUAACUUUCACUUGACCCAUAUAUGACCCAUUUAACUAAAAAUGGGUCAUAAUAUGAGUUUAUGACCCAUUUUGCCAGCUCUAGUGUAACAAUUGCAUGGAUAUAACUAUUUGCAAAAGUCCUCCACAUAAACCACACCAACACUAGAACUACCCGUCUCCAAUCUCCAUAUAUUGCAGCAAUAAUCCAGCCACCCCAUAUCAAAAAGCAUCAUAGAUGUUGAGAAAACCUCCUAAUAGAUUUUGAAGCUAACAAACCUUCCUAAGUUAUUGUGAAUUUGAAAAACUUGGCAUUUCAUUCUCUAUUUGGCUUGCCUCAAACAAAAUGAUAAAAAAAAAAAAAGGAGAGGCCUAUUGAUUCGAAGUCAUUACGGUCAAUAGCAACCCUCUUUCUUUCUCGGGUCUCCUUUCGAAGUAAAGGCCUUCGCGUUCCUAAUCCGGUAGGGUCGGAUGCCUUUCUGUUCUGGAGAUGACAAGUGUUGAGUGCAGAAUAAUAAGGUCUAAAUGGAAACUUGACCCCUAAGUAUUUUUCUUACUGAAAUUGUCCUUGAAGAAAAAGAUUAUUCAAAUUCAAUUUAUUGAUGGUUGAGCAUUGCAGCCAAGAAAAGUCUAAAUCAUCAAAUGAUUUAGACUCUUUCUAAUGUUGUUCAAAAUAUCACAAAUAAAGAUAACCGUGGACGCCCAAUCAAUUAUAUGGAUAUUGAUGAAAAUUGAAGUGUUACAUUACUUUAGAGUUAACAAUCUAUUAUGGCUAGCAAACUUGCACCAAGUAUCUUUGAGUGACAAAGCAAUAUACUUCAAUAGAAAAGAUUACAACAUAUGGUAAAAAAAUUGAAGGCUUUUCUCAAAUUCUUAGAUCCUCUGAUGUGGGAAGUUGUUCCAAAUGGAAUGAAACCCAUAGCGACUACCACUUCAUCAAUAUUUGAUGAGAUGAAUGAAAGCAGAACCCCUCCAACGACAAUCUCUUCCACUGAGUCAAACAAAAGAGAAGUAGAUGUAAAAACUCUCUUUAUUGUGCCUUAUCUUGUGCUAGAUAUAGCCAAGUGUCAUCUUGUGAGAAAACAAAAGAGAUAUGGACAGUUAAGGAACUAUAAGAGUCAUAUAAAUCAAGAUCAAUAUUAUUAUUGGUUAACACGAAUCCUUCAAGGUGAAGCAAGAUGAAUCUAUUUCUGAAAUAUUCAAUAGAUUCAUAGAUAUUGUGAAUAGACUUACAUGUCAAGGAAUUUUGGUUUUUAGCUCUGUUAGGAAAUAAUAAUGAUAGGGGUAGAAUAGUCAAUAGUUAUUUUAUAUUGAGAGGGUUUCCCUUAUAUAUUAUAUGUAUUCUUGUAAUCAUUUUGAUGAAGAUAAUACAAUACGAUCUUUUAUCUUCUUCAACAUGGUAUUGGAGCCAAAAAAAAAAAAUCCUAAUUUUCAACCUUACCACCACCACCACAGCCACCCUUACCAUCGCCAAAACUUUAUCGUCGCUAGAACCAUCACCUCACACUACCAUAUCCAUCUAGCCAUUAGAUCUGUAUAGAACUAGCCACCAUCAUUGUUGUCCAGCUACCAUCAUCAUCCAACCAUUAUCAUCAUCGUCGGAGCCCAACCACUAGAUUUGGAUAAAACUAGCGACCAACCUCACUAUUGCAGGCGUUUCCUAAACCAGCAUCGAUCACUAGAGUCUAUCAUCUGUAUGUACUUAGCCUUCUUUCAUGAUAAAAAUUUAGAUGAACGAUGGGUAGAUAUGGUGUUUUUAAGUCUGGAGAUUUGACUAGUGCUUGAUACGGCUAAGGAAGUUUGAGACGUUUGAUUGCUAGGGUUUCCUUAGAAAAAAAGGAAAAGAAAUGGAAACAAUAGUAAGCAUGGCAAGGGAUGUUGUCAAGUAGCCUUAUAUGAUGUCGUAUUACAACAUAUUGUUCAUUGAAGUGUUGGUUGAUAUGCACAUAGCAAUCUUUGGAGUGUUGGAUGGUUUACAGUAAUCUUUGAAGUGUCAAAUGGCUUACAGUAGUUGUUUGAUAUUAAGUAUAUGAUUUUAUGAUCUCUCGAUAUAUUAUAAUGACUCGGUGGUGAACUUAUUGAACCCUCAUUUGUAUUUAUUAUAUUGUGGUUGAUUAUUGUGACAUUACUCCUAGGUCAAUUGUAUCUUGUGUUCAACCUAUUUGGCUAAUUAUGUUACUGGAGUUCAGGGAAGUUAAGACCAAUAGCUUCUAGAUCUGGAUCAUCUACUAGUUUGACUUCUUUUUAAUUAACAUCUAUCAAGCUAGAUGGAACCAAUUAUUCAUCUUGAUCUAAAGCUGUAGAAGUUUAUUUUACUGCCAUAAGCAAUAAUGACUAUCUUACGUCUAUGAUCUGCUUAUAUAAGAGUAAGAUAGAUGACUGAGUUGCAAGAUAUGCAAUGGUCCAUACACUAUUAUAGAAUAGUAUGGAUGCCAAAACUAGUCCUCAUUUCAUUCAGUGUAAUCUUGCUAAGGAAGUUUGGGAGAAAUAUGCUUUACUUUACUUUGGUUAGAAUAAUAGGACAUGAGUGUGUGACUUAUGGGAGGCCUUAUUUGAUCUUCAGCAUGGAGAUCAUUCUCUAUCUGAAUAUUAUGCUCGUUUCACUACACUUUGCCUACAACUAGAUACUUAUCUGCUAGCUUUAGCUAAUCCAAAUGUUUUAGUCAAACACCAAGAGGAUCUUUAAGUGAUAUUGUUUCUUAAAGUACCAUGGCUUGAAUAUUUCUCCCUUCGUCAUCAGAUUAUGUCUGAAAGCUCCCUUCCCACAGUUGAUGAGGUUUUCUCCCAAGCCCUUUGCUUGACACCUACUAAUGAGAUAUCAACUAGAACAUUAGAGACAAGUGCCAUGAUUACUCAUGGCUCUAGUGGAUGUGGAGCUCGUGGUCGUGGUUAUUUAGGUCGUGGACGUAGGUUUGUUCAGCGUGGAAGUCGUGGCGAUCGUGAUAGAGUUAUUGGUAAUCGUGGCUCUCGUUAUUGUACUCAUUGUCUGAGGGUUGGACAUUCAGAAGCUUACUGUUGCACACUUCAUCUGAGCUUUGACCUGCACUUGUUGCAUUUACUGAGGUGGAAGAUUCUUCAUCACCAACUCAAUCAGAUCCUACUAAUAUGUAGAAUACAAGAUACUUUGAUACUUUGACACAUACUUAGUAUGAUGCUUGGAUUCGCUCCCAACACGUGAUAAGAACUUCAACUCCCAUUGCAACUUUAGCAUGUACCUCUAAAGGUAGUUCAUUAUGUUUACUUUUUACUAUGUAUGACUCUUGUUUUAUAGAAUUUGGAGCUACUCAUCAUAUAGUUGGUAACUCUAAAUUACUAUCUUCAUUACAUUCCACACCUUAUGUGGUGUCCAACUCUACUAUAUUAGUUGAUGGUUCAAUUUCCCAAAUUAUUGGUAUUGGAGAUGUUCAUUUGAGUCCCUCUCUUUCAUUAUCAUUUGUUCUUCAUCUCAAAUCUCCACACAAUGUGAUUUUUGUUAGUUCAUUAACUAAAGAACUAAAUUGUUCAGAACCUUUUAUUCUUCCCAUUGUGUCUUUCAAGGUCUAAGGACUACACAGAUGAUUGGUGGACACAGAUGAUUGGUGGAGGACAUGAAUUAAAUGGCAUACACUAUCUUGACAAGAAGGUGAUAGCUACAACAGUUGUGAAGCACACAUCCCCUGAUCUGUAUCAGAUGCAUCGUCGUGUUGGUCACCCAACCAUCGAACAUUCUUUGAUGUUUUUUUCUUGAGUCUGACUUUGUGAGUAUUUUUGAGUGUGAAGCUCGUCAGUUUGAUAAACAAUAUAGAACUUCUUUGUUGGGAUUUUACAAAACAUGUAUAGGCUAAAUAAACAUAAACACAUUGGAAGCAAAGAUAAAAUUCUACUAUACAAGUAUCUCUAAAUGCGUUAUUUGUGCGUUUUGAUCAAAAAUGAAAAGGGGUUAUACGGAUUACCUCUCGAAGCACGCUUUAAACAACUUGAUUAAGAUGUUAUUCAAUUCGAAUCCUACAAACGUCGGGCCUCUAGUUCAGACACACCACCAACACAUCUCGAACAAAAAAGAGCUCGCAAGUAAUCGCCAUUAUAAUUGUGUUAGCAAUCUCGUUGAGACAAUCCUCUGCAUGUGGUUAGCAACUAUUUGCUAACCAUGAAGUUCUCUCUUUCUUUCUCUCUUUUUCUUAACUUAACCUACUCACCCUCUCUGCUCUAUUUAUAAUGUCCUGGCAAGGUCAACAUUUAACUUCCUAUAGAAGCUAGUCUGUAACCUCUCAAAAAAGUUAUUGACUACUUUUUCCAGAAGCUAUUUCUUCUAGAAGCUGGUCUUUAACUUAUCAAAUAAGUUAUUGACCACUUCCUCCAAAAGCUAGUUUAUAACUUCUCAAAUAAGUUAUUGACUACUUCCUCCAAAAGUUGGGUGAGUAAGAGAACAGCUCUCGUGAGUGGGCUGUGUCCGAUCGAGUGAAUUGUUUAUGGUGUGUGACAUCCUUAGGUUCAUUAUUGAGCUGAUAGUAAGACUUGCACUAACACAUUAGUACUCCCAAAAGAAUUGAUUGUCCUGAUCAAUCUCUAGGUCCUACAAGCCAUGAUUGACAUCUAGCAAUAUGUCAUGACUACUCAGACAAUGUGAAUGCUUCAAGAACAUAAUGAACCUGUCAGCUCUAGCUAUAGUGUAAUUCAAUUCAUUUGUCUUACUAUGUUCUGAUCGAACAAAGACCAUGGAAUAUUUAUCAAGUCACCAAUUCGAUUAUAUGCACAAACUUAAUUGACCUACAUUUUAUACGAGACAUAAUCAAUUCAUUCUUGGUCACAACCUCAGUCAAGGAUUUCAAUGCAGUGUCACAAUUAGAUUACAUAGGACAUCAUUAUGGUACCUUGAUGUAACAAGGAGACAGAUUCCAUGUUGCGCACAUGUGUAACUUCGUAUGUGAACAAGUUAUGACCAUCAGAUACAGAGACGGAUCAAUGAGCCACCAAUAUACAUAUCCGUGAACCAUAGCCGUCCAACACACAAGUUAAAAUUGUGCCUCAAGUCUAAGGAUUAUUUACACAAGACCAUAGCAUGAACGAUUAGUCAUUAACCCCACCAAAAGCUUCCAUGUUGCCAAUCGUUCUAUGUGUGUCAUGUUCAGUGAAUUUGUCUGGUACAACCACCUGUGUUCUUAGUCGGGUAUCAUAAUACCCAAUGACUCGUGACUCGUCAUUACCUUAAGCAUCCAAUACUUAACAAUGAAGCUAAGAACACACCAGUCUCAACAGGAUCAUUAAUAUCCACUAAAUGAUCAAUUGACCGAGAACAGUUUAAAGAUUCAGUUUAACUGUGAACCCGUCAUGCAUAUGCUUAACAUCUCAAGAAUAAGUCCAGUCAUAACUGAUCUUAUGGAAUCAUUCAUAUGGAUAAUUGGACAAAUGAAUUAAUACGUCUUUACUAUUAAUUUGACAAUACAACUGAAAUCGCUAACAUGUUACUAUUACAUGGGUGCUUUAUGGCAUAUAACUAACAAUCUCCCACUUGACUAAAGCCAACUUGUCUAGUACCUCAAACCCAUUUUGUUAAUGUGUCUUGGCCUUAGUGAGGGGAUCUGCCACGUUUUCCGCAGAGGCAAUUUUCUGUAAGACGAUAUCAUUUCUCCCAACAAUUUCUCUAAUGAGAUGAAAGCGUCUCUCAUUAUGCUUGGACUUUUGGUAAGACCUUGGUUCCUUAGCUUGAGCUAUUGCCCAUUGUUGUCACAAAACAAUGUAAUUGGUUGCUCAAUAGAAAGAAUGACUCCAAGUUCAUAUAUGAACUUUUUCAUCUAAGCAGCUUCCUUUGCUGCUUCAGAAGCAACUACAUACUCUACAAGUUGUGGAAUCAGCAGUUGUGCUUUGUUUGAAACUCUUCCAACUAACUACACCAUCAUUCAGUGUAAAGACAAACCCAUAUUUAGACUUAUAAUCAUAAAGAUCCUAUUGAAAAUCAGAAUCAGUAUAAGCUUCAACUUUAAACUCUCCUUCUCCAUAUAUCAAGAAUAAAUCUCUAGUCCUUUGCAAGUACUUUAGGAUAUUCUUGACUGCAAUCCAAUGCUCUUCCUCUGGAUUAGACUUGUGACAUUCUGAAAUUUCAAUCCUGUUUUCAAUUAAAUGAAUCGAACCUUUCAUCGUUGCACUUAUAGUGUUAUUCUCUGAGCUGAUCACUCAUGAGAUAACUAGACUAUCUGGGGAAGCCAUUAAGGGAUUUUAACGCAAAAGACUUGAGAAUUUGACUAGAAAUCGACUACUCGACCGUGGUCAUCUGCAGAGAUCAUUACGACACGGUUAAAAAUCGAUUGGAGAUCAGAGAUAGGUCGUUUCGACUGAGAUAGGUGAUCAAAAUGUGGGUGAUUCCACUAGAUUGCAAAAUUCUCGUCGAUUGGCACUAGACCGAUUUUUCUGUCGUUUUGGUAUCCUGUGUCCAUAUUUGAAAUCUCAAGAUUUUCACGACUACAGAGAGUCACUGAUGAGUCGAAGAUGUACAUUGUGGCUCGAAAUAAAUCAACCAUGGGUCAAUUGCACCAAAAAAUUUCAAAAGCUACCCGGUAGGCUAGGUCACGCUAAAACCGCCCCAGAUUGAAAUUAACUACAAAUUUGAGUCCGAUUUCAUAAAUUGAAAGUUCCGUCAUAUCACGAUUUAUUUUAGAACCGUUGACUAACCUCCAAAGAUUUUUCUGCAAACCGAGAUUUUUGGCGGAAAUUCAAAAUAGGGCCGUUUUCGAUCGGAAAAUUCAGGGGACCAUUUUUAAUCGCGUUUUUGGGAUGCAAGUUGGUUCUAUUAGCGAAGAAAAAUGUCAAUUUGAUCGAGGACACCUUAGUUGGAUUUACGAGGGCCAAAUUGAAUCCAUUCAAGAGGGAAUUGAAGAGGAUUUGGGGGAAAAUUGUUGUAAAUUCGUAGCCCCCUUGGUCCUCAACCUUUGGACCACUUCCUUGGCUUCUAAGGGAAGCUUUGUGGUCUGCAAAUGGCUAAGGAAGCCAGCCAACCAUGGUGGGACCUCUUCAAGGGGACAAGGGGAUAGAUUGGAAGAGAAGUGGCCCCCUCUAAGGUUGUGUUGUCUCCUUUCUUCCUCCCUCAGCCCUGCUUUCUUCAUUUUCAUACCCUUAAAAGCUCUGAAAGUGCAAAAGAAGCCGAGCAAGCCCACUACCAUCGCCGAACCGCCCGAAGCCGCCUACUACCAUCGCAUGCACGUCGCUCACGUCACAUCGCGUCCCCCGUGCGUCUCACGCUCGUCUGUUGCCGUUUCGCUCCAAUCGAGACCCCAGCCCAUCCCCUGAAGCUUUCAAGCCGCUGUCCCUGGCCGCCCGUCCUGCCGCCGGAAGCCCUGCCUGGACCGCUGUUGCUCGUCCCUCGCCGUUUUAGCCCAAGUCAACCCCACACCUCCUCUUUUGGCCCAAGAAUAGAACCAAGCCUCUUAGCCCAGCCGUGUACUGUUUGGCCCGUUUCGAACCCCUUCUGGGCCUCGCUUGGUGCCGUCGCUUUGGAGUUUGUCACCCAUCCUCGCCUUGCCAUCAUCGUGGACUCAUCAGAUUUCAAAACCGGUGAGUUUACUCGUUAAACUUUGCUUAAGGAGUUAAUUAUGCUUAAGGGUCCGUUCGUUUCGCGGAAAAUGACUUCUGGGAAAACAUUUUCCAUAUUUUCCAGCAUUCAUUUCACGGAAAAUAAACUAGUUAAGGAAAAUAUUUUCUAUCAUUGGAAAGCACAACUUUUAAAAGUGAGGAAAAUGUUUUCCACUUUUGACAAGUGGUUUCCUUAACUUCUUUUAUCUUGCUUCUUUUUAUCAAUACAUUUUUGUUUUAUUUUUAUGCUUUCUUUUUCUUUUUCUUUUUCUUUUUAAAAAUCAAGUUUUUAAUUUUUUUUUCCUUUUCUUUCUUUCCUUUUCAUCUUCCUCUUUGGCCUUGGUCGGUCGCCGGCCCCGGUGGCGGCCGGCGACUGGCCGCAAGCUCGCUCGAGCCUCGCCUCAGGCCGGCUAGGCUCCGCCUAGCCUAAUCUGGUGAAGCCGAGCUUGGGCCUUGCCAGAUUAGGCGAGGCAGAGCUCUCGUCGGCUUGGGGUGAAGCUCGGGCCUCACCAGAUCCGAUGAGUUGGGCGGUGCUUGGGCCUCGCCCGAGCUCGGCAGAGGUUCGCCAGGCUCUGGCGAGCCGCGAGCUCGCCGGAUCUGGCGGCAAAGCUCGGGCUCCCGAUCCAGGUGAGCUUGCUGACCGCGAGCUCCGACGCGGAGAGGAGGGAGGGAGAGAGACAGAGAGAGAGUGGUAGGUGCAGCCGUAGAAGACGGAGGAUCAACCACUGCGAUGCAGAAACUGACCGACUCCCCGCCGACGGGCGGCCAUCUCGCCGAUGGAUCGGAUCACCGAUCCCUCGAAGUCAACCCCCGAGGUCGGACGGAGGGAUGGAGGAAGAAAGGGAGGGAGGGAGACGGCGAUUGGGGGAAAACGAAAAGCGCCCUAUGCAACAACCGCCGCCGAUCAAUGCGAGGAAGUCGUCGCCGCUGCCGUCAACGCCGCUACCGCCGCGAGCCGACCGAUCGUCGUGGAUUGAGAAUCGCUGAGCAAGGAUGAAGGUGGCGAAGGAAGGAGGAAGGAAAAGAAAAAGAAAGAAAAAGUAAAUAAAUAAUUAAAAAUUCAUUUUUUAAAAUAAUAUAAAAAAUAAAACUAAUUUUUUUGGUCAAUUAAAAAUAUUAAAAUUCAAUUUUUGAUAAUUUUUCCCAAACAAUUAAAUUAGCUAACGGAUAGUGGAAAAUAUUUUCCACUCAAAGUUUAGGUUUCGGCCGAACACCAGAAAAUAAAAUCAUUUUCCAGGAAAAUGACUUCUAAGAAAAUGUUUUCCAGAAGCAUGAUAUUUUUCGCGAAACGAAUGGACCCUAAGGGUUGAUUAGUUUAGGCUAAGUAUGGUUUAGGUGGUUAGUUAAAAUGAAUUAGUGAUUUAAUUACUCGUUUAUGCAUGUUAGGUGGUUAGAUCGGCUAAAUUAGCAACUAGAUAUAUUGUAUUAAUUAUCUAGAUAGGUUCAGAAAUUUUCUGGGCCUGGUUCGGUAUUUAAUUAGGCUUUUUCUAGCCUAAGUUUGCAUUUAUGGUAUUUAAAUGUAUUUAUUUAAUUAUUUAUUAUUUUUCGAAAAUUAUACUGGGAUAGCCAGUGAUCGGAAUUUCAUGCUGAUCACAAUGGUAUUAUUGGUUUAUUUAAUUGAGUGUUUUUUUUUAGUGACCCAGGGAACCCCCGUGCGCCGCUUCGCGGCGAAGUAAACCCCGGGGGGGGAGUAGAGUCACCACCACCCUUGUUCCCCGGGUAAGUCAGCACGACGCAGCUGGGAUUCGAACGCUGGACCUUUUGCAAGAGGAACAAACGCUCGAGCCAACUGCGCCGCGACGCUGGAUGGUUUAUUUAAUUGAGUGUUGAUUUGUGCAAAUUGAGUGAAAAUUAUAAUUUUGGGUAUUUACUCCAAAAUUGAGUAAUUUUGGUAUUUAAUUGGAAAAUACCGGGUAUCGAUUUACAGCCCCAAAAAUGUGUUUAUGGACUAUUAUGACUAGUGGGAAUUUCUAAAAGAAAGAUAUUGAAGUUUUGGCUCAAGCCAACCGUGUACCCACACACAACUAGUUUAUUAGGUAUUUUCAAUGUGGCGUUUUAUCAGCUUGAGUGAGCACGACUUAUAUAUAUAUAUAUAUAUAUAUAUAUAUAUAUAUAUAUAUAUAUAUAUCCUUUGUGAUCAUUUUAUUAGCUUGAGCGAGCCUGAUCAAUAUAUUUAUCAGCUUAAGUAAGCUAAAAUCGUUUUAUCAGUUUGAGUGAGCACGAUCUAUAUAAUUAUCAGCUUGAAUGAGCUAUAUAUUUAAAUAUCAGCUUGAGCGAGCUAAGACCAUAUAUUGCAACUGUUGUGAAUAGUGGUAGUAUCAAAGGAUGGAUAUAUGGUAUUAAAUGGAUAAAUAGUACUGUUGGUAUGGACUUAAGCUGAUUGGCUGAUUGAUUGAUGGUUCAAUUUGAAUUGAGUUGAUUGGUUGAGUUUAUGAACUGUACUGACUUGUAUUAAGGAACUGAGGCAAAGAUAAAUCUGCUAUCUUGUGUGUGCUUAGGUAGCUUUUAAGUGUAUUUCCUUCCUAGUUGGAGUUUAGGGGGUGAACUUGCUAAGAUAUCGUCUCACCCCGUCGUAGGCUAACAUUUACAGGUCCUUAGAUGACUAUUCCUCAUGAGCGCUUUGGCCAACCGAAGAAGAUCACCAAAUAGAUAUCUCAGAUUCCCAUCCCCGGGAGCCAAGGAGACUGGGUCUACGAACUUGUGAGAUCCACUGUCUGGGUUGAUGCGGGCCUAUCCCGGAGGGUGCCCAAUCAAUUCAGAUCGUGGUAUCGUUACAAGUGAGAUGGACCCAGAGAAAGACCUCUACUGGAAUUUGAGAUUUCUUUGUCGAUGUUAGAGAUCGCUUUUGGCCAGGGUAUGGCUGACCCUCCUGGUGGUUCAGUGGUAGACCCUAGUUCCUCGGAGCCCGAGACCCCAGAGCCUUCAGUUGAGGGUUCAAAUGUUUAGAGGAUCUAUAGCCCUCUACCUUUUGUAGGCUUGUAUAUAUAUAGACUAGUAUUGUAUAUGACCUGGUCUGAUAUGUAUAUAAGUGUGUUGUGGUUUUGAAAAUUUGUGGCCCUGCUUUUCUAUCCCAUAUUUGUGUUGCCUGGGGAUUUAUUUAAUCGCUUCCGCAUGUGCAUUAAAAUGAAUGGGUUGGCGACGUGUCUUGGGACGUCGCAAUAUGUGGCAUCCUAAAAAUUUCAUGGCGACCUCCAGAUACAUUAAGACCUAAGGAAAGGGGAUGGAAGUGCCAUAGGGUUAUGUAUGGCCUUUAGACCAAUUGAUCACAAUAAAUUAAGGCCAAGCAUUCUAUUGGACAAUUAUUUGAUGGGGAAAAUUUUAUUCUUGGCCGUGCGUUUUAUAAGUUGGAUAUUAUUAAUUUGUGUUACAAAAUUUUAUGGCCAACUAAAUUGCAAUUAAGUAUUUUUAUAAGUGGGAAAUUUAGGUUAGAUUAUUAAAAGGAGAAGUGGGCCGAAAUUCUUAGGCCAAGCCGGCCCAAAAACCCAGCCCACAACCCCACCGUUCGACUGGCCCGCGAAGCCCAAAAGGAAGGGGGCUGCCAUCGACCAAGGGGAGGGAGGGAAACCGGUUUGCUUGUCUAUCCAUUUGUCCCAUGAAGAAAGCCAAGUGUCAAUGCAUGCAAAGCUAAUGAUGGUUAAUCAUUGAAAGGAAGAAAAUUAGAGGAGAGAGGGGGCGGAUUGCUCAAGGGUUUGAACCAAGAGAGAGAGGAGUGUCGUGCGAAGGAGAGGGAGAGCGAGCGUGCGAGAGGAAAGGAAAAAGGAAGAAGGAGGUCCGUUCGCUACCAUGCGUGCUCCGAGUCCCGCCGUCGAGCCGCCUUGCCCCGCCGUGUGUUUGCUGUGUUUUGCUUGGACUAGAGGCAAGUAGAGUCCAUUGAUCUACCCUUUGCUUGCUGUGUUUGUGUGUGACGAAUGGUGAAUUUCGGAUGUGGUUGAGGUGAGAAAUUUCGGAGUUAUAGAAGUUGUGUUCUAGUCUAGUAUUAUGUUUUCUGGGAAAUACAGUCCGACCUUUGGUGUUUUCGUGAGUUGCAUGCGAUACUCUAGUUGGAAUCUGACUUCUACUUUUUGAUGAAAGUUGUAGAGUACUUCUUGAUGAUUAACAUACUAAAAAUUUAGAGGAAACGAACAAGUAUAGGUCGGUGAAACCAUUUUCCUUUGAAGAAACUAGAUCUGGAAACUGUUAUGUUGAUCUGUUGUGAUUUCGUGGAUUUUGUGAAAUCAUCCAGUCCGAAUUUGAUCUCGUGUUCUUGAUAAUAGUUGUAGAAAACGUCUUGAGGAGUAACAUACUAAAAUUUGAGAAUAAACGGACAAGUAUUGAUCGGGGAAAACGAUUUUCUUUGAAAAGGAUGAAUCUAGACAGUGAACCGAGAGUUAGGGGGAAAUUACAAAAAUUGUAUCUUUUAAUACAGAAGAAAUUAGACUUCGAUUUCUUCAUGAGACUUUUAUCUCUAGAUCUCAGCUAUGACAUAUUAAAAUCUCAGAAUUUUCGGAGUUCAUUAAGGGUUUAAUCGAAAUUAUUUCCAAAACUGUGCAAAAAGUGGUGCUGGAAUUUCUUUUGUUGUGAUGUGUGGAUCUAUGUGAUUGAUGUGAAACUUUCUUGACAUGGUGUUCUUCACGAAAUAUCUUCAUCUGGAUCUUGUUUACCUCAUGUUAAAUUUUCAGAAUUUAUUGAGAUUUUUUACUAAUUUUCCAAGAGUUUUUACUAAAGAGGUGCAUUCUGUUUUACACGAAAAUUGGUUCUAUUUUCAAAAACCAAUGAACUGCUUUAUGAAAUGUGAUAUCAUGAGUAUUAUGUGCACUACAUAUAUGGUGACAUUUGGCAUAUUACAUGACAUCAAAAAGCUGGUUUAGACCUUUGAUAUUGUUGCAUCAAAUGCCAUGUUGAUAAUGAGACACAUAUGUGAAAAUAAAGUAUGAUAAUGAGGAUACCGUCGGAGGUGUGAGCCGAUGAUGCCCCGGGAGUGUCGGGAUGCCCGGAGUGUGGGUGCCGGAUGCCCGGAGUGUGUGUGCCGGAUGCCCCGGGAGUGUUAAGAUGCCCGGAGGUGUGUGCCGGAAGCCCUGGAGGUGUGUGCCGAGGGGAUUCCUCGUGAUGCCAGUUGGGGUACGAGAUGCCUGGAGGUGUGUGCCGGAGGCUCCUCGCAAUGCCAGGUUGGGUGCGAGUGAUAAGAUGAGGGAUGCAAACAUCAGUCCCUGGGAAGAAAAAUGAUGUGAUCUAAUUGAAAGAUAAAAUCGAGAAUUGAAUCAUGCGCAUGGAUGUGUGCAUAUGGCAUGGGAUGAACCUCAUGGGAAUGCAAGCAUGAAGUGCAUGGUGGUACAUGCACGUUGCAUGGUGAUAUAUGCAUGGCUGCUUGAUGAUAUAUGUACAAGUGCAUGGUGGUAUAUGCAUGUUGCAUGGUGAUAUAUGCAUGACUGCUUGAUGAUAUAUGUACAAGUGCAUGGUGGUAUAUGCACGUUGUAUGGUGACAUAUGCAUGGCUGUAAGGUGAGGUAUGCUUGAAUGCAUGAAUGAUGUGUGCUUUAUUCAUGAUACCUUGAUUGUUCUAUCUGACGCAUUGUGUAGUUUGGUGGAUCUUUACUGCUGAGUGGUUGUACUCACCCCUUUGGGGAUUAACAUUUCAGAUUGAAAGAUGCCUUUGCCACCAGUCGCACGUGGUACUUACUAUGGAUUGCCAUCUGAUGUUGAGGUGGAGUGCAUGGAGCAUUCCUGUGUUAGUGCACCUGGUCUGGUGUUUGUCCGAGUCCGUGUCUUGGUUAUGUACGAUGUGGGUCUUGUUGAUGGCCCUGUUAUCCAAGAGUUUUUUUUUGUUCAUGUCCGGCGUGAUGGAGUGAUGAUAGGGAUGCUGCCACCGCCACCAGCCGAUGCACCAAGAUGGGUGUGAUAGGAGCGUGUGACUAGUGAAAGUUGACACUUUUUGGGAUGGCCGACACUAACUGAUGGAUAGAUGUUCACAUUUGAUGUAUAGUCGGGUUUCUUUUUGAGUAUCGCCAAGCUUAGUUAUAGUCUUGGCCCUUUUUGUUGUACCGACUUGUGAAAUCCAUCUUAGUAUGUAAAUAAAAGUGGUUCAGCAUUAGCUUUUAUAUAUAUAUAUGAAAAGUGUAGUUGGUGUGUAUUGCAUUGUAUUAUUUGGUCGGAGUACAGGUUAAGGAGAUGAUGAGUAUGCUUCCGUUAAUUGAUCUGCGCUGGGACCGAUCUAAAGGAUGUAAACCCCUAGGUUGUAUGGACCCGCUGCAAUUGAAAUGGUAUCAGAGUGGAAUGUUAUCAGGACAAGUUAUAGGUGAGUAGGCUGUGGCGACCCUAACGGAUCAGGGGCCGUGUUGAGAGGUGCCACACAAUAUAAUUGACCACCGAGGGAUGGGCACGUGCUCGAGGAUCGGGGAGUGACAAGACUGAUAUCCGUUAGUAAUGCUUACAGCAUGCGCAAUAUUAGGUCUCGUACAUAGCAUAACAUACAUUAUGCUUCCGAUAGCGGAUGCAUAAGGUAUCUUUGCCAUCCGCUCUCUUUCUUCAAGAGUGUUGGGACAUAUUUCCUUGGAAAGACAGAUUCCAUGCCUAAAAGGCAACAAUCCUCUUUUGGAAUAUUGCAUGUUAAAACGUGUUAACACUUUGUCUAUGUACGUAGACUCUGAGAAGCCAAUCAAUCGUCUAGAUCUAUCUCUAUAGAUCUCGAUACCUAAAACAUAAGUUGCCUCUCUUAAAUCUUUCAUGGAAAAUUUCUGUGAUAAGGAUAGUUUUAUCGAUGAUAUCAUUGGUACAUCAUUUCCAAUCAAAAGUAUAUCAUCGACAUAUAGAACUAGAAAUGCAAUUGCGCUCCCAUUGACCUUCUUGUAUACACAAGGUUCAUCUGGGUUUUUUAUGAAGCCAAAUGAUUUGAUUACAUCAUCAAAAUGGAUGUUCCAACUUUUGGAGGCUUGUUUGAGUCCAUAAAUGGAUCUCUUAAGCUUACACACCUUUUGACUUUCACUAUUGGAUUUAAAACUCCGUGGUUGUUCCAUAUAGAUGUCCUCCUCAAAUAAACCAUUUAGAAAAGCCAUUUUGACAUCCAUCUGGAAUAUAUCAUAAUGAAGGUGUGCAGUUAUAGCCAACAUAAUCCGAAUGAAUUUUAACAUGGCUACAGGUGAGAAAGUUUUGUCAUAAUCGAUUCAUUCUUUUUGACGAUAUCCUUUCGCCACUAGCCGUGCUUUGUAAGUUCCAACGUGACCAUCAGCAUUCAUCUUCCUCUCGAAGAUCUAUUUACAGCCAAUUGGUACAAUACCAUCAGGCAUGUCAACUGUGGUCCAAACAUCAUUAGAAUAUAUUAAAUCCAUUUCGGAUUUCAUAGCUUCUAGCCAUUUACCAGAAUCAAUGUUCGACAUCGCCUCUUUAUAGGUGUUAUGAUCACCAGGUUGAUCAUUAUCAUCCACAAUAAAUAAUUGUUAUAUAUGUUCAACCAAGUAUCCAUAACGAGUAGGUGGAUGAGACGUUCUCGCACUCCUCCUAAGAGGUUGUGUAUUAGAAGCUUCUACUGAAUCGGAGAUUGGUAUCUAAACAUGAUCAUUUGGUACUUCAUUAUUUCCUUCUUGUAAGACUGUUUUCCGUCCAGCACCACCUUUUUGAACGAACUCAUUCUCCAAGAAAGAAGCAUGCUUACUACCAAAAUUCUUUGGUCAGAGUGAAAAUAGAAAUAAUAUCCAAGAGUCUCUUUUGGAUAUCCAAUUAAACGACUUUGUUCAAAUCUAGCCUCCAUUUUUCCAUUUUCAGCUUUUUGAUGAAAGCUGGAUAACCCCAAAUCUUAAUAUGAUUAAGACUUGGUUUCCUACUAUGCCAUAUCUCAUAAGGCGUAGUUGAAAUAGAUUUGGACGGCAUUAUGUUCAAUAAAUAUGCAACUAUCUCAAGGUCAUAUCCCCAAAGGGAUAUAGGCAAGUUGGUGUAACUCAUCAUAGAUCUCACCAUAUUUAAUAAAAUGUAAUUUCUUCGUUUAGAUACACCAUUGUGCUUUGAAGUUUCAGGAGGUAUCCCUUGUGAUAAAAUGUCAUUGUCUUUAAGAUAGUCAAGGAACUCAGUACUAAGGUAUUCACCUCCUCGAUCAGAUUGAAAAGCCUUAAUACACUUUCUUGUUUGUUUCUCAACUUCAACUCUGAAUUCAUUAAACUUUUCAAAAGAUUCAGAUUUAUACUUUAUUAAGUAUAAAUAACCAUACCGUGACUGAUCAUCAGUAAAGGUGAUGAAGUAAGAAUAACCACCUCUAGCAGUUUCAUUAAUUGGUCCACAUACAUCUAUAUGUAUCAAUCCUAAUAUAUCAGUGGCUCGCACAUUAUGUCCCACAAAGGGCGCUUUGGUCAUUUUCCUAGAAGACAUGCCUCACAAGUUGAGUAUGACUCAAACAUGGACGAAUCAAUGUAUCCAUCAUUACUCAACUUGUUGAUUUUAUCUUUUCCAAUAUGACCUAAUCGGAAAUACCAAACAUACUUCGGAUUCAGACUAUCUCUAGGGCAUUUAUUAGUUAUGGCAUAUAUAUAUAUAUAUAUAUAUAUAUAUAUAUAUAUAAAUCAAUUUCAAUUUCAUUUUGCUUAUUGACAUCGGUAAUCACAUUACCGGACAUUGUAAUGGUAUAAAAAUUAUUGGUUAACAAGCCAGAUCUUCUAUUAUGAUAAAUAGAACAUACAUCAUCAGCAAAAGAAAAUUCAUAAUUCUCUUUGCUCAAACGAGGUAUAGAGAUGAUGUUCCUAACAACAUUCUCAUAAUGCAAACAAUUUUUCAAAACCAAUACAUGUCCAGAAGGCAAACAUAAACGAAAAGUCCCUAUAGCUAAUGCAGCAACUCUUGCUCCAUUGGCAAAUGUUAAGACAAUUUCAUUUCGUCCCAGUAUCUUGCUUAUUUUCAGAUUCUGCAAUGACAUACAAAUAUGUGAAAUUGCAGCAAAAUCUAGAACCCAUAAGCUGGAUUCAACACUAACCAUAAGAUUAGUUUCAAUAAGCAUAAACACUACACCUUCAUAAGGUUAGUCCUUAGGCUUGACCCUCAAGCUCACGAGGUACUUCUUACAGUUCCUCCUCCAGUGUUCUUGGACACCACAGUAAUGACAUUUCCCUUUUUUAACCAUUUGCUUUGAUUGCACAGCAAGUUUGAUAGGCUUUUUCCAUAUGUUUUUCUUCAAAACAGUCUUACUUUUUGAAGAAGAAGCCUUAGCCAUAGCCACUACAUUGGGCCUCGUGUUGUGCAUUUCCUUCCAUAAACUACCAGCAUGCUAUGUAACUCAGCAAAAGUUUUUUUUUUUUCCUUGUGGAAGUUUUAGACAAAACCAGAGAAAAAAUCGAGUAAAGAUUGGAGGAUCAAAUCCACAGCUAACUCGUUGUCCAUAACAAGAUUUAGCCUAGCCAACUCUUCAAUGUGCCAGAUCAUUUUCAAAGCAUGAUCAUUAACGGAUGAUCCUUCAGCCAUCAUCAUACAGUAUAAUGUCUUAGAUAUCUCAUACCUAGAGGUUCAACUAUUCACAUCAAAGUAUUCCUUUAAGUGUAAGAUGAUCAACCUAGCAUUUUCCAUAGUUUCAUACUUCUUCUGCAAUUCAUUAUUCAUUGAAGCAAGCUUAUAUGACCUAACUUUUAAGUCAUCAUCAUGCCACUUAUCAUAAGCAACGCACUCCUCUUGGGUCCCAUCCUGAGGAAAAGAGUCCGGCAUCUUUUCAUUAAGCACAUACUCGAUUUUCUCUAAAUUGAGAACAAUUCUCGUAUUCCUCACCCAGUCAGUGAAAUUGGGUCUAGUUAAACAAUUCUUAUCAAGUAUAGAAGCGAGUGGCUUUGUGGUUACCAUUUUCAGAGUAUUAAUAUAUCUGUGCAGAAAAUAUAUUGUUAGCCGUUGCAUUUCAAAAUAGCUAUUUCAUUUUGGCCUUUAAAUGAAAUAGAUCCUCCCACUAAAUUUAUAUUUGAAUCCCAUACUCCUUAAAAUGGGAAAUGGUAAUCUUUUGUUGGGUAAAGAUUACUAGUGGAGAUUGGAGUCCCACCAAUCCAAAGCACACCUCACCUGAUAGUUAUUGGUGUUCUAUGAAUUUAGUGAGUGAACCAACUUGUUCAACGCAUCAUAUGCGAGUCCUAGUCAUAACUUUGGCCUCUAGACCAUGAAAAUCUCACCUAAUAGUUAUUGGCAUCAUGAUCAUAGUUAAGUCUAACCCAUCAUCUCAUGCAAGUAUUGAAAGCACAAACAAUCCCCUCACCUAACAAUUAUUGGAAAUCGUUUAGCUUUAACCCCACAACAUCACAUGCAUAAUGGAGUGGUCCAAUAUUCUGAAUGGCAAGUAACCCCUACAUAUCCAUAGCCGGUCAAUUAAUCAUUAUAAUGUUGGAUCAAACCACGACGAUGGAAGUCCACGAGUCGGAAAUCCGUUUCGACUUAAUAUUAUUAAUAAGGAGGUUUGGGUCGUUAUUAACGGUCUCGCUUUGCACAUUAGCCGGUUUAACAUGCAUAAUAACAUAAACAAAAUAAAUAAAUAGAUAUCAAAUGCAUAGAUAUCUAUCCUACAUGGUGAUCAUGGAGUUAUGGCUCAAUGGGUCUCAAGCCAAUGAAGCCCAUUUAGCCAUUUUAAUGUUUUAAUAAUAGAGACCUGAUCUUCACUUCUUCUUAGAUCCUUGAACCCUUCAAAGACCGAGCCUAUAGAGCUCUCUGACUUUAUGGCUCCUCCUCUCAUAGCAUUUACAUUAAUAGUUGAUAUACUAAACUAUGCUAAAAAUACAUUUCAUGAAAAAUAAAAGGAAGGACACAGCCUCCAUUUAAUAAUUACAAGCCCAAAAAAUACCCGUAAUCAUCAUACAUUCAUCCAUACAUCAAUCAUAUUAAUUUAGGAGUUUUUCCAUAAUCACCACCCUUCCUUACAAGCCAUAAAUUCAUAAUUUAAAGCUCUAGAAGUCACAAAUAAAAUUCUGCAUUGAAUCAAAUUCAUGGCCGAGCAACGCAAGCCACAUCAAGAGAUCAAAACCGGUGAAACAAAUUUCACGAGCGUGAUUCCAAGUGGUAGCUGCAUUGUCACCUCUGGAUUCACAUUUGCAAAUCAUUUUGCAGAAGAUAAACACAAAAUAUAGCAAAUUACAGAUUUUUUAUUCAAAAUUGAUUUAGUUCCAAUUUUUGCUCAAUUGAUAAAAUUUAUCACAUAAAUUAAUCAACUUUUAUUGGCCAUGUAAGAGUAAGCGAUUCUCUUAACAAAAGUAAAUUGGCCAUUAGAACUUAAAAAUAAAUAUGAACCAAAAUCAAUUAAAAGCACGAAAACGCCUAAGGAUUGGCUCUGAUAUCACUAUUGGAAUUUUAUGAAACAUGUAUAGGCUAAAUAAACAUAAACGCAGCGGAAGCAAAGAUAAAAUUCUACUAUACAUUUAUCUCCAAAGGCAUUGUUCGUGCGUUUUAAUCAAAAAUCCGAAUAUCAAAGGGGGUUAUAUGGAUUACCUCUCGAAGCACACUUCAAACAACUUGAUUCAGAUGUUCUUCAGUUCAAGCUCCACAAAUGUCGAGCCUCUAAUUCAGACACACCACCAACGCACCUCGAACGAAAAAGAGCUCAUAGGUAAUCACCAUUAUAAUUUUGCUAACCAUGAAGUUCUCUCUCUCUCUUUCUCUCUCUUUCUUAACUUAACCCACUCACUCUCUCUUUGCUCUAUUUAUAAUGUCCGGAAAAGUCAACGUUUAACUUUCUCUAGAAGUUAGUCUUUAACCUCUCAAAGAAGUUAUUAGCUACUUUUUCCAGAAGCUACUUCUUUCAGAAGCUAGUCUUUAACUUCUUAAAUGAGUUAUUGACCACUUUCUCCAGAAGCUAGUCUAUAACUUAUCAAAUAAGUUAUUAACUACUUUCUCCAAAAGUUGGGUGAGCAAGAGAACAACUCUCGUGAGUGGGCUGUGUCCGAUCGAGUGAAUUGGUUAUGGUGUGUGACAUCCCUAGGUUCAUCACUAAACUGGUAGUAAGACUUGCACUAACACAUUAGUACUCCCAAGAGAAUUGAUUGUCCUGAUCAAUCUCUAGGUUUUAUAAACCAUGAUUGACAUCUAGCAAUAUGCCAUGGCUACCUAGACAGUGUGAAUGUUUUAAGAACAUAAUGAACCCGUCAGCUCCAGCUAUAGUGUAAUUUAAUCCCUUUGUCUUACUAUGUUCCGAUCGAACAAAGACCAUGAAAUAUUUAUCAAGUCACCAAUUCGAUCAUAUGCACAAACCUAAUUGACCUGCAUUUUAUACGAGACAUAAACAAUUCAUUCUUGGUUAUAACCCUAGCCGAGAAUUUCAAUGCAAUGUCACAAUUAGAUUACAUAGGACAUCAUUACGAUACCUUACAUGUGACAAGGAGACAAAUUCCAUGUUGCGCACAUGUGUAACUUCAUAUGUGAACGAGUUAUGACCAUCAGGUACAGAGACGGAUCAAUGAGCCGUCAAUAUGCAUACUCAUGAACCAUAGCCGUCCAACAUACAAGUUAACACUGUGUCUCAGGUAAGGAUUAUUUACACAAAACCAAAGCAUGAAAAAUUAAUCAUUGACCUCGCUAAAAGCUUCAAUGUUGCUAAUCAUUCUAUAUGUGUCAUGUUCAAUGAACUUGUCUGCUACAAGCGCUUAUGUUCUAACUCAGGCAUCAUAAUACCUAAUAACUCAUGACUCGUUAUUACCUUAAGCAUCCAAUACUUAACGGUGAAGCUAAGAACACAUCAGUCUCAACAAGAUCAUUAAUAUCCACUAAAUGAUCCAUUGAUCAGGAACAGUUUAAAGAUUCAAUCUAAUUGUGAACCCGUCACGCAUAUUCUUAACGUCUCAAGAAUAAGUCCAGUCACAAUUGAUCUUAUGGAAUCAUUCAUAUAGAUAAUUGGACAAAUGAAUGAAUACGUCUUUGCCAUUAAUUUGACAAUACAACUUAAAUCCCUAACAUGUAACUAUCACAUGGUUGCUUUAGGGCAUAUAACUAACAUUCUUUUCCUUCUCAUUUUUAGAGUCGUGUGUCUAGUCCUUUAGAACUUGUUCACUCAAAUGUACGGGGUCCAUGUCGUGUUUCUGAUACAUAUGGUUUUCGAUAUUUUGUUACAUUCAUGAAUGAUUUUUCUCAAAUGACUAGGUUAUUCUUAAUAAAAGACUAUGCUGAGAUUUUUCAUUACUUUCGUCGAUUCUGUUUUAAGGUAUUGAAUCCAACUUUUAUUAAAACUCUACAGUAAAUUAAUGCCAAAGAGUAUCCUGUUGCUAUUUCUAGUUUUUAACCUUUUCUUGACUCUCAUGACAUUAUUCAUUAGACUCUCUGUUCAUAUACACCAUAGCAAAAUGGUGUAACUGAAUGCAAAAAUCGUUAUCUUCUUGAUGUUACUUGUUGUCUUAUGUUUCAUACACAUCUACUGAAAUUUUUUUGGGGCCAUGGUGCUCUUAUGGCCUACCUUUUAAUUAAUCGGCUUCCAACUUCCCUUCUUCAAGAGGAGAAACCUUUCUCCAUUUUACAUCCAACUUGUUCUCCCUUUCUAUUACCUCUACGUGUCUUUGAUUGUGUUUGUUUUGUUCGUUCUCUAACUCCAGGUCUUGAUAAGUUGGACCUACGUACUGAAAAAUGUGUCUUCAUUGGAUAUUCUCGAACAAAGAAGGAUCACAAAUGUUAUAGUCCUACUCAUCAUCAUGUGUUUGUGUCAGCCAAUAUGACAUUUUUUGAAAACAAACCAUAAUACAACACUCAAACGGUUCCUACAGUGCCUCCUAAUGAUGAUGAUCAUGUCUUACUAACACUUCUACUAAUCACAUUUCCUCCAGCAUCAUCCAUAGGAUUUCAGUUUGCUGAUCACACCUACCAUAGACGUGGAGUAGCUCUUAUACAAUAGUGCAACCAUCACUUGAUUCAUCUAUUCCCUCAUUGGUUGCUGCGCCGUAUUCUAAUCUUGAUCCUGAUUCAUCCAUUGCUACUUGAAAAGGUACACAUUCUUUCAUUGGUCAUUCCGUGGAUCUUUAUACAUCUUACUUUGAUUUAUCCGAUUGUCUUCGUACUCGUCACCCUAUUUCCAACUUUCUAUCUUAUAAUCGUUUAUCUCCUACUUUUCUACCUUUGUCUUCUUCUUGUCCUCUAUCUCUAUGCCUAGCAGUGUUGCUAAAGCUCUUGCUCAUCCUGGGUGGCGACAAGCCAUGGAAGAUGAAAUGAAGGCACUCAUUGAAAAUCGUACUUGGCAGCUCACUACCUUACCUGUAGGAAAGCAACCUGUUGGUUGCCAUUGGGUUUUCAUUGUUAAGGUUUAUCUCAAUGGCACACUUGAUUGAUUGAAGGCAUGAUUGGUUGCCAAGGGAUAUUCUCAAACCUAUGGUAUUGAUUAUGAUGACACUUUUUUACUUGUAGCCAAAAUUUUAUCUGUUUGUGUCUUUAUUUCCCUGGCAGUGCGUUUUAUAUGGUUUCAUCAUCAAUUGAAUAUCAAAAAUGCAUUCUUACAUGGUGAUUUGGCUAAAGAGGUAUAUAUGGAGCAGCCACCAAGUUUGUUGCUUAAGGGGAGAAUUUGGUAUGUCAUUUACAUAAGGCAUUGUAUGGACUCAUACAAUCUCCUCGUACUUGGUUUGGUAGGUUCAGCAAUACUAUUAUCAAGUUUGGAUUCAAGCAAUGUUAUGUAGAUCAUUCAAUCUUUAGUUCUAUCUCCUCAGUUGGGUGUAUUCUUCUGGUGGUAUAUAUGAAUGACAUUAUCAUUACUGGUAGUGAUUUCGAUAGUAUUCAACGACUUAAACAAUUUCUACAUAUACAGUUCAAUACUAAGGAUAUAGGACGUCUGAGGUAUUCCUAAGCAUCGAAAUUGCCUAUUCGCAUAUAUAUAUAUAUAUAUAUAUAUAUAUAUAUAUAUAUAUAUAUCAAUUUAACCUAGUGAAAAUAUGUACUUGACAUUCUCGAUGAAGUUGGGCUUAUCGGAGCAAAACUAGCAAAUAUUCCUAUGAAGCCCAAUAUAAAACUUAAUGCAGAAUAUGGAGAAUUAUUAUAUGAUCCAGUAAAAUAUCUGAGAUUAGUUAGUAAGCUGAAUUAUCUUACCGUCAUGAGACCAAAUAUAUCUUUUGCCGUUAGUGUUGUAAGUCAAUUCAUAAGUUCUCCUCGGACUACUUACUAGGAUGUUGUGCUUCAGAUUAUCAAAUACUUGAAAGGAGCAUCAGGUAAAAGACUAAUUUUCAAGAAUUAUGGCCAUCUAAAUAUUAUAGGUUUCGCUGAUGUAGAUUGGGCCGAAUGUCCCACUAGUAGGAGAUCUACGUUUGUGACAUCCAGAUUUUUCAACCCUGUCUUCUACUGAAUAAAUCGGGCAUUUCAUUGACGCGCCUAUAAGGUUAUUCUCAAAGCCGAUCACUCUCGAGAUAACUAGACCAUCUGGGGAAAUUAUUAAGGAAUUUUAAGGCAAUAGACUUGAGAACUCGAUCAGGAAUCGGCUUCUCGAUCGUGUCCAUCUUUAGAGGUCAUUACGGCACAGUUAAAAAUCGAUUUGAAAUCAAAGAUAGACUGGAUCGAUAGAGAUGUGUGGCUAAUCGUGGGUGACACCACUAAAUUAGAAAAUUCUCGUCGACUGGCCCUAGAUUGAUUUUCUUAUUGUUUUGGUACCCUGUGUCCGCAGUUGGAUCCUCAAGAUUUUCACGAUAAUCGAGAGUCGCCAUUGAGUCGAGUGGGUUCGUAGUAGCUUGAAGAAAAUCGACCACGGGUCAUUUGCCUUAAAAAGUUCUGAAAACUACCCGAUAGUCUAGGUCACGCUAAAAGCGCUCCAGAGUGAAAUUAACCGUCAAUUUGAGUUCGAUUUCAUAAAUUGAAAGUUCUGUGGUGUCGUGAGCUAUUUUUGGAACAUCGACUUAGUCUCAGAAGAUUUUUCGGAGGUCCCGAGAUUUUUACGGAAAAUGGGUUCGGACGUCGCGGAAUUUGGAUGGAAAUUCAGAUUGGUUAAAUUGAUGAGAAAUUGGACUUUCAGACUAAGCCUGUGAGUGUCAAAGAUUUAUAGAAAAUUUCUUGGGAUUUUUUUACAUCAAAAUUGGACCUCAAUUUGGGAAUUUAUUGGAGAAAUUGAAGUACAAAUUGUGAAAUUCGUAUGAUUGGAUGAGGCAGCAAUUUUGGACUUUAAAUUUGUUUAUUUAUGAGUUGAUAAGCUUGAAAUUGAUUGGGGGGACAAAGAGGAGUGUAUUGUGGACUUGUGGGGCCAAAACAUUAAAUGUAUUGGCUAAGAUUUCUGAUUUUUGUUCCCUCUUAGCUGGCUCCCCUCAUCCGCACGUUGGAAUCUUCUCGGGCAAGCUUGAUUUGCCGACCUCAGCUUCUGCAUCUCUCGGCCCCAAAAACCCCGCAGCUCCUCGCCAACGUUUUCAUCAUUUCAACGCCACGAAAACUCCUGUCCCGUGUCUCCACUUCACGGAACUUCAGUCCACCGCAUCUGCUUGAAGACGCCGAGGCAACACCGAAGCAGCUCCGUGCCACGUUUUCAGUCAACCUUGCUGCCUCUCGGACGACCGGUUGACCUACGCUCAGCCAGCAUGCGACAGCUGCUUCCUUCAAGUGUUGUCCAGCACUGAAGACCGAAGUCCUCUCAGCCUCCACGCGUCCGACUUGCUCCGUGGGUCAAACUCCAGCAACAAGCUUCGGUUUGUUGACCGAAGACCCCACGACACCAACAGAGAAGCCACGGGAACGGAGGCAGUCAGCCACGCCAUCCACCGAAGACUCCACCGAACGCCAUCUUCUCUCCAUCCGCGGCCAGCUGUCCGCGAUUCUGCUUCCCCGGUCAACCGUCGAAGUCCACAGCAAGCACCGAAGCCAUUUUGUUGACUGAAGCUACUCACCGCUUCGUGCGUCCAGCGAAGCCACUGUCCACCGAGCCUCCAGUCCACGUAGCCUUCGGCUGCUCCCUCCGAUUCAACCAAGUCUUCGUCUGCGAGAUCCACCGAGCAUCCUCACGCCGCCAGCACAUCGGUCAAAUCCAACAACUCGCCCCACUGAUUGUUGACCAGAGCAGCUGCCAGCGUCCCGACCUUCAUCCAUUUUCAACGCCAUCAACGGCUUCGAUUGGUCAAGCUGCACGAAGCCUCGUGUGUCUUCCCUCAGCUCCAGCGACGUCCAUCGAAGCAGCAACCCAGCAUCUCCGUGGAUUGAACCCAGCAAUUCGGGCCCAGCAGUCCAGCGAAGACCGAAGCAGCCCACGCAAAUUUCUCUUCGUGGAUUGCAGCCCAACAGCGGCCUUUGUUGCUUCUCUCACCAGGCCAGAUCUGCAGCCCACGUGACCUUCAAUUCAACAAACCAGCCGAAGACAAGCCUUGCAGCAAGCCCAGCCCGUGAGUUUCAAUCCUUUGGGCCACCGAAUUCAGCACAAGACCAGCAAGCCCAGUUCAGCUAGCGCACUUGGUUCAGUCCAAUUCAGCAGGCCCAACCCAACUUGGGUCCAGCCCAAAAGCAAGAACAAAUCUCAUUUGGGCUGAGAUUUGUUGGGCCAAGGUCGAGGCCCGGUCCAAGCCUGUCGGGGUCGUCGAAAGCCCGAUUUCGGCCGCCGUCGCGGUAAUUUGGUUCCCGCUUUUAAUCAAGUGAGUUUUGCUCACUAAUCCCUUAUUAGUCGGUGAAUUAUGCUUAGGGGUUGAUUAGAUUUAAUUAAGUGCAAUUAGGUUGAUAGAUUAGAUUAGAGUAAUUAAAUUAGAGACUUAUAGAUGCAUGUUAGCAAUUGGAUAGUGUAGAUAGCAAGGAAAUAGGUCAUGGUAUUUAUUGAGCAAGUCUCGGUAAUUUUCCGGGUUCAUAUUGGCUUCCAAUUAGGCUAUAACGGGCCUAAGUUGGAUUUAUUGCAUUUAUUUAAUAUUUUCCGUAAUUAUUUAAUUAUUUAUUUAUUUUCCGGAAAUUAGGCUGAGAUAGCCGACGACCGAAAUUUUGUAUUGAUUCCAAUGGUGCUUUCUGUUUAUUUAUUCGAGUAUCAUAUUGUGAAAUUUUAGUGAAAUUGGUGAAUAUGAGAAUUUAUCUCAAAAUUGGGAAAAUGUCGGUACUUGAAGGGAAAGUAACUGUGUGAGGUUGUGAGUUGGAUUAAAGAUUGCCAGGUGGGGCUGUGAUGCCACCGAGUUGAGAAAAUUGCCAGGUGGGGCCGUGAUGCCACCGAGUUGAGAAAAUUGCCAGGUGGGGCCGUGAUGCCACCAAGUCUAGAAAAUUUGCCGAGUGGGGCUGUGAUUCCACUAAAAAUAAACUAUGCCUAUAGGGUCGUGAUUCAGAGUCAAGAAUGAAGAGUCGAGAUGACCAUGUAAUGGUUUUGAUGACAUGUAAUCGACUGAGUCGAUUGAUCGUUAAGUCGAUCUGAUUGGUUGGAUGCUAUGAUUGUUAGUAUUUAUUAUUUGAACUGACUUGCAGGAAGGAAACUGAGGCCAAGGUAAGUCCUCUAACCCAUGAUGUGCUUAGGCAGCCCUCGGGGCGUAUUUUCUUACUAAUCGGGUCUUAGGAGGUAGAACUCGCUAAGACGUGGUCUCAUUGGUUAUUGAAUAACCAUUUCAGGACCCUGAGAAAGAGCCGAGGAGGAGGAACCUGAGGAAGAGAAAGAUUUUUGAAGAAGAAGAUGAUGAUCCAGAGAGGGAUCUUGAGUACAACCCGGAUGUGGAUUGAGAUCCCAUCCCUUUUGUGAACCCUGUCUUAGUGUAAAUAGGUGUGAGACUUGGUUGCUGUAAAUAGUAUUGUAAAGAUACUAUGAGUUGCACUAUUAAUAAAAGUGUAGUUGAGAAUUUCAAUACGAAAAAUAUGGCCUGCUUUUCUAUCCCAUUGUUUUAUUGUCUGGGAAUUCAUAACUGCUUCCGCAUGCGUAAUAAACAGAAAGGGUCGGCGAUACUUAGUCCUGGGAUAUUGCACUUUAAAAUCGACCAGGUAGAAGGAUGGGCGCGUCCCCGAGGAUCGGGGCGUGACAACGUUGGGUUAUUAUGUAUUUAUUGGAGAUAAUUUAGUUGCUUGGAACAACAAUAAAUGACAUGUGGUUUGUUGAUCAAGUGCUGAAUCAGAAUAUAGAGCAAUGGCACAUGUGACACGUGAAUUGUUUUGGUUGAGGAUGUUAUUAGAAAUUGGGAUGUCAAUAUCGAAACCAUCGAUAUUAUAUUAUGAUAAUCAAUCGGCUAUUCAUAUUGCAAACAAUCCCAUCUUCCAUGAGUGAAUUAAGCAUAUUGACGUUGAUUGUUACUUCGUACGAGAAAAGGUUUAGAAAUGGGAGAUUACUCUAACAUGUAAGGAUAGAAGAUCAAGUUGUAGAUACUUUUAGCAUGUCUUUAUGAGGGAAUAUAGUGGAUUUUUUAUGUAACAAUUUGGGAUUAUUUAAUAUCUACAUCUCAAAUUGAGGGGAAGUGUUAGGAAAUAAUAAUUGUUGACAUAUGAUUUUUAGUCGACGUGUCAAAGAAAGAAAUAAAGUCGAGAUUUGAGUUUCUGACCGUGAUGAAAAAAGUGUUCUUUUGCAUUGUUACUAUUAAGUGAUUUUUGAGUCAUUUUCAAGAAAAAACCGAAAAGUCAAACGGUUGACUUUCGAGUUGACUUUUUGAUCGACCAUUUGACCAAAAGUUAACCCCGGGUCAGAAAUUAAUUUUUUAUCCAAAAAAGAUCCCAUUUAGCUUUCAUUUUACUUUUAUCAAAUCAAUUUCUCAAAAAUUCAAAGAUUUGACCAAAAAAAUCCAUAUUUUAGGAAAAAUCAACUAAAUGGUUAAUUUUUUGUUAAACCUUCGACCAAAAAAAUCAAAAACAUCGAAAAUUCACGAAUACUUUCAUUUUAAUACAAUUUAACUUUUGUGUCAAAAAUUUCACAAAAAUUGAUUAAGAAUCUUGUUUUUUUGAAUUUUUUGGUGUUAGGUUCUAAAUUGGCCAAAAAUAAAAUUACUUUCAUUAUAGUCAUAAUUAAGCAUAAUUCCUUCUUUGACAUUUGAUUUAUGGACUAUUUUAAAUCCGCUCGUGCAUUCAAUUUCGUGAAUUGCCCGAUCAAAAUACAAAUUGCUAUUUUGAAUCCGAAUUACUUGCUCAAAAAAAAAAAAAAACCUAAUUAGGGGACCAAAAUUGAUCCUUCAUGGAUUGCAAACGAACAGCCAUUCUUCAUUCAUUUUCUUAAGAUAAGUCCAAAUCAGAAAUUGAUUUUGGAAAAUUCACAUCAAAACUUCUCAACUUGAAGAAUUUUACUCUCCCAAGCAUAAGAAAGUCAAGCAAUUAAACUUCAAUUGAUAAAAUUCGAAUUGACCCAUUUAUGAUUAUGGUUUAAUUUCAUAAAUCUAAGUCCAAUUUUAAUAUUAAACUAGAUUCAUUUUUGGCAUGAGCUUGAGUACUUUAAUUCAAGGCCAAUUCGGACACGAUAAGUGAUCUUACACAUGUGUGGUUAUCAGAUAAGACAAUUGUGGCACUAAUUGAACUCAAUUUUAAUCAAUUUGCAAUUUAACCCAUUAAAUUGCAGAAUUGAUUAUUUUAGCCCUUUAGACUUAAUUCAAAGCAUCCAUGGUUUUGGCUCAUUGUCUUUCACGAUAAUCGUUCAAUUAGAUCAGCAAAAAGACCCCUAGAUCACAUUCAUAAGGUUUGAUUAGCUUAAUUGAAUUUCAAUUGGCCAAUUUCUUCUUAAAUAUGAUAAAUUUCCUUUUUAGGGAUCAAAUUACAUAACUUUUGAACUCAUAGGGGUCCCAAAUUAAUGAAAUGGCUAGAAUCAGAUUUGAAAGAACUAGUCAAUUAUCGAUCAAACCAGACCAAACCAAUAUGACUGGUUUGAUUGGCCCCCAGCAGUGCUAGCCGAUUCGGUCACUUGCCGGUUGGUUUUGGACCUUCGGUGACCGGUUCUGGGAUCUUCCUGAUGUCAAUUUCACUCAUGCACCUUCAAUUUCUCGAAAUUUUACAUAUUGAUCCUCAAAUUUCAUCAAAUUACAAUUUGACUCAUAAUCAGACAUUUUGAUUCAAUUCUCGAUUUUGACUUGGGUUUUUGCAAAUCAAAUCCAUUAGAUAGAUUACCCGACACCUCAAGAUCAUGAUUCAACCUUCGAAAUCAAAUUUUAACCGUUGGAUCAAAAUUUCAACCGUUAGAUCGAAUCGACGGAUGAAAUUACACAGUUUGGGGGUAGUAUAUAAGCCCAUUUUCCCUCCAUUUUUUGGGGAGGGGCCUUAUAUUGAGAUCUCAAGGAGGAUAUGAAUCAACGGUCUGAAAAAGCAUAUACAAAUCUAUCAAAUUGUUUACCAUAGACGAUGCUGUUCUAUAGCUUUUUGGAUCUUUUAGCAAGCUUAGCCUUUGAAUUUUAAGAGUUAAAUGUACUUCAAGAUGAGUCAAAUUACAUCAUGUCUCUUAAUAUAUCUAGCAAAGCCGAUCACAAGAUAAACGUGAGCUUCUCUAGAACCAUCUACUUUGCAACAAAGAAGAAAAAUAAAUGAAUAGAACUAUAGCAAUGGGGGACCAAGACUGGAAAGCAUUACUUAACCAAACAGGACCUAGACACUGACCAAUGAAAUAUCUAGUUAAGUCAGCUAGAGGCAGGGAUUCCUGCCCAUAGCUGAAGGGAUUCCAAGAUGAGACAUAUUUUUCUAGCUGUGAUCGGAUCAUUUCAAUGACUACCAAGAUCAACAUGAGUUGCACUCUCACAGAAAACAAACUGCAAUUGAUGUUACUCAUGCAAUGUAAUCCCCUCACAGCAGAGAUCUGGUCAGAAAAGCACACCUG